rnacentral:lncRNA from 1 species
AAUAUAUAUAUAGGCCAUGGCUACUAUACUAUUAUGAGUAUUGGAGCUCUCGUACUCAUAAGUUGUUUUCGAUGAUGGAGCUUCCAAAUCGACGAUCCACUCCGUUAUCCACUCCGUUAAAUAUCAUCUAGAGUAUUUGAAACUUCUAGAAAAUAAAUUUCGUAAAUUUUCGAAAUCAUAAUAAAGUCCAUCAAGCGAGCAUAAAAUGAACGGUCAAAAUCGAACGGCGUCCUAAAAAAGGAUGAUCGGAUCCUUCAAUUCAAGAUCGGAGUUAUUGAUUUUUAUCUAGGUAGUGAAUAGAAUUUUCUAUCAAAAAUUCAACAAAUUCCGAUUCUUUUACACCGUUAAACUAGCAAGUAUCCCAUACCGGCCGUUAAAAAUUGUCAAAUUUGUGACCUCUUGAUCGUAAGGUAAAUGAUCUCGAAAAAUUAUAAAAUUUGAUUUCUAGAAGUUUUAAAUGCUGUAAAUAAUGUUUAACGGUAUGGAUCGUCGAUUCGGAAGCUCUAUCAUCGAAAACGAUUUAUGGGUACGAGAGCGAUCGUACUCAUAAUAGUAUAGUAGCCCGGACCCUAUAUAUAUAUUUAUAUAUCAAAAGGAUUAGUGUUUAGGCUUAGGAUUUGGGGUUUAGAGGGGCAUUGAUGAUAGUUUUAUAUGUUUAGAGGGGGUAUUAGUGAUAGUUUUGGAUGAUUCGUGGAGUAUUGUUGGUAUUUUAGAUUUUGGAGGGGCAUCUAUGAUAUUAUGUGGUGGUAAAAACUGCUACAUUUUACCGCACUAUGGCUUGUAAAAUGUAGUAUUUUGCUGUCAUCUUUAAUGAUAACUCGUUAUAGAGAAAAACCAAAAUAGAAUCCGAUUUGGGGGCAAAAUGUGCGCUACAAUUUAAAAUCACAGACCGGCAAAGUUCUGCCUUUUAUGAACCAUAGAUCGGUAGGGUGCAAAUCAUAGGGUGGUAAAAGGCGCUACAUUUUACCGCACUGUGGUUUAUAAAAGGUAGCACUGGGCUAUUAUUUUGAAUGGUAAUUAGUUAUGGAGAAGAAAUAAAGUCAAAACCAUGAGAGGGCAAAUUGCUAUACCUUGAACCACUGGGUAGUAAGCUACAAAUGCGGUAUAACACAUGGGGGUUUUCGAAGUUUCCCCCCCUUUUUUUUCAACUUUUUUCAUUAGAAUUUUUUACCAAAUCUUUUUCUGAAUGAGUAAAUUUAUGUGUGUUUUUAUGUUGUUUAUUUAUGUAACUGCAGUUGUACCGCGAAUGCCUUAGGAGAGCUAAGUACAUUGGUCAUCAGGUUUGCCUUAUUCACACCAUCAUUGCUCUUUUUUUUCGCCUUUUCUGGUUAUUUUCUUUUUCUUUUUCCUUUUUUAUUAAGUCUCUAGUUUGUGAGGGACAGAAAAGGUUGACAUCAAUUUGUUUUGUCAAAAUAUUUGAUAGAAUUAGCGCCUAUAAGAACGACGACAUUGUUCCUCUGAUAGAAAGUCCAAAUCGUGUUACCUUUUAAUGUUUAAGUUUGACCAGGAAUAUGCAAAUAUGAAAGGUUUAUCCUUACUUGAGAAGAUGAGUACGUUCCAAGCAUAUAAGUAACGGUUGUUCUAUAGGAGGCCAAUUUUGGACUUGUUAAUUGUUUAUGGUCAUUGAACAUUUGAGAUGUGAGAACAAUGUGUUGUUGCCAGUAGUCGUGCGCUCUUAUGUGCCUAUCUUAAGUAACGAUCUCUAUACUUGAUAUAAGGGCAUGUUAGUAAUGCCAAGUUUAUGUUGAUAACUGUAGCGCCCUUUCUGUACCAAGUGGCUUUGAUUAGCUAAGGCUAAAUUUUAAUCUUAGGGCCAGUUUGGAUGCGAAGUGUAAAAAAAAACUCCUUGGAGUUUAUAAAUUGUGGUUUAAAUAUAGAGAAAAUAGAGAAUCUUGUGACUCUCUAGGAUUCCAUAAUUUUAUAUUUCAAGCUAUUUGGUUACACCCUUUAUAAUUCUACAGGAUUUCUAAUAACUUGAUUUCUUAUGCUUCGUUCUCCUUGAGCUAAGAUCUAAUGUAUAACUGAUGCAAAACUAGGACAUUCUUAAUUCUUGAAGAUACAUUGCCUCUUCUUCCUCAAACUGUACAUUUGGUAAUUAAGUUUCUGCAUGACUAGUUGGAUUAUUAUAUUAACAUCUAAAAUCUAGAGAGAGAGAAAGGAGCCUUACUAGUUAAGAGGGAACACCUCUUCGGCCAUGAUUAGAUCUAGAGAAAGAGAAAAAGAAAGAGAAAAGGGGGCAUGGCGGAAGAGGAAGCCUUGCAGGCGGCAACCGUGAUGGCGGCGGCAGGUAGGGGGCUCAGUUAGGAGGGAGAGAGGGAGGGGACAUGGGCAUGAGUUGGAGGUAGGAGGGGGUCGUGAGAAGGGGAGGGUGAGACGCGAUCAGAGCCAGAAAUUUGGAGUUUCUAAAUACAGAGAUAAUAGUAGAUGUUUACUUUAUCCCUUUUUUUCAGGGUAUAUUUUUAACUAUACUUUAAAAAAAGGUUGUAUUUUGAUCCAUCCAAACACUUUACAGGAUUAAUUUCCUAUGGAUAUAGAAUAGUUUAACUAUGCUUUGUUUUUUGGUGCAUCCAAACGGGCCCUUAUUCUAACCUCUUCAAGAUGUGAUCCUAUAUGAUUUGAACAUUUAUCUUUCUUAAUUCUGAUCAUUUUGUCUCAAUGUUCUCGUGAACAACCACUUCAUCUUUUUGUAUAUUGAAUCUAUCCUGCACGAAACAAGAUGGAUGAAACUUCAGUCGGAAAUUAUCGAAUGAAAAAUCUCAACUUAGCUUUGGAAAUUAACUUGACCGCCGAAAUUCAGUAUUAACCUAAUUUACUGAAUUGUAAUAACAUUACCCAUCUCGCCACCUUCCAUUUUCUGUAUUUUUCUUGACUUCGUAUGUCCCUAGACUCCAUUGCCUGCUGACAAUGUCUUCUAAAUCUUAAUUAGGUAAUUGCCUGGUUUUGCUUUUGUUGUGGUAUAUGCUUGGUUUAUUUUCGAAUCUUGAGCUAACAUAGGAUUAUAAAGUAGAUUAAAAUCAUAUUAUGAUGCCUUUUCCAGUAAGUGCAGUAGCACCAGGUCAACCUUAUAUUUGCCCGUUCAUCUCAUCUCACCUCUUUGUAAACUCUUUGUAUUUAUUUCGUUGGCUCGUGUUGAAGCCUUGAGUAGCGUUGUUUAUCCUCAUUAUCCCGCAAACCAAGCUGUCAUUUGCCAGAUUAGACAAAGGUAGUUAUGGUAUUGCCAAAAGUUAGAAGACUUUUUCUCUACUGAAGAGUUAUUUUUCUGAAUUAUCAGAAUAGCAUCCUCCUUAUAGAUGUCCUUCGUUUUAUCCUGCAAAAAGUGAAAACUAUUCCAAUUAUCCUUGUAGACAUUGCGUUUAUCAUUGUAUCUAACAAGAAUAUCAGGCCCACUGAAUGGGCGGGGACUGUAUGACGGUGCGGAUCCCCCAACUAUGUCCUCGCAACAAGCUAAAUUUUCUUUCUCUACUUUUAUGGAGAAUUCAAAUUUUGCAACGUUGUGUAACUCUCUCUCUCUCUCUCUCUCUCUCUCUCUCUCUCUCUCUCGCAUAUGCAGCAACACAAUACCGAGGCUGUUGUUAGCAUGGUGAGGCAACAAUUCAAGAAACACAUGCAUGAAACUGAUUCCGAGAAAAUACAGAAGUUGAAGGAUGAGUAAGUUUUUUUCAUUUUCGACUCAUCACUCUGCAUCUUUUCUAGAUUAGUAGUCAUUAAUUUCCACAACCUAUUAUGACUACUGCCUAUCACUGCAGCGCCGCAAGGGGGCUUAUCAAUCAUAUGCUCUACGAGUCCGAGAAGAUGUCCGGCCGCAAGUUCUCCAGCUCCAAAUGAUCGUCACAAACUCCCCGCGACGUGUCUGCUCGGUUGAAAUACUUCGCAAGCGGGAGCUUCAAAGCUGUCCGCUGAGAGUUGUUCGACAUUUUCUAAUUUAUUCGCUAGUCUCGAACCAUUCGCUACUGCACUCAUAAAGCAUUUCAUUCCCGUUCUCUGGAUUGCACACAAUUUUGAUGUUAAGAUGCAAUGAAUCCAGAGUUUGUAAUUGAAUUCCGUCUCUGUUCAUACCUGGGGACAGAAAUAUGCUUAAGACAUGCAGAUCUCCUGAGUAGCUUUUUGCUAGCCCUGGAUAACCACAUGGCGCGAUGAUUCUGUAUUAUAUGGUUUUGAUGGUUGAAGGGGGAAUAAUCUGUAACUAGGGUUUGACAACAACUAUAUUAUCAGUGGAUGCUGCUACUUCUUUGAUUGGCAGAAACAAAGACAUUUGGUUUCUCUUUUGGGAAAAUUGUACUAGGGACACCUAGGGAUGCAAACGGGGCGGAUCCGGAGGCGGGAGAGUUUUCCCACCUCCCGCUCCAUUUCUUAUCUGGGCGGGGCGGAUUCGGGGCGGAUUAUUUUUCAUUUUAUUUUUGGCUCCCACUUACCGCUCCAUUCGGGGCGGAUUGGGGCGGGAGCGGAUUUUUAACGAAUCGGGGUAGAUUGAAGGAAGAAAAGAGUUUUCCGUCUCCCGUUCCAUUUACUUGGCGGAUCGGGGCGGGUUAUAUUUUUCUAUAUUUUUUGUUUCCACUUACCACCCCAUUCGGGGCGGAUCUGGACGGAGCUCCACCAACCCGGAUCCAUUUGCAUCCCUAGGGACACCCCCCUUGGACUUCAGCUUUUUUUGUGAACAGGCGUCUAAAUUUUCAAUUUUAGCAAUUAGAUUAAUUUUAAAAAUCUUAUCAAAUAAUUUAGUAGACUUUUCUCUCCGAUUAAUGAUGUUAAUUACAUAAUGGUUUCGGUUGUAUGUAUUGUAUAUAUUUUUGAGUUUCCAAACGCAAAAAUGAUAACUUUUUUGUACUCUCUAAAAUGUAAAACAGGUGGUCAAAAUUGAAAGUCGUUGUUCAACCCUCGUACUUAAUUAUUAAAAGUGGUAGAGAAAAAAAAAGAUAUCAAGAAGAGAAGAGCCUAUUUGAAAAGAAAAUCAAAUUGCCAAAAUGUCGAAAAGAAAAAAGAAAAAAGAAAAAAAACACAUAUCCUACAAAUCAAACUAGUAUUGCCUUCGUUACAGGUUUAACCAUUUUGCUCCAUGGAAGACAUUUAUUUUCCUGUUAAAUUUAUUUUUUUAUUUUUUUAUUUUUUUUUGAGAAAUAGAUAGCUUGCUAUCCGCUUCAUUCAUUAGGAAAAUAAACUAGGCUUACAUAAUGGAGGCAGCCAGGACCUCCGAAGGAGAGAGUGACAAAAGUGAGAAAAGAAACGAAAACAAAGACAAAGGGUAGAAGAACGGAAGCGAAGAAGCAUAUCCCGAAAAAUCGAAGUAAUCAACGUGGAGCGGUCCAGAUGUCCAGCAAAAGCUUAAUCCGAUCCAGGCACCAGGUAGGGUUGAGGGCACUGUCUCGAAAGAUUAUAGCAUUCCUUUCCGUCCAAACUACCCACCAGAUGGCAGAGAGGGUUGAGAGAGAAGAAAGUCUCUCGUUGGUGUCUUUGAGACUGACUAGUUUAGACCAGAGAUCUCUCACAUCGUCAGAGGACUCGGCCAGGGCUUCCAAACCGCCAACGCUGAGCCGUAUGAAGCGAACAAAAAUAUAGGGACUCAUGAGAUGGUCGCAGUUCUCAGGAUAAACGGCACAGAAAAUGCAAGGUUGGUUCGCUAACCACCCUUGUUUGUGGAGCCUAUCUGCGGUGGGGAUCCUCUUCCGAAGUAGUAGCCAUAAGAAAACUUUGAUCUUUAUCGGUAUCUUCAAAUUCCAAAUAUGUCGACCUAAAGGGUCCCACUUUCCUGAGUUCGUGAGGAAGCGGUAAAGGGACUUGACUGAAAACUUUUGGUUAGAGUUCCAACACCAGGUUAUUAGAUCCGAAACCUGGGCAGGGCGAAUGGUCUGAAGCGAGUCCAGUAGCAAUUCCUUUUGUCUACGAUAAUCCUCAGAGAGAGGCUCCGCUGGACCACGACAAAUGUACUGCCACCUGUCACGGCCUUAGCGUUUCUGUUCGCAAAGCCCGUACGGCGCCCGCCUUCCUACUCGAAGAUGGGCAAGCCUUCGUCCCUGUUGCUAACCUGGACCUUCGCGUCCUACGACUAAGUAUGCAAAGGGAGUGACAGAAAGAGAGAGACAGAGGUUCACUCAAAAAUACUUAGCACUCCACUACUUAGAAAAAGAGAUUACAACACACAUACACACUCCCUCUUGUGUCCUUUUGGCCUUAGCCAAACCCCACUAUAUAUAGACUCCUAGAUACAUUGAAUCUAGCUUACACUAACUCUCUCGUUAUGACACACAUUAACUCACCCUCAUAAUGACCCAUAAGUCCAAAAGUCACCCUAUUAACUCUUGGGAGUUUCAUAACCCUUAAACUUCCAUCAUUGAUGGGAGAAGUUACAAAACCCUUGUCUCCCACAGCGGGUUGAGUUUGGAUCUCUUUGACAACCCGAUUCAACCCAUUUUCAACCCGUUUCGCUGGCAGAUUUGGGCCACUGUCAAGGAAAAGUCAGCGGGAAACAUUUUGUCCGUGACACACCGCCAGCCAUUAUUUUCAACUUCCCUACACAUCUGACCUAACAUCACCUUUAACAUAAGACUCAAAAAUCUUGGCCUCAACUUUCCUAGGCCAUUCUUGUAUUUUUCACCUCCAGCAUAAGCUUUACCAUCAACUUAAAAGCGGAGAGAGAGAGAGAGAGAGAGAGAGAGAGAGAGAUCUAAGAAGACAUGUCAGGAAACACCUAGAAUAAGCACUUCAUCUCAAAUGAACACCAGAAACUUACUACCUAAAGCAAGAAAACAAAAACAGAGAUGGUGUUUUUUUCUUUUUUGUUAUAUUCAAAUAUGAUGACAGGAAGGUUGAAGAAAGAAAGAAAAAAGAGAACAAAAAGAAACUAUGGCAAAUCUGUUGAAUAUAUUUUCCUCCGAUUCAAAGAGAAAUUUUUUUUUUUUUAAAAAAAAGCAACAAAAACAAAAACAAGAAGGAAAAGAAAAACUCAAAACCUCUGAUGAAUAAUAUCCGGCGAGAAUAGACGGAGUGCCCGAUUCGAAUCCAAAGAACCCAUACCAUCACAAAUACUAUAAUCAGAACCAUGUGAGAGGACACUACCACCAUUUCUGUUAAACUUUUGCUCUUUCCCCCUUUCGAAGAUUCUUCUAGUAUCAACUUAAAACGAUCCCCGCACAGAAACUUCUCAUGUUGAUUCGCCGGUCUUCUGAACCCUAAUAUGCAUCGAGCCGAUCUUUACGACAUCACCCGAAAAGCUCGACGAGUCGGCUUCUUCGCUUACACUAGAACUGAUCGAGAGGGAGCUGACUUCCCCGGCGAGGUUGCCUACUACCUGGGCAGGGUCAGAACCUCCUCUGCCGUCGGGGCCCAAAUCGACUGGUUUGCUAUUUGGAGGGCUAAGCACUUUAACCUGCCGGUAGGUAACGCCAUUACGCUUUUUCCCUUCCGGCUUUCGAGACUGAUCAACCGCAUUAUCUUCUUUCGCAAGUUUAACAACAGUAUCAUUUGAUUGCUUUCCAUCCACUCGAGGCUCUUUGUUCUUGUUCGAAGGCCGAACAGCAGUAGUAGACUUUGAUUUGUCCCCGUCUUCCGUCCGGAGCUGAUCGACACCAUCAGCUUUCGGAUUCUCAACAGCUGCUGCAUUUUGCUGCUUCUCUUCAGCUUCUGGAAGACGCUCAGCUGUAACAUUCGGCUGUUCCCUGUUUUCUCCCGAAGAACGGCCUGCAUGAGAUGCCGAUUGAUUAUCAUCUGAUUGUGGAGUUUGGUCGAAAUUACCGUCCUGCCGCUUCUCGUCUGCGCUUUGAGGCCGGUUCGGAAUAUCGAUUUCUAGUGUGUGAUCUGAACUCGGAUGCUUCUUGGGGGAGGCAGUUACUACACGCUGAGUAGCAAGAGUAGGUGUGAAGAGAGGGGCGUCAUGGCUUCUUAGGAGCCUGAAUCUUCUUUCCUUGUUACUUUUCUCCAGCUCUUCGUACUUUGGGAAGUCAUCGAGAAUGCUUUCCCUCAACAGACUGCUCUUAAAGAUUUUAAGCAUAGUUGUGCCCGGAAUGUACAUGACCUGUAUCCAGAGAAGUCAUAAGCACAGUGAUAAUACAAAAAAGUGACUCGGUCGGAACAAUGAAACAUUAGCAUGAGUCAAGGUUAGAUGAAACUAGGAAGUUCAAUGAUCCUAAGUUAGCAAUUAUCCAGCAUCCAAAUACAAAAAAAAAGAGGAGAAAAAUUCAGCUAUAAAACAUGGCUAUGCUAAUUAUUCGUGAAUCGCAAAAUAGAUGGACGUUCAGGUUGAGGUUGAAUUUGUUCGGAAGGAAAAAGUUGGUAUCAUAGUUAUACAGAGAUGCAAACAUAAAUUAAUAAUUACAUCAUACAUAUUAUUAAUUCCAUACAUCAGUGUAUUUUAGAAUGUAUAAAUGAUCAUGUCUUAGUAUUUUGUAUGUAUUGUGCGAAAUUAGAGGCUUUCUUUUAAACAUGUAUGAUUUUAAUUUUGGUAGAAAGAGAAAAUGAUGGGGUUGAUUACAAAUUAGCCUUAAACUUCACCACAGGCUUCAAUUUGGUUCUCAACAGUUAUAUCGACUCUGAUUUCAUUUUCGUACAGCCUAAGUUUCAUUUUUUGUCAUUAGUUUCUAACUUUAACAAACAAAAGUCUACAGAUGGGGCAAGUGCAGCACUUCUCCGGAUGGUAGAUUAAAGAAAGAGUCAUAAUUAUUAUGAAGAAUAAACAUCAGGGACUAGAUUGUUAUAAUCUAAGAAGCGUGAAAUUGAAACUCUGGUCAAAUGAGGGGACCGAAUUUUUGUCGACCUCAUUUUUAAAUUUAUUAGCACGCAAAUAACCAGCACAACCAAGAGCUCAUAUAUUGAUACAAUAAAAAAAAUUAGGGUAAGCAUCCAACUUGCCUCUUGGGUAUCUCUGCUAUGAGUUACGGGUUUAUUCUCAUUGUUUUCUAGUGUGAUUUGCCGAAAGUUAGUGUUUGGCACAUCCUUGAUGAUGUGCCAUUUGACGGAGAAGCUACCACUCCAUUUAUCUUGCUGCCAAAAAUCCAUGUCCCUUUGGAAAUCCACACGACCCAACAUCUCGGCAACACCGCAGAAUCUCCCACUGCCAUUAACCUGAGAUUAAAAUUUGCUCAUUAAGGAAUAGAAGUAUAAUAGAGACAAGGAAUUUGACAUAUAAAUAGAGCCCUACAAAAUCCGGAAAUGGCCACUUACGGAGAAGAACAGAAAGACGGGGCAGUUGACACCCUUCAAAGCAGAUAACCUUUGAGCAUCUUCGUAUGCAGCAUCCAGUUUCUUGUUCCCAUUGGGCGUGCUUGACCAUACAUUAUACUUAAUGCUCUUGUGAACAUCGUCCUCGCUGUAGGAUUUGAUGAUAAAAAAUUUGGCAUAUGGAUACUCGACUGGAAAGUCAUCUCGGUUGUAUUGAUCGGUUUUUAUGACAAUGAUUCCUUGUGGAUUAGCGAUGGUUAGUUUAGACGUAUAGGACUUAACGGUGAUCGACGAAGUUGGCUGAUCUCUGACCCUAUUUGCUGUAGUGCUAAAUGAAUGUGGUCUUCCAGCACUGUCAGCAGGCUUCAUCUUAUCAUUUGGGAUAAACUUACGAGAAUUAGAUCCAAAGUGCAUAAGGCUAUUGUUCAUUGGGAAUUCCACUUUCGAUGAAGGUUCAAAUGAAGGAAUUCUCCUGUUGAAAAAUUGCUCUGUUGCAUGGACAGGACCCGAAGAAUUGCCAGCUAGAAACUGGAACGCAAAAAUAUAGCAAAUGAAAGACAUGUUAAGAGCAGGCAAAUGGUAACUAACCAUAAGAAGAAAAGGAUAGCCAAGAACACUGCUAAUUAAUUCAUUAGUACUCUGCUAAUUAUUUACUUAAACCCAUAUACCCAACUCGUCCUUCAUCCUGCACUUGGGCGUCAAUCGUUUAAAUCCAAUCUACUCAUAUGCUAACCUUAAAAGGAAUGUAACAAGAUCACUAAGAGUAGGCUCUGCCCCAUACAAUAUCAUUAACAUAAAAUAUUUUCUUGCAUUCCAUAGGGAAACUACCUCCCUUCCACACACAUGCAGAGAUGCACUUAUGUUAAUAUAUGCAUACGAGUAUAUAACAGAGAGUGUGUGUAUAUAUAUAUAUAUAUGAGUACCUGGGUAGCCUGCUGACUCCCAAGUUGUGUGGCUGACUGCUUUCUUGGUGCCAAAUUAAGUAAUGAUCCGUUUGAAGGGAGUUGAAACUGCUGGGAAGAAGAAAAGGAAUGUUCCAAUGUUGGAUUAAGUAAAGAAGCCCUCUGUGAAUCUACAGGAGCGGUCGCAGAAACUAAUGGAGCAGAAUUCUUCAUCCCUUCAGCAUCAGCUUUACUGGGAACCGAUGUGAAACCACUGUACAAGGACUGAUCAGAAGUGCCAUGAGGGACAAACUCCGUGCCAGUUGGAAUAACUGGAAAAUAGGAAGGUGAAGUAAUUUGUUGAUGGUAAGCAGGGUUAGUUAAGUAUUGCUGCAUUCCUAUAAUUGAACCAUCAGGGCCUACAACGGAGCUAGGCAUGUAAGGAUUGUAUGGGUUGUAAUGAGACUGUGGAUAUCCAUAAUUAGGUGCAUAAUAUACAUAUGGUGAGCCUUCAGCCUGUGGACCCUGUGGAAGUUCAAGAUGCAAUGUCAGGAAAUAAUGGGAGGAAACUAACUAACUAGAGAAAAGUGGAAAAAUUGCUGGAGCUUAUGAGAAAUGUCGUAAAGUUGCUAGGAAAAGGCAGUAGCAGCUUCCAGUUGACAUGCCCAUUAGAAGUAGAAGCUUCAAAUUAAAGCUUCUGCUUUUAGGGUUUGACAACUUAUUUUGGUGUCCCACUUUAGUAAGAUCAGGAUUUUUCGGCAUGCCAAUCUCAUAAUUAACAAUUUUUAGAGUAGAGAAACUUCUCUAGAAGCCAGAGCGAAUAGGCCCUUAAACUUACCACGUAAUGAAGAUCUUGACCAUCUGAUACAAAAACACUUUGGUGGUCAUCCCAUGCACCAGGUGCUUCAGCUCCUGCACAAGAAAGUUAUUGAGAGUUGGACAAUACAUUCAAUGUGUAAUAGUACUCUUCAUGAUUUAAGAUGGUUAUUAUAUCCGAAAUUCACCUGUACUGUAAUAUCCAUAGUAGUCAGUAUUAGGAGGAUAGUAUAGAUCCUGGCCAUAUAUGACCUCAGGUGCAACUUCACUACCGGAAAAGCCAAUCUCUUUAGAGGUAGUAUCUUGAUGCAUAAUGCAGUCUUUGAACAACCAAAGGUCCUGAAAACAGAAAAUAAACCAAAAAAUAUUACUACUGAGUACUUAACUUAAAGGCUCAUGCAAUCUAAUGGGUUAACACAAAUCAUAACAUUAACCAAGCCGUAAACCCUACACUAAUAUCCAUUCAAAAGAAGAAAAUUGCAAUAAUUUGUAUGUGAAUGCCAGAAGUGCUCAAAUUUGGUCAUUUCCAGCAAACACCGCUGGAGUAUGACUAAGCCAAUCAUUUGUUCUCAAUAUCUUGAAAGUAGAUUUCCUAUUGCCUAAAGUUCCAAAACAUAAAAUGUUUCAUAUUGCCUAAAGCAAGGUUUUAAGUGCCCGUCGACACGGGCCGUAUCUACGGUGCCGUACCUACGGUGCCGUACCGUGCCAACAAGACAUUGGCACGAUACAGACUCCAUGCCAAUGGCACAGCUCAAAACUCUCUAUUCUUUAAAUUAGUAAAUAAAAUCCUCAAUAAAGUUCAAAAGAUAUGAUAAAAAGAUAUAAUAAAUAGUUAGGAUAUUUUGUUGCUAAAGAAAAUAAAUAUUUCAUACUAUUAUGUGUCGGCACACAAGAAUUUUUUUGACCGGCAUGCCCGGCACGCACAGUGCCGUACCGUACCGUACCGGCAAGUUUCCGGCACGAUCCCCUACCACGGCACUUAAAUCCUUGACCGAAAGUUUCAAAACAUAAAAUGAAAUUGAAUUACACAAUAUAUUAAUCAGCCAACCAAUUGAAUUUACAUAAGAAAAUUAACAACCAGAUACAGAGGAAUAAACUAAACAAGAAGGGCAUUGGCAACUAUGCUUGUUCUGUAAUAUUUUUUACCUUUUCUUCAUUAAAUCCCGCAUAUUUCAAAUGCACUCGCUUAGCACACCAAUCAAGAAUGAAACAGCAUAAUGUGCAAUUACCAACAACCAAUAAUCACUAAAUCCUCCCAUGAUCAAAACCAAUUUAUUAAACAUAAAAUAUAACACCCAUGAAAGCAAAUCUUUAUCCAAGAAUUACGAUUCCAUCAACACAGGGAGCAAUCCAAUUGACCAAUUACUAACGCACCAACAAAGGGAGCAAUUGAAUCGACCUAGAACCCAAAAGAUCACACGAAAUCCGCCCAAAACCCAUCAGAUCAAGCCCAAAAACACGGGAUUAAAAUGAUUCUCGAGAUCUAAGAGGCCAAAACAACGAGGCAAAGAAGACCGGAGCUUACGGGAAAAGAGGGCCCGAAACAAGCCGGAGAUCGAUGAGAGACGACGAGGAGAUCCGCUCCUCCUUUCCCGAAACCCUAGCUAGGGUUUUACGCAGCUUUGGGGUCGAGAGAAUCGCGUCGAAAACCCUAACCCUAGAAGGAGAAUGGAUUCGAGAACGAAAGAGGAAAGAGAAAGAGAGAGAGAGAGAGAGAGCGUGAAAGGUCGACCCCGAUCUUCGGGGGCCCUUUUAUAGUUCUCUUUAAAAAUUUUAUCCCGAAAAUGCCCAUAAGUUUCUUUCUUUAUUUACCAACGUGCCCCUACGACCGCCAAAUUUGAAAAUUACUUAAUACUGAUGCGCGGUGGCGUUUCUGUAAAUAAAAAUUUAAAUGCGAGGGUAUUUUUGUCAUUUGUGGCGGACCUCCAUGAAUUGUGCGUGUUGACUUUGAGUUGACCAUGACACGUCGGAAGAGAUAUUUAAAGUGAGAAAAUUCAAAAAAUUUUGAAUCCAACAAAAUGUCAAUUUCUUUUGAAUAUUAAAUAAAUAACUUCUUCUACAAGAAAAAGAAAAAAUAUUAAAAUAAUAUUUAAUUUAAGGCAAUAAUUUUAAGUGAAAUAGGGUGUGAAACACUCUUCUUUUUUUUUGAAAAAACUUCAAAAAACCCCCCUGUGGUUUUGUGGUUUCUCACUUUGCCCCCCUGUGGUUUAAAGUGUAUCAAAUUGCCCCCUGUGGUUUCGUUUUUAUCUUUUCGGUAGCUUUUUCGUUAAUAUUUUAUUAAAUUAUUAUAUACAAAAAACUUCAGAUACACAUCUAGAUUUAUUAAAUAUUCACUUUAGUACCCUUUAAUUUUAACUUUAUCACUGAUUUAAGAAAAAAAUAUUAAAAUUGAUAAGAAAAAGAGAAAAAAGAAACUACAGGGGGGCAAAUUGAUACAUUUUAAACCACAGGGGAGCAAAAUGAGAAACUACGAAACCACAGGGGGGAUUUUUGAAGUUUUCCCUUUUUUUUUCUUUUGUUUGUUUGGAAAAAAUUGUGCAUAGACACCUGAAUUCUUAAUUUUUAACUAAAAGAUCCCUUAAACUUUAUGAUGAAAAAUGGGUUGCUUCUGAAAAUAAGGUUAUAAUAUUUGGAUGAUUAGAUUAAAAUAGCGAAAAUAAAAGUUAUUAUACUUUUAAAUUAAUAAUAUUUUAAUUAAUUAAUAUAAAAUUAUUGCUUAAAAAUAAUUUAAUAAAAUAAUAAAAGUUGUUAGCUAUGAAUAUUGUAUAAGAUAAUAAAAAAAUAUAUUAAUUAAUUAUAAAAUAUAACAAAUUUUUUAAUUAAUUAGUAAAUUUUUUAAUUAGUUAGAUGAUUUGUUAAGAAAUUAAUUUAAUUAGUCAAAAUAUUAAUUAGUUAGUUUACCAAUAUAAAUAUUAGUUAUUAGAUAAACACAUUAUUAAAUAAUUAAUUCUUAAUGAGCUAGUCGACCAUAAAUAAUAAAUUAACUAAUUACUUAACUAUUUAAGCAAUAGAUAAUGACGUAAAUAUAUUAAUUAGAUUAAUUAUCAAAUUAAUACAAUAAUUAAAAUUAGAUUUAAAAUUUUAAUUAAGUUUGUUCCUACUUAAGAACAAGUUUGUUCCAGAGAAAAGGGUGGAGUAGUUGUUCUAUCCUUAUUCCCCUUUUAAGAAUAUGAUAAAGUACAAGAAGUAAAUUAAAGGAAAAAAAAUGGAGUAAUUAAGAUGCGCCGUAAUGUGCGGGUUUUUUUUUUUUUUUUUUAGUCAUAAAUAUAGGGUUGACCAAACGCUUAAAAUUUACCAUUUACAAUUUAUAAAAAACAACUUCAGGGAAAAAAAAAAAAAGAAACUUGCAGGUGCAUUUGCAGUUACUGCAAUAGCACUUGACUGCUCUAUGAUUUUUCCAUUUUUCUUGAAAAAAAAAAUCAUCAUUAAACACUUAAUUUUUUUGUAUAUUUUGUUAUCAUGUGGUUUGUAUUCCUUUCUCUUUUUUUAUCCUAAUUAAUAAUACAUAAAGAUAAAGAAAUUUAGGGCGUGUUUGGUUCGAAGUCGGAGUCGGAAUCGGAAUCGGAAUGAAAAUAAGCUGGAAUCGGAAUCGGAAUGACUCAUUACCUAAUUCUGUUUGGUUCAUCACCUGAAUCGGAAUUGGAAUAAAUCAUUCCUAUUGUCGGUGUUUGGUUCAGAUGGAUAUAAAAACGUAAUCAAAUUAAUAUGCUAACAUUAUCUUUAUAAUAUAUUAAUUUAAAUUCAAAUUAAAUAUUAAAUAUUAGAAUUUUACAUCAAAAUUUUAAAAUAAUGUCAAAAUUUUAGAUCUAUUUUUUUUAAAAAAAAAAUUAAACUUUGAAGUUGAGUGGAUAAUUCAAAAUAUGAAACUAAAUUUAAGUUUGAAAUAAAAUUUGAAUAAACUUUAUGUAAAUUAAAAUUUUAAUUUAAAUUCAAAUUCAUAAGUUAGAUUCGAAAUACUUGAUUAAAUUUUAAUUUUUAAUUUAAUUUCAAAUUAAAAUUUAAAAUUAUAUAUUUAAUUUUUAAAUUAUAACUCAUAUUGUAAUUAAAAAAGUUGAAAAAAUAAAUUUAAUCCAAAUAAAUAUCCAUUCCGUCCGAAUUCAACUUCCAAUCCGGCCUUCUAGGCCGGAUUGAAAAAAGGCUGAUUGAGCGAUUCCCAUUCCACUCGGAAAUCGGAAUCGGAAUGAGACUCCCACGUACCAAACACCCACAAACGAAUUCACUCAUUCCCAUUCCGAUUCCAUGGUAAAAAAGAAAGCGAACCAAACACGCCCUUAAUUACUAUGCCCAAUGCAUUUAAUGUACUAAAUAAAUAUAAUGUACUUGAUAACUAAAAUUAUCAAUUUAAAUUAGAAAAUGUUCUCUUUUGGCUCUAGUGAGUUAUAUAAUGUUAAAAAAUAUAUAAAAUUUGAUUUCUAAACUACUUAAAUAUUCUAAAUUAUGAUUAACGAUAUGAAUCAUCAAUUCAUAAACUUCAUCAUUAAAAACAAAUAAUGAAAACAAAACGGACUUACGAAUUCAUAAGAGUAUAGUGGUCUCGAACUACAAACUAACAACCUUUAAAGGUUGAAAACGCGAAUCAAAAUGGAUCAUAUGUCAGAUCACUUCCAUUCAUUUUUACCAAAUAGAAUGCAGUAGGGAGAACAAUGGAAAAGUUAGGAAAUAAUAUGGAUGAUUUAAUAAGUAUUAACUUUAAAGCGAAAUAAGUGUGGACUGCAGUAGACCAUUAACUGUCAUCAAAUAUCAUCAUCCUGUUACUACAAACAAAACAUUUAAAACUCUAUCAAUUCCCCACCUUUCAAAGCACUGGUUCAGUUGUGGGGGAAAAAGUAAAGGAAAAGAAAUUUCAACUCCCCCAGAUCUGAGGGUUUCUUUUCCUGCUUUUUCCUAUUCACUCCCUCCCAUAAACUAUUGCAGAAAAAAAAAACACAAAAAGAGAGAGAGAGUAAAAGUAGAGAGAGAGAGAGAGAGAGAGAAGGGGGCAUGGCAAUCUCUAACAAAACAAUAUGAAUCCGGGGACAUAUUAGUUGUCAGGAGUUUGGUUUUGAUCUGAAGGAGGGGCAGCCUCGGCCGUGAAGCUGGGAAUUCCAUUACCAUCGGGGCCGGGAAGUUGAUCUGCCGUUUCAUUUCCAUGUAAAGAUUCACCAUCUGGGACGGGCGGCGGCGUCGGGGACAUAUCGCCUGUUGAAGGCAAAGUGAGAGGUUCGAUUUCGACAGCAGGCAGAGCUUCGAACUCAGACGACAUAGGUGGUUCGGAACUCGGGUUGACUGCUCCAGCAGCAGAAGUAGCGGCUGCUGCUGCUGCUGCUGCAGCUGGCAAUGUGUUGUCGUGGUCCGAACUGGGUAGCACAUCAAACAGACUGCGCCGCCUUGGCGUGUGGCUCUGGCUCGGUCUCGGGCUACGGCUCCGACUACGGGGACUCCUGCUCCUGCUCCUCGACCAGCUCCUGCUACGGCUCCGGCUUCUGCUUCUCCAGCUCCUGCUACGGCUUCUGCUCCUGCUUCUACUUCGUGUCCGACUCCUGCUCCUGCUCCGGCUGUCGUAGCUCCUGCUCCUGCUCCUGCUCCUGCUUCUGUCAUAAUCUCGACUGUAACUCCGGUCCCUGCUCCUCUCUCCGAAUCCUCUUCGCACAUCAUACCUCCCCCGCCCAUCUGAAUUUAUGGAUCGAUCGUUCGGGCCGCCACGGUCAUGCCAACCUCGGCCCCCACGGCCACCUCGCCCACCAAACCCGCGACCACCAGGCCCAUCUGAGCCACCAAACCCACGGCCCCCAGGCCCGCCAGGCCCACCGAAGCCCCGACCCCCCCUGGGUCCACGGCCGCUGUAAAAUUCUUGCCGGCCACCGCCACGCCCACCAAAGCCACCAACCCGGCCAUCCCUCAUGCCCCGGCCGCCACCCUCGCCUGAAUCCCAGCGGCUUGGACCCCUGCCUCCUCCGCCACGAGGCUCCCUGGGGAUUGGCGGGCCGCCGCGUGCGGCCAUUUCACGGAUCUCCGGCGGAACACGCUGAUUGGCGCCUUCAAGGACUUUGAUUAGAUCAGCCGCAUAUUUCCAGUCUUGGUCGGAGAAGAAGGUGUAGGAUACUCCCGUGGCCCCCGCCCUUCCUGUCCUUCCAAUCCGGUGGACAUAAUCCUCAAUACCAGUAGGGAAAUCAUAGUUGAUCACCACCCUGGAGAAAGGUAUUACAUUAGGCAAAGUAAAUGACUAGCAACAAAUAUAAAAUCGAAAGAGAAAGCGCAUAAAGCUAUUAAAGCAGGCUUUAGCUAUCCAUAUCUAAGCCAAACCGCAAAAGCUUACUACAGAAUUACUAAACUGAAUGCAUCAUGUUAUAAGCAAACAUACACAAGCAGCACCAUGCAAACAUGAUGAGAAGCUGACACAGAUGUUACAAGCCUUACCUGAUAUCCUUAAUGUCAAGUCCCCGUGCAGCUACAUCGGUGGCAACAAGAAUUGGAGCCUUUCCGGUGCGGAACUGAUGCAAGACAUGAUCUCUUUCACCUUGAGAUUUGUCGCCGUGAAUGGCAGCAGCGCCAAAGGCCCGACCCAUACUGCGGGCAAGCUGAUCGCACAGCCUCUUUGUUGAGCAGAAGAUGAUGAUCUUGGAGCCCCGUUCUUGAGACCUAAGGAUCUGCUCCAGCCGCCUUUGUUUAUCCAUCGGAGCAACCACCUCUACAAACUGCAAACCAUAACCAGCAGCAAAACUUCAUCAUCAUGGAAGUAAGCGUAUAUAAAGAAAAUAUUGUGUAAAAAAAAAUGCAGUAUAACAAGAUAUAAUAAAACUGUAAAAGAUUGCAACCUCAGCAACAAAUGUAAUACCCGGAGUUGAAUGCAAAAGCUUCAGUAUCAUAAUAAAUCAUGAGUAGAAAUAUAAAGUAGCAGUUGGGUUAUUGCAGAAAACAAUAACAGUACUAAGAGAGUUUCAUGAAUACGAUAAUUCAGUUCCCAGGUUUAAUUUCCCACUGGGAUAGUAAUCAUUCCACAAUUCUAGGUAUCUAACUCAAGUAGCCACGUAAGAACAUGGAACAAAUAUUAUUUAACCUCAUCAGGAUUCGAUUAGCUACAAAUAUAUGAACAAAGAAUCUCACAUUCCAUUACAAAAUUAGAAUGCACAUAAAGAAAUUUACGGGGGCUGGUAAGUGACAACCAGCUCAUAUUACUCAUAUUAUGCUGACCACUUACCAGCAUAGUAUUAGCAUGGUACCGCAAUAACCUGCUCUGUCAUUCAGUGCCACUACAUACAGCAUCGUGUAACUAGUCAACCAACUUCUUUUUUUAACCCCUGUUUUCUAUCUUGUCGCUAUCCAUGCCAACCGCUGACAUGGUACGUGUCGUGACGAUACCAUGCCACCGUAACUGUGGCAUGGUGCGUCACCGUCACCAUCAGGUAAAACCUUGGUUUAUGGAAAUAAAAUGGUAUCAUAGGUGACAAUUCUAGUUUCAGAAUUAACUGUUCGAAAGUGGAUUACCUAAAUAAUAAGUGUGAGCAAUCUUUGCCAUUAAUAGAACGCAAAAAUCAGCAGAAGGUAUAUUCAGAUGUUCUCCUUACUUGAGUGAUCGAUUUGUUUGCAACAAGUUCAUUGACGCUGCCGAUGUUCACCUGGACAGGAGUCCUAAGUAGAUCCCCUGCUAUCUUUCUCACCUCCUUAGGCCAAGUCGCUGUGUACAUGAGAGUUUGUCGGCGGGGAGGAAUCUCAUUCACAAUCUUCCGAAUCUGAGGUUCAAAACCCAUGUCUAGCAUGCGAUCUGCUUCAUCAAGGACAAGAAAAGAAACCUGGUGGAAGCUGAUCUUCUUCAUUUCAACAAUGUCAUUCAACCGACCAGGUGUUGCCACUAUGAUGUCUGCUCCUCGCUCAAUUUCUUUUAGCUGCGGUCCCUUUGGAGCUCCUCCAUAUAAACACUAAAAUAUAAGAAAAACAACAAGGAGGAGAAAUUGAAUACAAGUAAAAUGUUCUUUUAUUCAAAAAGUAAUUUAAGCACAAAUGCCAUUCCCUAGUGCAACAUAUCGUCGUAGGAUGAAGCAUCCAUAAUACUUCUUGUCAAACAACGGCUUACUCUAUUCUUCCCUAAGAUAAGACAUACCUACAAUUUAUAAAAUAAAUCAUUCAGAAAUUCCAAUUGGGUGCAGCAGCUGCCCGAUACUCUUGGCUAGCCACGUCCGCAUCAUGAUCUACAACCCUACUUAGUGAAAUUAAUUAACCAGGCAGUGUAACCUCCUAGACAAAGAUCUAAGGACUCUUGAUGAUUCUAAACAUUAAGCCAUAGUUGUUUGGUUCUAUCUAUCUUUCACUAAUUUUUUUCCUCAAUGGUGGCAGAAAGUUGUGUACAACUUCUACCAUCCAAUGAGACUCCACCUAAGAUUCCUCAAAUCCUAAUAAAUGUCCUAAGUAGUGUAAACCAUAUCUACACGUAGUGUGGUUUAGAUGAAAAUAGCUGUUUACCUGAAUAGUACUUAUCAAGCUGCUGAUCUCCUCUUUGCAAGCACAAAAAGCAUUUCCCAGAAAGAAGAAAAGCAUCAUAAAGAGAUAGAUUCACAAACUUACUGUACAAGAAAACCUGGAAGAACGCCCAAAUUUGAUUGCCUCAUCUUGUAUCUGUGUAGCAAGCUCACGAGUAGGAGCCAAAACUAGCACAGUUGGACCGAUCUUAGGAUUAUUUCUGCAUCUUCUCAGAUGUAUAAAUGCAGGAAUAAGAUAUCCCAGAGUCUUUCCAGAGCCAGUUUUGGCAAUGGCCACAAUAUCCCUGUUCUGCAAUGCAACAGGCCACGUCUGUGCUUGUAUUGGUGUUGGAUGUGAGAAACCAGCUAAAUGCAACUGGAACAGUAUAGAUAGUAAAUAUUAUUAAUCACAACCUUAUCAUGCCAAGACCCGACACAGACUAUAUUAUCGAGGGUAAAAUGCAUAGAUAGUGCCUGAACUUUCAACAAAUCGUAAAUUUGAUCCCCAAUCUUCCCAUUUAAAUGCAUCAACCUAUGAAAUUUCUAAUCUCUUGCAAGGCCAUCCAAAAUCUAUCUUUUGCUAGCUUAUAAUUCAGCUCCUAGUAAACGGUAAAGUAUUCGCAAGUGUGUGCUACAGAGAUGACAUUGAAAAAAUUAGGCCAGUUCAGGGACUGAUUUUUUAGAGAUCAGAAGCCAAAUUGCAGUUUGUAGAAAGUUCAGAGACUACCUGUGCAUCUUUCCUUACUAACUAUCAUCUACAUUUUCACAGGGUAAAUAGCUAAACAAAACCCUAAGUGCACAUAGUUGCUUACUGAAGCCACUCAAGGCAGCAAGAAGGUGCUCUUAAAGACUUGGGUUUGAGUAGCAGAGACAAGAAGAACGAAGCCUCCGCCAAUAUUACAUUAUCUGGAAGAUAGUCCAUCCUCCUGAUACUGUUGAGUUAGGGUACCCAGGAUCCAGCAUGUGACAUAUGCUAUUCUAAAGAGCAAUAUCACAAGCUGCAUGUUGUAGUGAUGCAUUAACAGAAAGAAGUUAGAAGGUCGUUUGACCAAAUUCAUACUCGUUGAUCAUGCUCCUAAGCAACAUAAAUCAAUUCAGAAUGAAGAUAUAGAUAACCAUCCACAAAAAAACCAGUUAAGGACAAAAUACCUCUCUCAGAAUUUCCGGAGGGAAGCCGGUUUCCUCAAAUGUCAUGAAUGGUGCAGGAACAUCAUCGCCCUGAAAAGAAUUGUUUUUCUUUAUAUCACAAUCUGAUAAAAAAUAAAUCUAUGAUAGAAUAAGGGUCCUAAAAUAACAUUUUUUAAAAAAAAAAAAGCAAUUUGUUCCUAAACUAAAAAGAUCUUUAAAUGUACCUUCCAAGCUCAUGUAUAGAAAAGACAGUAAAUUUCUCUUUUUGCAGGGAGAUAUAGAAGCAAAAGAACUUUGCAGGAGAAACAUUGAAGCAGCCAUCAUAAUGGCCAGAUAUAAGAACCCCAAAAACACAACAUUGUGCAUAGUAUUCCAUUUUGAUGUCAACCAAUAUAGGUUACACCAAUUAUGGUUAUAAAAACAAUACACAGAAGAAUGCUCAAGUACCGACCAUAUUUUAUCAUUGGAGAUUAACAAGAGAAUAAAUAUUCAAGCAACCUUCAACAUUACGACAUCUUUAUCUAAUCACCAAAAAACAUCAGAUGCCACAAAAACUAAUUUAAGCAAUAUAAGAAGUACUAUCGCUUAAAAUCUUACCGUUGCAGUAACUUCAUGGUGUUGGCGAUAUGCAUCGGCUGCAGACAUAUUUGCAAAGUCUGGCAGACCAAGCAUUCUUGAAGGUGGCCUCAAAGGAGCUGCAUUAGGGAACGCAGCAGGGUUGUAUAUGUUUGGCAUCGCAUGGGGUGGGACCGUAUUCAACCCACCUGCAUGGCCUGGCGAAGUGUACGGAGGACCGCUUCUCAUAUCCUAAUACAACACAACCUUGCUUAGCUUCAACAGACUGUACAUAGUUGUAAGAAUGUACAGGAAGUGCCUAGCCAUUAGCAAAUAGAUAGUCCACUAGAGAUAAAAAGGCCCAUUGUACGAAAACAAAACAAUAUCAUAUGCCCUGAAAUAGUGUACACUCCAAACCAACUUAAGAAUCCGACUAUUAAAAAAUUACACUCUAAAAGCCAUUCCGCAUCAUUAGGAUCCAUAAUUCUGGGAGCUUCUCAUCCUAAUUAAAAUAGGCUAGAGGCACCGAGACAGGCUGGGGAGACUACGUUUAGGCAGCCAAGAAGGUCAUACUAAAAAUAUAUGGAAAUUAUAAUUAAAAGAAAAUGCACUAACUCAAAGAAAAUUGCAUAAUUAUGCAGAUAUAAAGCUAAAUUUAGAUGCUAAAGCACAUUACUAAUUAAUAAUACCAUCUUAAUACCAGAGAAAAUAUUAGAGCCUGAACCUUCGCGACCAUGUGCAUCACACCAGAAAUCAUGUUUCAAGUGAACUAUGAAAAGAAGAAGCCCCUAGAACUUUUAACUAAAGACAAAAAAAAUUGUCCAGCAAAAAAAAAUAAUAAUAAUAAUUUGUACAUAGCAGUUACCAAAAUAUUAUUUAAUCAGGUAGAUAUUUUCAGACUGAAGUAAUUGAUAGGAGCCAAAAGAGCAAGUAAGCAAGUUUCAGCAUGUUUCAUAACGGGAUUUAGCAGCUUGAUUUCCUUCUUAGUAGUAGGUUUUAAAUCUGACAGUAGGAGAAUUGAGCAUGAUCAACAAUGGUCGCAAGGAUUCUAAAUAAAGAAACUUCACCGGUGGAUUUUGCGGAAUGGGAAGAGGUGCAAGUUUCGGUUGCUGUGGCACCAUCUUCGGCCCUUCAAAUCUGCUAGAAGAAUAAAAAUCAUUUCCUACCCGUUCAUUUCGAUCUUCGUUAUAUCCCAUAUUCAAACCCAUUGGUGGGCGAACAGGUGACUGUUCCACAUGACUUGGAACUGCACGACCACUCAUUUGUUGUUGACGAUAGGGAGAUGCCUCAGCAAACUGCCUGUUAGGUUGAAGAGAAUGAACUCCAACAGGUGAAAUAUUAAUCGAAGGCAUGCCACCUGGCUGUUGAUGGCCAGAAGAAAUAAUGCCACCCUGUUGAGCCAUUGGUAGUUGAACACCAGCCUGCUUGCCCUGCUGAACCGCAACUUCUUCCAUCUUUGAAAAACUAGCGGGUGACACCUUUGAUGUUGGACCCUGCUGGCCAGCAACAUGCGCACUUUGCAGUCCUGGCUGUUGUCCAUGAUGAUAAUGGGCCUGAAGACCCUGUUGAAAAUGGGCCUGAGGCGGAAUCUGCGAUGUUUGGGGUUGUUGGUCAUGUCGAUGCAUAUUUUGGGGCUCCUGUGUUUGCUGAAUCACCGGAAUUUGUGGCACUUGUUGCGGCUGCCCUUGAUUAUAAUUAGUUUGUGGCCCUGGAUGAUAUGAAAACUGUAAACCUUGUUGAGGUGGCGGGAUGAAUUGCCCUUGUAGAUAACUCAUAUGCUGGUAUGGCAUCUGCAUGUGUGGGUACUGCUCAUUCCUCGGCUGAGCAAUCUGCUGAUUUGGAACUUGAUAUGGCAUCUGCUGUGGUUGCUGAUUUGGUGCUUGCUGAGACAUCUGCUGAGGCUGUUGCUGCUGCAUUAGCUGGUUUGCUUGCAUUUUCUGCCCAGCUUGAACAGUUUGCGGGGUGGUUUGCUGCGACACAACACUGUUCGAAGGUACGGUAGGCAUCAGAGAAGUCGACGCAAGGUUUGGAGUUGUUGCAGAGGGAGGAGGGCCAGAUGGCAAUGGCGGUGCGGAGCCAGCAGGUCUCUCAUAUUGGGUAACAUUUGUAUCAGGAUUCCAAUAAUAUAAGAGGCCGGUGCUCCCAUCAAUAAGCCCUUUCCAGGGCUUUGGGAGCGUGGGAUCUUCUGGACCAAAGCGCGGACCCAGUGAAUCUGCAGCUGCUCCUGUCGUAGCCAUUCUGAUGCUUAAUUAUACUAAGCACGCCUGUAACAAGUUUCCCACAACGGGAAUAGACAUUUAUCAUAUAGUGAGUUCAGGAGAUAACAACACAAAAAAGAUAACUUUCGUUAGCAAGGAGUUCGCUGCUUCAACAUGCAAAGCACUAAUUUUUUUUUUACAAAAAAAUAGUUUCAUAAAUCUCAUGACAUGAAAUGGGAUUUGUCCCGCGUGGAAGGAUAAGUAAAAUGUAACUUUCAGAACCUCACAACUCAACAUAUCUAAAAGCAACUUGAAUUCCAAUACCUAUGAAAACCAGCACAGUUACAGUUGAGAUGAUUGGUCAAUCUAUAAACUUACAAAUGACCAGCAAAUGCCGACAGAAACUUAAAAUUUCGAGUAAUUAGUGGUUCAAACACUAUUACUGCUAAAAAGGGUAGCUUUCUAUUCCGAAAGGAAUUAAGAAAGUGAAAAUCAACCACACAAAUUCAUUACAUAUAUUUUGACUGAAACAAUCUUUGUUAGUGAAAUUUAGAAAUGCAGAAAACACUAAGAACUUGUACCACAUCUUGUAAACCUAGAAAACCAAAAAAAAAAUCACUAAGAAAAACCAACAUACGCCAUACUCAGCUGCCGACCAAAUGUGAAGACACUCAUCACAAAGCUAUUGAUGUGCCCAUUUACAUACUAAUACUUCAAUUGAAAUGUAACGCCUUAAUGCUUCGCAAUCCACUAAGAAAACACGAGAAAUAGUUAAACGCCAACCUACUCAUACAUCUAAAAUAAAAGAUCUAAUAAACUGAAAGCUCUUGCAACAAUAUAACAGCAAAGAAGGAUCCAAUAAACAGAGUAUGAAACUAUUCAAACAUCUCACUACAUCCACCUACAAUAACAGCUAAAAUUACGAUUUAUCACUUGCUCAUAACCUAAUCCCGCUCAAACACCAAACUUUAUAAGAAACCAUAUACCCUAAACGAGAAUCAACGAAACAAACCACCAUAACACCUACAAGGGCUACGAGAACCCUAUCAAGCCCCAAAAAACCCCAAUCAGAACCCUAGAAAACCCUCGAAAUUGAUCAAAAGAGGAGAAGAGCGUUUAGAGAUCUCACCUUCGUUCGAGAAAGGAACGAAUUAGGGCAAGAUUUGGAGGGGAGAGAGAGAGAAGAGGCGACGCGAUUUCCCCCGCUCUCCUCUCCGCUCUCCUUUUUCUAUAUAGCUUUGUUUUUUCUUUUUUUUUUUCUUUUUUUUUAGAGGAAUUGGGGGAGAGAUGAGAAAAGAGGAGGGGAAUAAAACCCUAGGGCUCGAUCCGUCCUUGCAAUGGUGGUGUUUACUAUUUAGCACGGGGGGCGCACGUGCGUCGCACGUGGUAGGGGAAAAUUAUUUGCGUGCACCCGGUGUAGCCGGUUUGUUGUACGGUGUACAACUGAUUUUUCAAAUUGAAAAUGAUACCAUAUCUAAUGUAAGUGGUAAAACUUUUAAUGAUUACUUCAUAUUUUUAGUUAAGAUAUUAUUUGGUUCCUAAAAAAAAGCAUGAAAAAGUAAAGCUAUAGACGAAUUUAAUUUACGGCAAACUAAAAUAAUAUAAGUAGGUAUUUAUUGACGAAAUAACUGUACCCUUCUCCGCGUGCCGUGAAAUAAAUAUGCUCCAAAAAAGUGGAGAGAUUUUAGUAGUUAUUAUUAUAAAUUAAAUUUGAUAGUCACUUUAUUUUUUCUAAAGUGUUGUAAUUGACAUUGUUUUAACCGGUGGCGAAGUGAAUUACAAGAGGGAAAGAAAAUAGAAAAAUGUAAUAAAAAAUCAAUUGUUGUAAUUUUUUCCAAAUUUCUGUGUACCAAUGUGAAAACUUUAUAUAGAGAGCGGAAGAAUUUUAACUCUAAAAUCUUGAAUCUCCAUCAAACAAACAGCAGUGAAAAAAUAUUUUUUAUUUAAACUUUAGUUUAAUUGAAAAUUAUUUUUAACCCGGAAAUUAGGUAUCAACAAACAACCAAUUUUGUUUAGCUUGAGUGUCACUGCGUUUGGUUCGGGAAUAAAUAAGAACUGUUUAUUUCAGGGAUAGAUAUAAGUUCAUGUAUAAAUAGGAACUAGACCAAUUUUGUAUUUUGAUGAAAAAUGGGUUGCUUCUAGGAAUAAAGUAAAUAGUAUUUGGAUGAUUAGAUUGGAACAAAGAGAAUAAGAAUUAUAAUUUUAAAUUAAAAUUAUUUUAUCUAAUUAAUUAACAUCAAAAUAUUAUUUAAAAAUAAUUUAAUAAAUUAAUAAAUUUAUUAAUGGUUGAUCAAUAUAAAUAUUAGUUUAUGGAUAAAUAUAUUAAAUUAUUAAUAAUUAAUUAUAAAUAAUAAAUUGAUUAAUUAUUUUAUUAUUUAGGAAAUAAAUAAUAAUUUAAAUAUAUUAAUUAGAUUAACUAAUUAAUAAUUUAAUAUUAUAAUUAAAAUUAAAUUUAGAUUUUAAUUAACUUUGUUCACACCUUGGAACAAGCUUAUUCCAGGAAAAAGGAUGGAACAUCAGCUCCAGCCUUACACCAACUUAUUCUAGAAAUUUGAGAACUACUAUUCUCAGAUACCAAACGCAAUGUUUGGGAACAAAGGGGGGAACAAAGGGGGGGGACAAGGACUUAUUCACCCUUUGUUUCCAAACCAAACACUGCCUUAAUUUUUUAUACAGUGCUGUAAUUUUUUUGGAGAAAAAGAUAGUGCGUUACUGCUUCAUUCAUUCAGACAAUAAAUUUAGCUACAUAGAGUGAGGCACCAGGCCUCAAGAGAAGGAAAAAAAAUCAAAAGAAAAAGAUCUAAAAGAAAAGAGUAAAAGAAGAGUAGUAAAAAUGUUAAAAAAAUAAUUGCAACGUCAAAUCAAAUACUCAAAAGGAUGGAGAUAUCACCCAGCUCAACAGCACUCAGUCCAUUCCGCUGCCAGUUUCCUAACGCGUUGGGCAAUAAUUGACAUUGUUUUUGCUGGUGGCGAAGUAAAUUACAAGAGUGAAAGAAAGUUAAAAAAAAAAAACAUAUUGAAAAAUCAAUUGUUGUAAUUUUUUCUAAUUUUCUACAUACCAAUAUAUGAGAAUUUUACAUGGAGAGCGGAAGAAUUUUAACUCUAAAAUUUUGAAUUUCCAUCAAACAAAUAGUAGUGAAAAAAUAAUUUUAUCUAAAAUUUAGUUUAAGUGAAAAUUAUUUUUAACGUGAAAAUUAGGUAUUAACAAACAAACGAAUUAUGUUUAGCUAGAGUGUUUCAAAAACAUCAAAUUUUAUAUUUUAGAAGGCCCUAAAAAAUUAUAUAUAUAUACACGCACACUUUUAUGCCACUGCUGUAGCGUUUAUUAUCAUUAUUUUAUUAUACUCGAGGAGAAAAAGAUUAAAGUGUUUUUAAAUUUGAGUAAUGCUACUCAUACACUCCAAAAUAGGAUGUACAUUUUGCACCCGCUUCAUCAAAAAAUCAUUAAUUAUCUACUUAUCGCAUCAACAUUUUUUUUUUAUUAAAAAGAUUUGAAUUUUGUGAAUUAUAAAAUAAAAGGUGUAAGAUUUACACUCCCAUUUGGGAUGUAUAAAUUUUUUUUUUUUUAUUCUUUUUCAGUCUUUUAAACCCCUUGUGGCUUAAUGUAUUUUCACUAUUACCGCUCUAUGGUCCAAAAGUUGUAUUUAACUAUUUUAGAUUUUUUUUUAUUGUAGAUUUAUACAAUUAAACAGGUUAAUAUUACUUUUUAAAAAUCGAGGUGAUUUAAAAAAAAUUGCUAAAUUAAAGCUCACAGGGUCUUUGUAUAUUUUUUCUAUUUUUAAGGAAAAACAAUUCAAAAGACACAUGAAUUUUUGCACUUUUGCAAACAAAUAUAUGAAUUUUAAUGUUGGUAAUUAGAUAUUCUAAACUUUAUCGAACAAUUUAAAAAGUCUCUCUUCUUAUACAAAGUUGCUUAUUAAACGGCUAUUUUGACCGCAUAUCUUAAACAUAAUUUUGUUUAUCUUUAUUAAAAAAGUUAUUUUUUUCUUCUACCUAGGAUGAUUAAGCAUGAGGAUUGAAUAACAAAAUAAAUCUAUCUCAAAUUUGUAUUACUUUUUCUAUGUGUUAGAAUAAAAAGAAUAUAUAUAUAUAUAUUUAUGUUUUAAAGCUUUACAAUAUGGCACAUGCUACCAAAACAACUACGUAAUUAGUAAAUUACUUGACAAACAAGCAGGUUGAAUAAUUCGCAUGCUGGUCAUCAUAUCGAUCAUGCCAGUAUGGAUUGAAUUUAUCAGCAAAUUUUUGGAUAGUUAAUAUCUAUUUCCAUACUUGCUCACGAGUAUUCGCGGGUUACAAAAAAAUGUCUGCAAUUUAACGGAUGCCAAUCCAUUUUAUCCGCAAUUUUUUGGUAGGAAAAAACUAAUACCUGUACCUGUAAAUUGGUGGCUAAUCCACGUCUACCCCGUGUACCGGUAGAGAUUGCUAGAUGCUGAGAGUUUUUCGCAUUUAACUUCUCAAACUCUUUAUUUUUAAAAUGGUUCGACAAAUUUAUAUAUGCAUAAAUUAUACUCUUCCUGCCACGUGAGCGCAGAUAGAAGAGGGCCAUGUAGGCAUUUUUAAGUUAAACAUAGUAAUCGAGACACCUUAUUUAAACACACUAAUUGGAUUAUCAUAUCUAUAUGCAUACACUUAUCUCUAUUUUCAAUUCGGGACGAUGAGAAUUAAAAAAACACGAUAAAAAAGUACAAAAAGAAGUACAAUAAUGAUUGGAUUAUCAUAUUCAACUUAAAAAUGCUCACACGGCUCUCCCCUGUCCAGCGUCGCUCGACAGGGAGAACAUCAUUCCUACAAAUACGUAUUUGCUAAAGCUAUUUGUAAAUUUUUUUUUUGAGGGUGUCGAAUGCAAAAAAAAAAAAAAAAAAAAAAAAAAACUGUUGGUCUUGGUAAGAUGAACCUAUUGAACUAAUUGCCUAUAUACCCCUCAUGCGUCUGGAAAUAUCCGAUCUACCCCUACUUUUUUUUUUCUUUCUAAAAUGCCCCUCAUAUGUUCCACCGUUAUUGCAAAAUACCCCCGCAGUUAUCUCCUGUUAAGUUAACCUGAGUUAAACGUGAGUUAAAUAUCUAUCACAGUUAAAAAAAAUUAAAAUGCCAAUUUUGCCCUUAUCUUAAGGGCAAAUAAGAAAGGUUGGUUACGGUAGAGGGGUAUAUUGGAAAAGACAAAAAGUUGAAAUACUUUUUGUGCCCCUGACUUUAAGGGCAAAUAAGAAAGACAAUGAUGGUGGAAGGGUAUAUUUGAAAAGGGUAAAAGAGUAAUUUUACAGAGAUAACAGUGUUAUUUAACAGAUUAUAACUCUAAGGGUAUAUUAGAAAUAGGUUGGAACGUAGGAGGGGUAUUUUCAAUAUUAGCCUUCUAAGAGGGGUAAAUCGAAAAAUCGGAAACUUUUCAGGGGUAUAUAAGAAAUUGCCCCUAAAUUAAAAUGUAGAGGGUCUCAUUGCUAAAUUAAAAAAAGUUCAGGCACGUAUCUACAAAAUUGAUAAAGUUUAGGAGUCCUUCUCCAUUUUUUUCACCUUAUUAUUAUUUUAUUAAUUAAUUAAUUAAUUUUAUUUAUUUUCGUUCGCUUCGUCUUACUCCCUCCCCAUUCGAUCCCAAAACGAGAGAGGCGUCGUCGAGGGAUUCGGGAUCCUCCCAACGAGCGAGCGAUCGAUGGAUCGAAUCCAGGUACGUUAAUGGCGAAUCCCUUCCCCAUCCCUCCUCAGAUCCCUGCGUUUCAUCGCACGGAUCGCCUCUUUAGGGUUAGGGCGAUGUGCGCUCGACCCCCUCUCGAUCUCUCCACCUAGGGUUUUGAUCGGCCGUUGUGUUCAUGCCCCGAUCUCGUAGUUUCAAUUGGUUUCCAAUGCAACUUGAUCUGAGUUUCGGCGCUUUUUGAUCUAGUUACUUGAUUUCCCGUCGAUCUGGGGUAGAUUAAGUUUCGAUCGCUGAUUAAAUGCAUGGAUUUAGCUCGUUUUCUCUACUCCGAUCCAGAUCUGAGAGUAAUAUGCUGUUUCUGUGCGUGUAGAAUACUGAGGAGAACUAUGCGAACCCUAAGACGUGCUUCUUUCAUGUGAUCUUCAAGGUGAGUAUUGGGAUAUGGUCACUAUUGUGGGCUCGUUUUGAUGUAUCUUAUUAAUUGAGCUUGUUCAUAUAUCUAUAGGCCGCGGCGUUGGCGUUCUACGUGUUAUCCGCCCUGUUUUUUGAUAGCUUUGUGAUCAUCUUCGUCGUAACGGUUCUUCUCGCGGCCCUCGACUUCUGGGUUGUUAAGAAUGUGAGUGGGCGGAUAUUGGUCGGGUUGCGGUGGUGGAAUGAGAUUAACGAGCAGGGAGAGAGUGUGUGGAAGUUCGAAUGUCUCGAUCAGGAGGUUUAUAAUGUUUCUGUUUCUUAGUUUGCUGUUCUUCCAUUCUCCGAUAAAUGCUUCUUAAUUGAAGUUAUAUGGUGGUUUAAUUGUUUCCUUUUUCAUUGUUUUCUUUGAUUCGAUGCAGUCCCUUGCUCGGAUGAAUAAGAAGGAUUCGUGGCUGUUCUGGUGGACGCUUUAUCUAACGGUUAGUACAUUGAAGCAAUAAAGUUGCCUGAUUAUCUUGUAAUAAUUUGCAUUGUUAGAAUAUUUUGUGUUCUCUUAUUACAAUUUAUUUUUUGAUUAACUAGUUUCAUUUUUCCCCCUCUUUCUAACUGUAUGUUCGGUUGCAUCUAUUUCUUUAAUUCAUCAUAUUUGACAUGAAUUUAGUUCGAUUCGUAAGGAAAUUAAUUAAUCUGUUUGGAACAAAACGGAAAGGAAAUGAAUUCCGAUCAUUUACAUUGUUUGGAAAGGUCUAACAAGUCAUCAAUUGUGUUCAUUUUUACUGCUUCACCCUUCAAUAAAUAAUAUGAAAGGCGACAUAACUAUCUAUAACUAUAUAUUAUUCCUCAAUAACUGCACACGUGUCGUGAGGAGGCCAAGGUGCGGGCGCGAGGCGCGUGGCGCGGGCGGAGCCGCGAGUGGGAGCGGGCGCGGGGCGCGCGAGGGUGCGGACGCGGGUGCGAGCCGAGGGCGGAGGGCGACGCGUGGCCGGCGGGAGCGGAGCGGGCGCUGGCGCGAGCGCGGCUGGGCGGAGAGCUUGGUGCUGGGGUGUGCUGUGCGGUGGUUCUGCCGGCGGUUGCGUGUGCUCGGCGCUGGCGUCAGCGGGGCGAGUGGCGGGAGGAGCAGUGGCAGCGGGCUAGCGCGCAGCAGGGUGCGGCGCGGGCGCUCGGGCCCGAGUGCGGUGCGGCGCGAGGUUCGGCGCGAAGCCGAAAAGAUACGCGACUUUUUGGUUUAUCCGGUGCCCACGAGGCCAUUUCGGCCUCGUGACCACGUGAGAGGGAGGUCCACAGUGGACCUCCCUCUCAUUAUAUAUAUAUAUAUAUAUAAAAUUUUAUUUAUAAAAUAAUAUUAUUUAUUAAUAUAUUAUAGUAUUUUAGUGUUGCAUUUAUUAGAUAUAUGUGACGGGUUGACAUUUGUUGAUGUUGGUUCGUGAAUUUACGCUUCGGGGUACAUAAAUAGAAUAUUUGUUAUUAUUAUAUAAUAAUUUAUUAUAUAAUUUACUAUUUAUUUUUAUAAAAUAUAAAAUAUAUAAAUAAAUGUUAAAUAAUUUAGACUACUGGUAUUCGAUAUAAAUAUUAAUUUUAUAAUGUUGAGCAUUCACAUAUAAAUUGUACAUUAAAAAAUAAAAAAAAAUUAAUACAGGUUAAGUUAAUUUUAUAUUUGACAAAAAUUAAUUGCGAGAAUCACAAACAAUGAUUUCUUAUCUCAUUCACUAACUACUGGGGGACUAUAAUACCUACUAAAAUUAUUUCACUAACUAAUGGGGGACUACUAUGCCUACUAAAAUUUUUUGAUGUACUUAUUGCACCAUUUAAAUUCUAAAAUUAAUUUUAUAACUAAUUUUUAAAAUUAAAUUUUAAAAUAACUACCCGCAGCAUCGCGCGGGUCCCUUAACUAGUUUAAAAAUUAAAUACAAAACACAAACUAUUUCACAAAUUUGUGGUAUAUGACCCCACGCAUAAACCCAGCCGACAUCAUUUCAGCAUAUGUCACAUAUCCAAAUUAAAGUAGACAAACCGUCUCGCCAAUCAUAAUAACCGGAUACCUGAAGAAAGUACGACAUGCUAUUAUGUUUAGGCAAAAUAUGUUCCACGAUCUAAUAGAACGUGUGGCAGGAUUCAUAAACACAUAUUUUCUUAAAUGAGACUAUUUAUUCGCAGUGGUUACUAAAUAUUAACCAAACUAGUGAAAAGGGAGCUGAUCUUGGUAGCCUUUGCAUGUCAUAUUCCCGAAAUAAAGAAAUAACAAAAGAGUUGAGAUGCAGUAUCCAUGGUUCUGCUUGGGAAAAAAAAAGAUCUAUAUCACGGUUAUCAUGAUUUAGAGUAUGUCUACUGAAAUUCAUGAUUCUUAUGUAAGAUCAUGUUAGAACCUUUGGAUUCUGGUGCAUUUUUUGUUCAGAUUCAGUACAUAAUAAACAGAUAUAAAAUAGCUACAUUAAGAUGCUUUUGUGAAAAUCAACAACUAAGCAUACUUCUAAUUAUUCAGGCUGUUGCGUGGGUAUUCUUGGGAAUUUUUUCACUCAUUAGAUUUCAAGCUGAUUAUCUACUCGUAGUCGGAGUUUGCUUGAGCCUCAGCGUUGCGAACAUUGUUGGCUUCACUAAAUGUCGCAAAGGUAUGAAUAUUUUCAAUCUCUCCUUCUCUAGACUUUCUGCGUAAAAUAUCUUGUGCAAUUUUAUCCAUUUUAUUGCUGAGGUUUGUUCUUUCAUUUGUCUAUCUUCUGUUACUGGAUGUGGAUUGUUAUUAGGAAAGUCUUUCUUUUUAUUUAAGGAAAGUGAGCAUUUCUACUUUUAAACCAGAUAAGCAUGACUUUCAUAAUGUGGGUAAAUCAUAACUUGCUUGUGCUCGAUGAACUUCCAAUGGGUUUCAUUUUUCUCUUCUUUUUUUUCUUUUUUGUGACUUGAAGCUGUCUGAACUUCCUCCUAUAUAUUGAUGCUUUACAAUAUUUUGUUCCAUUCCUUGGUGAUAAAAUAAAAUGCAGUGUUGACGAUUAGUUAGAUAUUCGGUUGUAUUUCUUACACUAGUGGGAUCAGCUUUGUAACUAAUUCUAGACGAACAACUAAUAGAUUAUAUUUAAUGCUUUUCCGGUUUUCUGGACUAGUGCAUCUCUUACAAUCGAUCUUGGAGUUUUUCCUCAUCAAUGAUCAAUGAUAAGAACUAAUCCUUACAUAUACGGGCAAUAGUGGGCCGGGUUCGGAUUAGGCUGACUUCAUAUAGUAACACUAUGUUUAUGCCUGAUUACUCUUUUUUUUUUUCCCGUCUAUAGUCUGUCUUUAUUAAGUUAAUCGACGUAGACAUACAUAUACGCUCUUUGCUUAUUAGCUCAUUAUCUUUGUAUCGCUCAAUAUUAUGCACUUGAGAUAUCACUCUAUCAUGUUUACCGAAAAUGUAAGUGCUAUUUCUUGUGCGGUGCAGAUGCCAGGAAACAGAUCCAACAGUUUGCUUCGCAAACGAUCGCAUCCCGCUUUUCGUCUACGCUACAAUCAGCAUUUAGUGUUGUUUGACCAACCAUACAGGAAAAUAAUAUUUGGUAGUGUAAAAUUUGUCAUAACAGCAUGUGUUUCUUUUUCUUUUCCUUUUUUUUUUCUCUUUCUUUCAUUUCUUUUUUUCUCUUCUUCUUUUUUGCUCUUCCCAACUUCAUAGUUGCUCCCCCGUCUCAGGACAAAGUUCUAAGCUUCUGUAUUUCGUUUUCCCGACGUUACAUUGCACCUUUUACCUUUUCCAUUGUUAAAGAGGUGAUGUUUUUUUGUUUUUUUACCCCCAAAAAUGGACUGAAAAUUGCACCAUAGAAGUUCUCAUUUGCUGGAAAGGGAUAUAUGACUGUAAUGUUUAUUUUAUUUCUAUUGGUUGUUGUGGUACAUUUAAUAAUUACCUGUAUGAAUUUCAUUCUAUCUAAUCUUGUGGACACAUAUUUCCUGCGGAGGCAAGCCCAAGAUGUCCAUUUGCUGUUGCCUCCCUGAUGGGCCCACUGCUCUCCCAACAUAAAAAUAGCAGAGGAAAUUUUAUGGCGCACAAUAUAUUAGGAUUUAGGAUUUUUGGGUUUAGAUUUGAAUUUUAGAAUUUAUUCUUAAUCUUUCUUCUUCUUUCUUUUUUUGAAUGUACUGUAUCUAACGGUAGAACCCGAUCAGGUGUGUGAUUUUAUUACUUUUUCAUAAAAUAUGAAAAAACAGAAAAUGUCUCCAAAAUUGGUUUUUUCUAAAGACUAAGGUUUCGUUUGAAAUUGCGGCGGUGAGAAAGUAUCUCUCUGUUUUCAUAAGUAAUAUUGCGUUCCGCAUAUCGCAAUAUAGUCAGUUAUGAUAUAUUUUCUGUGGUCCCACUGGUAGGACCGCAGAAAUAUAUUCCUAUAUACUUUUUUCUCGAAAUCUAAUAAUAUUUGAUAGGCCUCAAUACCAAACCAUUUUAUCUAAUAACGUUUGAUAGAUCUCAAUACCAAACUACGGAUGAAAAAUAUUUUUCCACCACAAAAACUGUUUUUUCUUAGAAAAAAUAUUUUCCGUGUGCCCCAAAACACUCCCUAAGAGAAAGGCAAGAAGACAAAAGCCGCAUAAAUAAAACAUGAAAGAUACCCUAAAAUUAUUGCCGACAAAAUUAUACACGUUUACAUUUAGACCAAUUAACUAACCUUUGUCAUGCAGAAGCGCGUUCAAUAUUACAAAUAAACAAAAAAAAAAGGGAGAAAUUAAAAAAAAAAAAAAGAAAAGAAAAGAAAAGGAGAAAGAGCCCACACAUCUGUACACCUGUAUGGUAGAAUUACACGGGUGGCGUCUGUGGUUAUGUACACCCCAAACCAUCCUCCCCCUGCUUUAUUUCUCCUUCUGUCGGAGCUUUAGGAGUUGGGAUUGUGUUUCGCCACCGACUUUUUCCUAAAUUUGUGAUAACCGUCGACGACGACACUCGUGUGUUCGAGCACAAUGAUAUUGCUUCUUCCGGAUUAAUUUUGACUUGUAUCAUACAGACGGACAUCUUAGCCGUGUAAAUAUAUGGACGGCGGCCCUUUAACUUAGGUCGAAACCAGCUUCUGCGUUUAUCGCAUACAGCAAUUUGGUCCGCAGCUGCUCCUUACUGUUCCUCCGAAAUGCACCAACUCAUCAGUCAUAGGGAAGAAAAAGAAGGCAGUGGUAAAUAAAAGAAAGGAAUGUAUGGAUAGUCCCUGUACUGUCCUAAUAACAUGACUUUGGCCUCACUUUAGUCCUAAGCCGUUAAAGAAGUAAUAAAAAGACCUCCUUAACCCUGUUUGAAGUAGAUUGAAGUGGUUCGGUCUCAUAGGAGUAAGAGGUGUAAAAUGUCCAUUUAACAAGAUUUUUUUUUUUUUUUUGAAGCCCAGGCAAAAGUGCAGUCUAUAUGAAAGUUCUAGGGUUAAAAGUAUGGGAACCUAACCACAAUAUUUGGGAUGGUACAGGGAUUGUUCAUCUAUUUUAGCAAAUAUAAUUUGCCGAAUGUGUUAACUUAAUAUCAAUAUCUAAUUUUGGUUGACAUGUGCGGCGGCUGUAGCAGGUGCUUUAAAUUUUAACAAAUCAAUGUUGUCAUCCAAUUUGGUUUCUGAGACAAGAUAAAAUGAAGGACUUUUUUUUUUUUCUAAAAAAAAAAUAUGCUGUAUGGACAAAAAUGAAGUUGCGCACAGCUGAACCAAGAACAAGACUAUCUGCUACGCGUUGUUUACGGUAAGGUUAAAAUGAAAGGAAGCCAAACUAGGAUCCAAAAAUUCUGCGUGACAAGCAUUUAAAUAGACUAACCUUCUGUAGGGCGGGAGCUUAAGUAGGUUCAUGCAAGUUGCUGAAGUGGGAAGACGGUCGAGAUCCUCUUCUGCGGCAUCAAAAGAACCAGCCCUGCAUUUGAACAAAGCCAAAACCGGAAGCCGAUGAAUGAACAAAGAUUUGUAAUGAAAGAAGGUAACGGAAACACAGAGAUGAGAAAAUAAAAAUGGGAAGGGUGUAAUGGACCUCUGUAUGCAGAAAUUCGGUUCGAUAUACUUGAAACCGAGAAGAGGUCCUCGAGAGCAUCCGGUUACAAACCUGUGAAUGAGAAUGGUCAGUUAUAUUGCAUAAACUAUAGCUUGGUUAAUUACACAAUAAUAGAAUAAUAGUUAACUGUUAACAGAUCAAGAUGAUUGUGAAGAGAAGAUGAAUCCGGCAAGCUUAGAUACUAGUAUUACGAAUUCUUCGUGUUUAGUAGCAAUAUUAGCUUUUUCUAAGAAUAUUGACAAAUUUACAAUUAUUUGGUAUGGACAAUCUCUAAAAUAAGUGGUCAGAAAAGGCAAUAUAAGUACGGAAGGACCAGAGUAUCAUAAGCCUUGUCCACCAGAAGAAACUAUAUAACCUCAUAGUGUACUAAAAAGGAACCCUCUUUUGCAGGAAAAUAAAGAAAAGAUAACAACAAUAAGAUGCAUAAAGAACAACCGUAUGAUUAUACAUGCAUAUAUCCAUGUUAUAAUGAAGGAAGGCGCGUACUUUAAAAAUUUCUUCUGGUGCUCCAGAGAGAAGCUCUUAACAACCUCCCAGAACAUCUCAAUAACAUGGUGAUCCUGCAAAAAAAACAUCUAUCACUCCCAGUACCAACAAAUAAAUAAAUUACUCGAAAACAAGAAAGGAUAUAGAAGAUGGGAGCAAAGACAAAGGCUUUCAUUCCUCACUAGCAUGAUCUUAAGCAUCUUUUAUUAAAAGUUCGCCUUUAAACAAGACUGCAAGCGAAAAAAUUAACAGGAGAUUUCGCAUUGCACAUCCUAGUGCCAAGUGUAUUCAGAUGGCACAAGUUCACCAGGAGUUGAACAAAUCUUUUUUUCUUUAUUUUUUUGGAAAACAUGCUUAGGGCUGUUACAGAUCACUGCCCAAACUUGAAAAGUUAAAAUAAACUACAUAAACUUUGUAAUUGUUGCAAUCAAGAACCUAGCUGUGUCUUCUGUUAAGCUUUCUUAACAAUCUUUAAUCAGAUGUCAGCAAAUGACCCAAACACCCAAAAAAUUUUGGUAAGUGUUUAAGCACUACAGUAAUUUGAUCAUCAUCUAACUGCUAUAUAUAGCAUGAAUCACAAAUUUGAUUAAUUCAUUUUUGUUUGGUUCUAAAUUUGCAAAACAGCAGUCCAACCAAAUGCUGAUAAAACCACACAAAACCAACCAAAACAAGUUGGUUCGGUUUGUUAAUCCAGUUUAGGUCAAAUGGCUCGACGCUCAUCCCCAAUAAUGUGCCUAAAAGAGCAGAUUACAAAAUUUGAAGAAUAAGAGGAUUCUUUCCUAUAAUAUGUAAACAGAGUAGAACAUACUGGAUGAUAGCCGCCGGCAUAUUUAGUAUUGGAGCGAAGGUCAUCAACGUCCAUGCUUUCCAGUGAACCAGAUAUAAGAAGCUACAGAAAACAAAGUGUAAAAGACUUUAUCUUCCCACAUACAAUGUAGUAAAGGCAGUGGAAAAGAAAAAAAUAGCCAGCUAAUUUGCUACUACCCCCCCUUCAAAUAGAUGCACAUUUUUUAAAACAAAGGAUUUGACUCAAGCAGCAUAUUAAGCCAUUGUAGAUAGUUUAGCACAAUAUUCUUCGUCUAUGACAUCUUUAUAAUCUUAACUGUCAAAACUGGGGGGAAAAAAAAGCCGUCUUGAUAACCCAAAAAAAAUUGCACCACACCUUAACAAAACAUCCAACCGACAUUUAGUGGGAUAACACAUUGGCAAAAACACCAGCUCAUUAUCAGAUCCUAAUGAAGGAUGACUAUUCGAUCAAAUUUAUCAUAUACCAACAAACAACUGAAUAGCUUUUAACUGAUCACCGGUGAUGGCAAGUUGAAAUUACCUGAAGUUCAUUCUCAUUGAACAUAUCAAUCCAUUCUUUCUCGAUAAGUUGUUGAAAUCCUCGCAAGAAAUGUAAACUUUGAUGGCGGAUCUAUGAAUCCGAGAAAAGUAAAUAUUACUAAUGUAAUCAAUGUUUAGUAAGUACAUGCCAGAGAGAAACUAUACUAGAUAUGCUUUACCUGAUAGUUCAAACGAUGAUUGGAGAUGAGAUGAAUAAAGGUAAUAACAUUUUCAUUGGUAACACGCAAAUCUCUCCCACCAGGUACUAGUUCCUCUUCUGUUUGUUCUCCAUACUCAUUGUUUACAAUAACAAAAUACAGUUCUAGUUCCGAAAUAUCACCUUGAUAGUGCUGCAUACGUAGUCAAAAAAAAAAUGAAAUGAGUGGAAAAUCAGAAGAUGGCAGAAAUGCUUUUCAAGUUACCGUAUCUGAAGGAAUAAGAAAAAGAAAGCAUUGCAGUAAAUACGUAAUUGUAUAUCUUUAAGAUUUACCCAAUGUAAGCAUCAUUCUUUUUAUUAACAUUUCAACAAAUUUCAUGGUCAAACUAUGGAAUCUUGAUUCCAAAAGUUUGCUCAAUGAAAUCUAGAAGAAAUUUGUUGACAUCAUAAACAAUUCCAUCAAUUAAGUAACGAAGACCAUGUAGAAGACAUUUGCAAAGAUUUAGAAUGAACUUGCAAGAAACAAACAGAGAAAAGCAAGUGCCUUGUUGUAUUGGCAUGCAAGUGGCAUUUCAGUGACAUGAUGGGUUACAAGGUGACUCGUACAGUGACAGCAUGGGAGCAGCACACACCGUGCCCUGGCAUGGUUGGAAAAACGUGCAAUGUCCUUUGGGAUUUUGUAAAGCUUAAGACUAGCCGGUUUCUAAAAGUAAUCAUGUUGGCAGUUGACACAAAUGAGAAGAUAAAAAGCCAUGAAAGUUGUUUCUUUGGCGUCUAUAACUAAUCAUUGUAAUCGCUAAACGAAGCAUGUCAAAACCGAAACAUGCAAUAAGUGACAUAAAUAGCUUCACCGGAAGCCAUCCAUGCCACAUAAUUGCAAUCAUGAUAAACAUUUGAAGACUUCCACAAAUUUAGACAUGUAACUAAACCUAGUAAAAGUAACAACACGAGUAUUUUUUUUGUUUAGAGGAGCAUCUUUUAAUGCACUUCCUUUGGCCAUAUAUGUAGCACAUGCCAAGUCCUUACUGACUUCUAAAAUAUAUAGAUGUCACUAAGCACUAACUGACUCUAAGUAGAUUCGAUCCCGUGAAGAUUACCUUAUAAUCAUUGAAAUAUGAGCUAUUUGUCACCUAUCAGCUAAUCAUCAUAUGAAAUUCUGCAUUUGGCACAUAUAUCAAGAAGAAACAAGAUGAUAAUACAAAAUAACAACUGGAAUCUAGAGCAAGAUAACCUGUUACAGUGUUUUUGACUGUUCCUAACUCAGUAAGACAGAGGUUGCCUCUUUAUUAUGGUUAAAUAAUCAGUCUGAGUGUCAAUUUGAAGCACCUAGUAUGGUAUAAAUACUCAAGCCAACAGAAAUGUAUACAUGUAUGCAUCAAGGUAUAUAAGAAGAUACCAACACAUCAGAAAUUACUAAAAAAUUACAAAAAGUGUAAUAAGGGAAAAUUCUAACCUUCAAAAAUAGCAGAUGCCGAUACAACUCUGGGUCUAACGAAGGCAAGUCAUGCAAAUAGUUGUGUCUGGUUAUCAAGAGAAAAUAUCAUGCAAAGAGAAACAAAGUUAUGCAAGUCAAUUGAAUUAUUUCCUAGUCAUAUAUUUAAGCAAAACGGCAGUCAAACAGCUAGAAAAAUUUUGCAGCAAAUGGGACCUUACUUUUCUUUCAAUUUGCUUAGGAAGAAUGUUGCAAAUGGAAUAUCAACAAGUAUUCCUUCAUACAUUGCCUACAAAAGAUUAUGUAGAUCACAAGUCAAUCCACCAAACAAUAGAUUAUAAUGGCCUCCAAGUGAUAAAACACAAAUUGUUAAGUUAAAAAGUAGAAUGUGGGGACCAAAACAUGCUGUAGAUUAAAGAAACCUAGAAGCAACAAUACAAGCAAUAAAUUCAGCGUAUUCGGAAGUAUGCUUUUCUACCAACCUUGUCCUCGCGUACAUUGAUGCAAACCAACUAUCCAUCAACUCCUUUUCACCCAUAAUAAAAGGCAUUAUGAAUUCAGUUUCAGAGUAAUCAUCCUCACUAUAUUUUUUCCCUCUAAUGCUAGAUAAGGCCAAACUCGACAAUUUUCAAAGCAGGUUAAAGAAUACUUGAAUUGACCAUUUUCUGAAAAGAUCUAAUAAUUAGAAGCUCAAAUUGUAUUGCAAGAACCACUUUGAACCACUCUGGCUAACUCAUCAAUAGAAAUGAGCAGAAAUACAAAAAGCAUCAUUGCUGAGGGCAAUAGUUGAAGGCCUGUCAGCAAUUACUUAUUUAAUAGGACAUUUAGAGAAGCUCCAUAGGAUAUAGAAUUGAUUUUAUUUUCUUGGCUUAUUUGUGCCUAAGAUAUAAAAACAAAUUAACCCUUCUCCGUCAUAGAACUCCAGGCCCAAAGGAGGCGUUGCUUCACUUCAUCAUUCUACCACCAAAAAGGAUCAUAUAUAGUCAUAGGCCCUUCUACCAAAAACGUGCCCAAAAAAGAGUAACAACAAUAACCAGUUGCAAAAAAUACUCACUACACCCAAAAUGUCAUUUCCAUUUUCCACUGAUGUAAAGGUCCUCUGAUCAUAUGUCAUUGACGAUUACAGUUACUGGUUAAUAAGAACAAUGGUAUACUGUAUACACCCACACAAGAUAUUCAGAAACUCCAAUUCAAUUCCUUUACAUCAAACCAUGAGAAUCUAUAUCAACUAAAAGUGAUAAGAACAGUAGCUAUGGCAUGGUUAAGAGCUAAUUAAAAAAGGAAUAGAUUACGAGCUAAUUAGAAGGAAAAGGUUUCCUACAAUGUGAAGUAAAUAUUUUUCGUUGUUUUCUUAUAUACUGUGCAUUUUAACUGUAGCAAAAAUUCUAUAAAAGAGAUGUGCAAAAUCAUCAGUAUUAUCAUCGAAAACAUUUCCCAGAACACUCAAGAUUGGAAUGAUCCAAUGGAAUUCAAUUCUCAUUGUAAACCACAAAAAUCCUCUAAAAAUGGUGAAUUCGGGGAGGGGGAGGGGGGGAGGGGGGUGUGUGUUGUGGGGGGUGGAAUCCUAUAUAAGAGUUGCAGAUAGUCUUGGAAGAGAUUACAUUAACUAUUCUUGAUAUGAGAGAAUUCAAGGGCUAAUGAGGAAGAUAAUUUUGAAGGCAAUGGUUUUGCAUUUUGGUGUCUCCCUACAUAGUUAAGAGAGAAAAAGAAAACAUAAAGUAACUAUUAUUGUGUAGAUUUUAUCGUAUUGUGAUAACUGAUAACCCAGAGCCCACUCACUCAAUUACUUAAACUAACAAACAAAGAGAACUAGAAAAUAAGUACCUUUCCAAGGAGGGUUCCAAGAAAAUGGAAAAGUUGUAGAUGUUGUUCAUGAGUUAAUCCUGAUCCAGGGUUUGGAUACAAAAGAUGAUCGGCUGUUUCCUAUAGAAGCAGCAAAAAUGUGGAAAAGCUACAGAAGUGAGAAUGGCAUUAGGAGGGAAAACAAAAAAGAAAAAUAUCAUUAGUGAAAAUCAAACUGCAACAUAUUGCACUAACUAACAUGAGCAUAUUUAAUAUCAAACAUGAUCUUAAGAUAAGAAAUGAUGAUCGUAGAUCAGAAUAUUAGUUUUAGCAUUUGGUUCGUCACGAAGGAAAACCAGCUUUACUUCUUCACUGUUUAGCUUGUAGGCAAGGAAAUGAAGAACAUAAACUAAUCGAAGAGGUAGGAACCAUAGUUACACUUAUUGGUGUACAUUGAAUUUAUCAAGAAAACGAAAAUAAAUGGUCAAUAUUUCCCAGAAUCUUAACAUGUAGUUUAAGGAAAAAGGUACUCAACUAUGUGCCAUCUUGAAAUAGGCCCCUAAACUUUAACUUUUCUAUUUGACAUCCCCUUGUUUUUUUUUUAAUAUUUGCGUUAUUCUAGUUAGUUAAGAAGGAAAGUUUGUUAAAUUAAUGAUUAUAUUAGCUAUUACUUGUUCCAGUUUUAUCCACUAAAAGGUGAUGAACAUCCCAUAAUAUAGUAGAAUAACUGAUCAAAUUUGAUAAAUCCCCAAUUUACUAGACUAAAAUAGCCCAACUCCGAAAAGAACAAAAGUUACAGGCGUGUCAACAAGAAAACAUAUAGUUGAGGGGCCAUUUCAAAAUGGCAUAUAGUUGAGGAAUUUCCAUACAUUUCACCUUAAAAGAACUUUUAGUUCCGUGCUCUUUGGUAGGCAUUAACACAAAAGCAGAUAAUCACAUUUAGUUUAAGCAACUUUUCAUAUUCUAGGCAGAAAGUAAACUAUAUAACUUGUCUUGAUUAUUAUAUGAAGCUAAACAAAGACAUCGUUUUCUAUAUUCAAGAUAGAAUUACAAACCUUAAAAAGCCCGUACUGUACAUCAAAAGCAGCUUGAAUAAUGUUCUCCAUAAAAUCUUUGAAGAUUCCACCCCCAUCAAUUCCAACCUCCUCUACUCCCAGUUCAUUAACAAAAGAUACACGGAUCUACAGGCAGCAUUGACAUAGCGGAGAAAAAAUAGAAAUUGGAAGCAUUUAACAAAAAUUAACAGAUUGAUAUUGUUGGUUUUUCAAAGAGGCAUAUUGCAUCAUUAGUUCCUAAGCUUUUAGCCAAGUUUCACUUUGGUCCUCAAACUUUUUAAUUCAACAUUGAAUACCCCCAACUUUUGAAAGUGUUCAAUAUAUUCCUCAUCCUCGUUUACUACUGGGGAAGAAAGAGAUAUUAGUGCUUGCACUCAGUGCAUUUGUACAUCUGGAAACCGUGACACCGUGUUUCCAUCAGUCCGCAUCCUAUCUCAUAUCGGAAUCCAUAAUGUUCAUUGAGUUGCAUACUCAUAUAUCGAAGAGUUGGAUCAAAAUAUGAGAUGAACAACUAAAAAGUCGAACUAAAAAGUCCAAAAAACAACAGUUCAAAGACUAGUACUGCAGCUUAUCAGUUCUCCAAAACAUCGUAAACAUAAAUUUAAGUAAAUAACUAAAAAGGGGUGCAAUCAUACUGAUGCUCGAAGAUCUUCCUCUGACAAUCCGCUCAGGGAGUUGAAAGCAUCUUCAACAAUCCGAUUUCUUCUUAUUUUGAAACGGUGCCUUGUUAAUAUGGGAUGGGAUCCAGUUCUUUGUUUAGAAGCAGCCAACUGUGACUAUUCAUAGAAGUACAAAAUUACAAUAAAAGGAAUGCUAAAAACUUAUACAACUUCAGAGAUUGAGAAAUGACAGUCUAUUUAUGGUUGUCAGAUCCUGAUGGUCUUACUUAUUAAUAAAAUUUGUCUAUCAUAAUAUAUAAUGAAGAAAUCAACAAGUUACAUCUAAUCUAUUAUGAUGAAGGUAGAAGAUGGUAUGCUUACAGUGAAUAUUCUGACUCUGCUAGUAAACGGCACAAGAAAGGGAGCGAGUUUUAAUAUAUCAGAUGCCCGAGUGUUUCCAAGUAUUGCCUACAAGGGAGGAGAAAGAAAAACAUUACUGUAAAGACCUUAGAAGACAGAGACAAAGGGAAAAUAGUACUGGAAUUUACUACCUGUGAGAUGAAGUUUUCAUUCGUUGCUUCUUGAGAAUAGAAGUCACUGGCGGAUGUGAAUGACCUUCUGUUGUUCCAGUCUUGCAACUGCAUGAUAUGUAUACCGUUAUAACAAAUAUAAUCAAAAUAAUAUUUUCACUAUUAUAAUACAUGCAAUCCUAGGCAAAUAGAAACAAAAGCUGCCAUGUAGUGUUCUUCAUUGAGUCAAAACCUGCCACUUAGUAUUCUUUAUUAGCAACACUCUGAAACAGUGUAAAAAGACAAGGUACUAGGUGAAACCAGUGGUUUUAUGUUUGACUACAAAAAUUUUACAUAAAACAAACAGCGUUGGAAUUUUACCAAUGGAGCAACUAUUGAAGUAUUAGCAUGUGAAUAGGACAUCAGAUCAAAUGGAUAAGCUCCCAUUCUGGCCCAAGUGCUCAACCAAAGGCGAACAAUUCUAUUUGUUAUAUAAUUUCACUCUGGGUUAUGAAGAUCAGUAUAAUAGCCCAUCUAACAGCGAUUACAAAGAAUUGUAUACAUCAAACUAAUCUAGAUGCUAUUCAGUCUUCAGAAUCAAAAGAAGAUAUUACUCUGGCCCCAAAGCUUAAUAUGCUCUUGGUUGGAAUAUGUAAAUCAAUGAGAAAAUAAAUAACAAUCUUUAGGUAGUUCAUCUUCUCCGGACACUAUCUAACUACCUACGAAACCAAAAAAAGGACAUUGUAAAUUCACAUCAACCUUCUUCAUAAUCCCAUAACAGAAUCAUUUAACUUCAAUCGUCGGUAACCUAAAGAAGUAAAACCAAAUUGACGAGGGAUAUCUUGUCUAAUACUCAAAAUCAUGGAAACUGCAUUGCCACCAAAAGCCACAAAACACACAAACAGUAAGAGGAAAAGGAAAAAAAGCAACAGAAAAGAUCCAAGUACCUGUGCCAGAAGUUCAGACAUAACAAUCCUAGCUCUGCUUUUGAUAUUUUCCACCGAAAGUUUCUUAAUCCUCGAAGGGAUGGUCGAUGCUUUCUGAGUCGAAGGGUUAUGUGCAGGAAUUGUCCAUAGAAGUUGCCAUAGGGCCUACACGAAAGUCAUGUCAAUACACACAAAAGAACAAAAGGCGCAAUACAUUCCUAUAAUGCAAAAGAACUUCAGAAAGAAAUCUCAGAAAAAGAAAUCAAACAUACAAGACACCAAAAUUGCAAAAUCACCAAUACCUGCUUUAGAAUGAUAACUAAGGACCUAAUAUCAUUUAAUGAAAGUGGUUUCUCCUGCUCAUAGAACUCUUCAUUAUCAACAAUCAUCAAGAUAUGCCUGGCAAAUGAUGGAAAAUCAUGUUAAAAUUUGAAGAUGAUCAAAGAAAAAUAAUAUAACAUAUCUCAUUAAACUUACAGCAUAAGUAAAUACAAAAGAAAAAUCGAAGUUUCACUAUAUUUAAGAGAGAGAAGAAUACUUAGCAAUAUAGAAUCAAAAUAGAAUAUGCAGUCUUACUUAUAUACAGGAGAAAAGACAGACAGAGGCAACAGCCAAUUUGGAGCAUCGCUGGGUAAAUUCGUCAUGAGCUUGGAACAGAAUGGCCAUCUUUGAUUCUCAUGGCAUUUCUUAAUGAAAUUCCAAAGGGCGGGAACAAGCUCAGUCCGGUAAGCUAGUCCAGUCAUGAUGAGCUCGGGAGGCAAUGUACUGAAUACCACGUGUAGGAAAGUGCAAAUUGAUCCUACAGCUUCCACCUCUUCAUCAGACGGUCCACUAUAGCUAGUGGAUAAUGUGCCUUGAAAUAGAAGAUUCACCUGCUCCACAAGCAAAUCUCAGCUCAUGAAAAAUGCGAUCACCCACCAGUUCAUGCGAAAAAAAGAAACUUUGGUAGGUAUAGGGCAAUCAGAGGACUGGUCAUUACGUACCAAAUGUUGCAAAAGACGCGAGUCUAUUGCAUUGCAUAUCUGCCUUUCUAAGUCGACAGCAAGAGAGCUUUUAACCCCCUCGUCCAUGAAUUCAUCAUCCUCAGCUGGGUCUGGAAAGAUCCAUGAAAGUUAAGAUGUAAAUUAGUCUUAAGAGACAACCUUUACAAGGGCUGAAGACAAAAAUAAUAGACGUACAAGUUUUAACGGGCAGCAAAAAAGGUUUAGAUAUAAGUAUAUAGUAUACAAGAAUCAAGCACACCAUAUCUAAUUACUACUUCUAUAAUAAACAUUAAAAACUAUGCAUUCUAAAUACCUACAUGUAUACGUAUUAUAUUGCCAGAUGGUCACCCAAAUUUGGCUCAAAAUAACUUGUAAAAGACAUUAUGAACAAGUUCAAAAACCUAAUGGGCCUAGAUCCACAACCUAUGUACUGUCCGAGGCUACUAACUAUCGGCCUAGUCUAGCCUACUUACAACCUAACCACUAAAUUUUUGUACUUCUUCCAGUCCAUUUCCCAUAAAAGCGCAUGCUCAAAGUUCAACCAGAUUAAAGAUGAAAUAAAACAAACAAAAUAUACGAAGGUUGAAACAAAAGCAAAUAAAGCAAUUCACAAGGCCAAAACAAGAUAUAACAAGUGGCUGGAUGGCACGUUUGGUUCAAAAUAGGAAACGGACUCAUAAUGGGAAUGGGAAUGGGAAUGGACCGGAAUCGAAAAUGGAAUGAUAAAAUCCCCUAUUAAAACAAGAGGAAUUAGAAUUGGAAAAUCAUGUUCAAAUUGAAAUUCAAAAAAAGUAAAAUUUAAUUAAAAUUUAAAUUAAAUUUACUAUCCAAAUUUGUAAUCAAAAUUUGAAUCCAUCUUUGAACUUAAUUUGAAUUUACUAUUCAAAUUCAGAUUCAAAGUCAAAAUUUAAAUUAAGAACCAAAUUCAAAUAUCAAACGUAUAUUAGGAUUUAAAUUUUAACCUAAGAAAUUAAAAAUUUAAAUUUAAAUCCAUAAUUCAAAUUCAAAUUUAAAAUUAUAAUUUAUUCUAAAAUUAAAUAUAUAUUAAUAUUUGGAUUUAAAUAACUGUUAGUGAAAAAAAGUAGUUCUUUUCUUAAUUCCUUCCGAAAUCAAAGUUGAUUCCCACCUCCAUGGUGGGAAUCGUUUUGGAGGGAUUUGAUUCCCCCCGGAAUGGGAAUUGGUAUGCCAAUCCCCCAAACCAAAUACCAACAAUUGAAACGGAUCAUUACGAUUCCCAUUCCAAGCCUCAAUUUCUUCAAACCAAACAUGCCUUUAGCUUCUUUUGUUCUCGAAAAUGAAAUGUCAAGUAAGCAAUUCAUGUUAGUUAAUCCUGUGGGCAGCAGUAAACUAACUACUAUUAUCCAUGGACAAGUAUGUGGCAAACCCUAUGACUCCAUCUUUAUAUAGUUGUGCACGCCACUUGUUUAAUUUAUUAGGGUCAUCAGCACCGUCCAUGAUAACAAGUUGAACUUAUUUUUUCAUGCAUGCCUCAACUUUACUCCAGUGCAUCUUAUAGAAGGGUGAACUGCAUGAGAAAAUUAACCGACUAUAUAUUGUUUCGCAUGGAUGUACAAGGAAUAGUAAAAUUAAGCAAAUUCUCAUAUUGCGUAGGGAAGAAGAAUGUAGUGAUAGGAACAGCAAUUUUAUAGGAAAUCUUAAAGUCUGUGCUGACAAAAACCUAUAUAUUAAGUACACAAGAUUCGCAAAAUAGAAAUUUUCGACUCAAAUCAACCUAAGUCCUACACAGAGUGAGAUCAGAAAUAUGAAUCUUCAAAAAAAAAAAGUGCUUUAUCUUACAUUGUUUUGCUGAUGAUGUCACUGUUGGCAAUGUGUCCAACAAGAAUGUCGAAACAGUAAUAAAGUCUAGAGCCUGUUUCAUACCAAAGAAGAGAUUUCUUAACCAAGUUAUAUAGCAUAUUGGAAAAGAUAGUGUUGCAUACUUGGAGCACAAAACACUACAUUCAGACUAAGGAAACUUAAUAAUCAACUGAACAAUAAACACUUUUCCCCCCAGUGAUCAAUGUCCAAAGUCCAAAGUUAAAAUAAAAGUAACAAAAAGCUUCAUAUUCACAUUUCUGAUAGUUAUAGAAAAAAACAUUGAACCUAUAAAGAGGAUAAAAGUUGAGCUUAAGAAAGAUUAUUAGGUAUAGUUCAUAGUGCGCACGAAAUUAGCAAAUUGAUUUGAACUACGUGGACAUGGGGUAUCAUCAUCACUUUCUACUUAUAGAUAAUCUUGUUUCAUCAACAGAUGUCUAAAUGGCCCAUUAAGGAGAAGACCUGCCUACAUGAUUAUUUUCCAAAAUGCCUAAGUUACAACGUAAUAGAUUUGAAGUGGCCAUUCUUUGUAACAUUAUCUAUACAUUCUGACUUAAAAGACAAAGCGGACAUAUACUGGUAAAGAUUUAUAUAGCAAAUGAUGCAUUACACACUAUGUGAAACACUUGUUAUUCUUUACGAUACAUUGAAAAUACACAUCAGCUCAACAUAACUUUUGAUAUAACAUAAUAAGCAUAACGAGGGGCAAACAACUCAAAUUCACUUGCCUUCAAUGGAACUGCUAAAAUUGAAAAAAAAAUAAUAAUAAUAAAAAAACACUUACUGUAUCAGAAGCAAGUUUUGGAUCAGACAAAACAAAAGCGGCAGCUUCAAGUAAAUUUCCAAGUAUGCAGGCAUAGCCUGGAUAUUCCGGCGAUACAUCACUGGGAAGGACAUUGUGAUUACUUGGCAAACAUAAUGCCGUCUGAUGAACAUAAUGUUUGCCAAGUCCCUUUACUGAGAAAAUCUGAAAUGACACAAAAAAAAAAAUUCCAAGUGAAAACUAUUAAUUACUGUACUGUGCAGCAAAUAGCCAGAUAAACUAGAAAACAAUUCAACAAACAAAGCUGACAAACAAAAGAACAAGCUCAACUUCCUCAAUUACAUCUUAAAUGCCAUAACAAAUAUGCUCUCUCCUUUUGCUUCUAAAAUGUGCUUCGUUGAACAAAUUACUUAGCAAAAUUACUCCCAAAACAGAUUCAGGUCCAAACUGGUUCUUUGGUAUCUAGGAAAUCCAAUUCGUACACUCAACAGUGUAAUUUCGUAAAAAAAUUCCAAAAGCAUUGCAAUUAAGAAGAAGAAAAUAACCUCCUUGAAGUAUGGCAGGUGAUGCCACAUAAAAGGAAUGGAAAGAAAUUGUGAGAAGAAACUCCACUUGGGAUCUACUGUUGAACAAUAACUUGGCUGGUGACUAAUAUGUGAAGCAACAAGGGCUACAACAUGCUCCAAGGAAGAUAAGCUACCAUCAGGCUCCGGAGCACUCACAUUUUUCUGUGCCACAGUCACUUCCAUCAAUAAGUAACAUGUUUAUGAGAAUGAAAGACAAAAAAAAUGCCUUGUUUGGUUACAGUUGCGGGUUUUUUUUUUGCUUUUUCUUUUUCUUUUUUCAAGCUUAAAUUCUAUGCAAUGGAGUGCACGGGAAAAGGAUGAAUUAUAUACAAUCUGUACAUCAUGGGGUUUGUUCAGAAAGAAAAAGAAGAGAACUUUGCAAGUUGUAAACAACGAUAAUUAAGAACACAAAAUUGUACCCACAUAUGCACUCCAUCACACGAAGUUUUAUUUUAAAAAACAAAAAAGAACUUCAACCGAACAUAGUGAAGGAAAUAAUGUUUUGCCAAGUGGAACAACAUUUAAAAUGGAGUGCUUACCAAGCCAGCAAGAACUAUGCCACGUAACAAAGAAAAAACAUUUUUUUGCUGCAGAUAACCCACAACUUCACAGACCCACGGAAGUUCAGGAUUUAUUAAGCAUGCCAAAGUUUCUAGUAGAAUGACUGCAGGCAUACUGGAAUUCUUGGAUGGCAUCAAAAGUUGAUUCUUCCACUGAUUCCUAUUCAAAUAAAAAUAAGGAAUGAAAUCAGUGCCAUAGCAUAUAAUUGAUAUCUCGUUUACAUUUAACAAAUUUAAUCAGCAUGAAAAUUAGAUAAUUGGAUUCAGGAAAACUAUAAGAUGCCAACCACAAUGAAAUUUUAACUAUCCUAUUAAGCAGCAUCAAUAAACAAAGCUGAGAUUCUAAAAUUAAGCAACGCCACAACUCUUAAUUCAGGAUCACAAAGCCAGCACAUAGGAUUGGAUGGUGAAAGAAAAUUCAAUACGUGGAUCACAGUUUUUUCAAAUGAGACACAUAUACAUAACGACCGACAAGGCACAAGGUUAAGGCUGAGUUCAGUAGAUUACAUCUGGAACAAGAUUCAGUGCUGAAGAAGAAAAAGUACACAAUACAUAUUAAAAGAAAAUCUCAAAACUAAGAGAGUUAUUUCGGUAUAUCAUUUUUCGUUUGAGAAGGACAGGCAUAACUGUCACAUUACAAAUAGUAAGGGACAUUUCAAAAUAUCAGAUAGGAACCACAUCACUGACCUAUUCUGAUAGACUGCUUGUACACAAAUAUAUGCAAGUUUUUUUAUCCUAUGCUCUACAAAAGAUCUUUUCAAGGAGUAAUCUUCACCAGCAAAAAGGCUUACAAUAUCUCCUGCAACAAAUAAACUAUAUCAGUAAAUAUGAACUGCAUAUACAAAAAUUAGAAACCGAAUGCAUGAUGAUUAAUUGCCCCAAGAGGCCAAGACGCAUCACAAUGAAAGUAGGUUAAAAGCCAGAAAGUUUCGGCCAUUCACAUGGUUUUACCAUAUACCAGAUGAGAAAUACAACGCAAAUAACAUCAGCAAGCACAAUAAUAGCAAUGCAAUCGUCAAAUGUCAGAACAAAGAAUAGAAUCCAAUCAGAAAAAAAAAAAUCACAAUAGCAACUGGAAACUUGUCGACAUAACAAAAAUGUCAUAGUGGCUAAAUUUCUCAUAUAACAGGCAUAGGGAUCACUAACUAUCAAACCGUUUGUCCAUUGAAUAAUUAACAUAAAUAUGGUUUAGUAUGAUAACUAUUCAUAAAUGUUAGAAUUUAACUGCACAAAUUCCUCAUCAUCGUUAGUGAUCCCCACAUUGUCCACUUCCGAUAUCUUGAAUAAAAUAAAAUAGACAUACAAGCAUAAAUAAUAUUUGAAAAACAAUAGGUCAACAAAUGUGAAUAUAAGUACUUGUUCCACCUAAGAAUCAAAAUUUGCAUUAAUGGUCAAGAAUUAGAUAUAUUCUACACUUCUGAUCGGAAUCUCUAGAAGGGGGGAGAAAAAACUCAAAAUUAAGAAAAGAAAUCCUUCCAAUCUAAUGAAAUCGUAACAUAAAUUCUCAAAUUCUUUAAACAAUAAUGAAAGUUAGGAGAUGCCAAAGAGAGGAAUGAAAAAUCUAAAUAUUGCCGAAUUUGUCGGAAGAUGAAUUGUAAUGAGAAUUAGUGAGAACACAAUUGUCUACAUAGGAACGUGAAUGAGAUCCAAUGAAAGAACUAAUAGACAAAAUACUGUUCAACUUACCAUUAUGCCAAACAUACUGUAAAAGCAAUUUGCAUGCCUCUAAAAGGAUAGAAACAUCAUUGCCGUUCUUCCCAUUAAAGAAGAAGAGCAAUUGGCGAAGAAACUCUGAAUUGGGGCGAAAGCAAUUCCUGAUUUAGACAACAACCUCUUAGAUAAAUAGGCAGAAUAAGCUAUAAAGAUUAAAGUGCAAGGAAGCCUUACAAAUCUACUCGUUGGCACUGAUCCCCAAAAGUAAGAAAAAACUGCUGCCGCACAUUAAAUCGUGCUAUUUCAACAACCUUCCUCCCUCUGAAGCAUUUCUGCAGCUUAUAGCUGGUUAGGUCUGGUUAUCAAAAUCAUAAGGAAACAAAUGGUAAUAUGCAACUGAUUUCCAAUUCUUAGUUACAGUCCUUCAUACAACCACAAGGUACGAAUAGACUCAAAUGCAGUCCUUUAUUCAUAAAAUUUCCAACAGAAACACCAAUCAUCGCAUCUAAAGAUAUCAAAAAACGUCUAUUUAUAACUUGAUUCACUAAGCAGGAUUUAAUUUGAGUUUGCCAAGACCAUAAUUACAUCAUGCAGUAGUAGUUAUUAGUGGAUAAAUAAACUUAUUCACCAAGUUGGAUUUGCAAAUGGGUUAUUUUCAACUGAACCUAAUAGAACCCUUCGUCAUUACAACUCAACUAUCUGCAUUCAACUACCGCUAACUAAUCAGCAAUUCGCACUGCUCCAAAUAGAAAAACACUACUAAAAUAGCAAAUUGCAGCUAUCAAGUCUUAGAAUCUAGUGUUCCAUUCCCAUUCCCAAUCGAACUCGAAUAUCAACACUACAAACUAAUUACAAAUUCACACAUUUCCAAAUCGAAUAAUGCUCCUAAAUUAGCAGCUUGCAGCUAAGAAGUCUUAGAAUUCUGAAGUGCCAUUCUCAUUCCCAAUCAAACUCAAAGAUCAACACUGUAAACACCAAUUCGCACAUUUCCAAAUUGAAGAAUGCCUACUAAAUCAGCAAAUUGCAGGUAUCAAAUCUUAAAAUCUAGGAAGACUUAGAAUCUAGGGUUCCACUCCGAUGCCCAAUCAAACUCAAAGAUUCACACCAAAUCACACAUAAUCAUAAGAAACACCAACACAGACCGACCUGAAUCUUAAUGGCGGCCGAGGUCUGCUGCUUGAGCCCCAGCCGCCGCUGCUCCAGCAGCAUCUGCCGGUCCCGCUCCUUCGAGCUCCGGCCGCCGAGGUCCACGCGCCGCCGCGCCGACGCGUCGCCAUUGAAGAACAUCCCCUUCACCCACCAAAACCCCACACCACACCGAACCCCGAUCAAAAACACACCCAAAAAAAUCGACAAAAGAUCGAAGAAGAGGACCAGCGAGAGCAAACUCACCUCGGAUUCGGGAGGAGAUCGGGGGCUCUUCUUUUGAUCGAAGUGGAGAUCGCUCGCUCGAUCGAGAGAGAGGGAGAGGGAGAGCGCGAGUCGAUGGUGCGAUGGUCGACGGGGGAGGGUUUUGAUGGGAAAAUUAAAAAAAAAAGCUCAAAGAAAAAGAAAAAGAAAAAGAAAAAGUUGGGGAGAGGUUCGGUUUACAUAACGUAGAUACGGAAUGAAUAAAUAAAUAAAAUAAAAUAAUAAAUAAUAAAUAAUAAAUAGAAAUAAGUGCGUAGGGGCUUACCGCUUACGGCUGAUACCCGACACGCACUUCCAUAGGAAGUUUUUUUUUUUUCUCAUGAUUUCAUAUAAUUCUAUAAUAAUAAUAAUAAAAUAAUAAUAAUAAUGAAAUAAUGAGUCCGACUGGGAUACUAUCGAUAGCAUCAAAGAUUUGGUACUAUCGAAUUUUUCAUUGUUAAAUUUAACUUUUGAUUAAUUUUUUCCGUUAAAUUAUACUAUUCAACCAACCACUCAUUCAACCCUAGGGGGACCACAUCAUCUUAACCACACAUUUUUCAAUCCAAGGGGUAACAAACUAAUAGCACCAACAGCUUGAUGCUAUUGAUAGUAUUCCAGCCUAGUCCAUAAUAAUAAUAAUAAAAAAAUAAUAAUUAGGGAUAUAAAUGGGUACGUGCAUUCAAAAUUUAACGCAAAUUGAAAUCCGAAAAGAGUGAAUUUAUUCAAUACUAGGGCGUGUUUGGUUGACUUCUUUUUCACCCUAAAAUCGGAAUCAAAAUGGACGAUCAGUUUGUUGGUGUUUGGUACGUAGAAAUUCCAUUCCAAUUUCGAUUUUCGAGUGGAAUGAGAAUCCUCUCAUCACCUCUUUUUCCAAUCCGGCCUAGUAGGUCGGAUUGAAAGUUAAAUUCGGACGAAAUAGAUAUUUAUUCGAAUUAAAUUUAUUUUUUCAACUUUUUUUAUUAAAAUAUGAGUUUAAAUUUUGAAAUUAAAUAUAUAAUUUUAAAUUUUAAUUUGAACUUGAAUUAAAAAUUAAAAUUUAAUCAAGUAUUUCGAAUCUAACUUAUGAAUUUGAAUUUAAAUUAAAUUUUAAUUUAUAUAAAAGUUUAUUCAAAUUUUAUUUAAAACUUAAAUUAAAUUUAUGAAUUCAAAUUAAAAUUUAAAUUGUAAAUUUAAGUUUGAAUUUGAAUAAAUCAAAAUUUAGUUUCAUAUUUUGAAUUAUCCACUCAACUUCAAAGUUUAUUUUUUUUUAAAAAAAAAUAGAUUUAAAAUUUUAAAAUUAUUUCAAAAUUUUGAUGUGAAUUUUUUAUAUUUAAUUUUCAAUUUAAAUUUAAAUUAAUAUAUUAUAAAGAUAAAGUUAGUAUAUUAAUUUGAUUACGUUUUUUAUAUCCACCUGAACCAAACACCGAUAAUGUAAAUGAUUUAUUCCGAUUCCGAUUCAGGUGAUGAACCAAACAGAAUUAGGUAAUGAGUCAUUCCAAUUUCGAUUCCAGCUUAUUUUGAUUUCGAUUUCAAUUCCAAUUCUGAUUCCGACUUCGAACCGAACACUCCCUAAAUGGAUAUAGUUUCGGAUAUGGAUAAAAAAAAUUUUGACAGAUUUGAAUUCGAAUAUGAAUUUGUUCGUAUUUGAUCCGAAUCCGAAUUAAUUUGACAUUAUAUAUAUAUUUGAUGUUAUAUUUAAAAUUAUAUUUUAAAAAUUAUAUUUCAUAUAACAUAUUUUGAAAUAUGGUAUAGAGAAAUAAUUAUUUCGAAUUCAGGUCAUAGGUUUGUAGUCGGUUGUUUGAAAAACCACCCCAAAUCUAAAUCUUUGACAUCUCUAAUAAUAAUACAUAAAAAAUAGAGGUUUUUGCUCGCUACAUUUUUACUAUUAUUUUAAAAUUUUAAUUUAUUCUGAAAUUGUUAAAUAUUUUACUAUAGUUCAAUCCCACGAGUAAACUAGAAAAUUUAAGAUAUUUGAAGAAAUUUUUUAAAAAGAAUAUUUUGGUCCUUCAAAGAUAAAUAAAAUAUUUUUAAAAGUUUGAUUCCGUUUUCAACUUAUUCUCAUUUCGAUUCUGACUUCGAACCAAACACACCCUACAUGUGAAAAAUAUAAAUAUUUAUGAUGAGAUGAUAGGUGGCGGGUAUUACACAUGAUAAAGAAAAUAUUUAAAAAAUGCAUGGGUGGAGGAUAUUAUGUGGGAGAAAAUGCGAGGGUAUAUUGUCACUUUUCUUAGAUAAGAAAAUAAUUUCUUUUUUUCUCUAAUAGAUAACCUUAGAAAUAUUUGAUAUAUUUUCAUUUUAGGUGAAUAUUUUUGGAAUAUCGCAAUUUUAUCUUCUAAAAUUUGUUUGUUAUAUUUACUUUUUAUUGAUUGCAUUUGAAUUUAAUUUCAAAUAUAUAUUUAUUUUUUAAUCUUUAUUUGAUUUAAAAUUUUCAUUUUAUCUUAAAUUCAGAGUUAAAAUUAACUAUACAUUAAAUUUUUUUGUAUGUCAUUUGAAUUUUGACGAACUCAAAUUUUAAGCAUGUAUUUUAAAAUAAGUAUCGAAUUUUUAAUAUACCUUUAAUCCAAAAUUUAAAAUUUAAUUAUGAUCUACUUUAAUUAAAUUUUUUUAAUUAUUAAUUCAAAUUUGAUAUCCAAAAUUAAAUUAAUUCACAAUUUAAACUCAAAUUUUACAAAAUAAAUAAAACUAUAUAAUUAUUAUUGUCAAUAAUUAUUUAAAUUUGAAUUAGAAUAUGGCAGAUAUUUUCUAAUAGAAUAUAGUAGAUGAAUUUAUUGUUUUAAAUUUAAAUUUCUACUGCAAACUUUUGAAUUAAUAUUAUGCACAAAUUUAUAUUAAUUUAAAAUAGUUAUUAAAAUAAUUAUUACGUAUAUUUGCAUGUACGCUUAACUAGUAAUAUGUAAAAAGUAAACUUUAUUGCAAUAUUAUUUUUAUGAGAAAUACUUAGCCUAUAAUCCAAAAGAGUUAUAUAAUCUCUACCACCUCUCAUUUAGGAACGCAAAGGAAUCUAGGGUGGUGAGCUUCUGCUCCGAUCUGCCACGAAUGGGGUCGAUUUCUCGAUAGUAAUUACAAGACGAAUUAGGCUACUAUACUAUCUAUAAUACCGGAGCUCUGAUACUGUAGUCUUGUUUUCGAUCUUACGGUGUUCAAAUUAACGAUCCACACCGUUAAAUAUGAUCUAGCUAGGGUAUAUGAAGUUCUUAGGAAUAAAAUUUUAAUUUUUUCCGACAUCGUUUACUUAGUAAAUAAAUUAUGUCAAAAUGGACGGUAGAAAUUGAAUAAUCUUUAAAAUUUGAGUAUAGAAUUUUUAAAUUCAAGAUCAAGAAUGUUAACGUUAAUCUAGAUAGUUUAAAAUAUUUUCUAUCAAAAUUUGAAGAAAUUUAGAUUCUUCUAUACCGUUAAACUCCAAACUCGUCAUAAUAGCCAUUGAAAAUUGACAAUUUUGAAAUAGUUUGAUCAAAAAGUAAACUAUAUCGAAAAAAUAUAAAAUUUUAUUUCUAAAAAUUUCAAAUACCCUAAAUCAGUUUUAACGGUGUGGAUCGUUGAUUUGAACAUCCUAAGAUCGAAAACGAGACUAUAGUACUGAAGCCCCGGUACUAUAGAUAGUAUAGGAGAUUAGCUCUUGCAAGACAGAUUUUAUGAUUCGAUGAGGAUUUGGGGAUGAAGGAGGGGAAAAAAAAAAUGAUCCGCCUUGAAUCCACCAUGUCAGAAAUCCAUUUUAUGUCUUUUAGGGCAUAUUUGGUUCACCUAUUUUAGACUAUGGAAUCCGAAUGAAAUUUAUUGAUUCCGAUAAUUGUCGUUUGUUUUAUAGGAAUCGGAUUCCGGUUCCCAUUCAAAAUUCUCUUUUACUAAUACCUACCUCAUCUCCCUUCAUCACUUUCCUUUCUCGUAAUCAAAAUCCUCUCUCAAAAAUUCUAAAUUUCCAUUCCAAUUGUCAUUCCAAUAAUGAACCAAAUAUUUUUGGAUGAUUCAUCGUUCCAUUUUGCAUUCCUAUUCCAAUCAUGAACCAAACAUGCUCUUAAAAUACUACUAAAUAGUUAUAUUUUAGUUGGGCAAUAACGCUUUUUGUUUUGCUGUUAGGUUUCUAAUUUUUAUAUUUUCUUGCUAUUAUGUUCUAACUAUCAAAAUUUUAUUUAUUUCCAAGGAAUGCACCAUAUCAAUUCCAAUAAAAAUACUCUCUACUCAUAAAGAUCACAAUUAUGAUAUGGUACUUCUUAAUCAAGAGUGGCGAGUUUGGGCUUAACACAAUGGGCGUGUAGGUGGAAGAAGAGGUAUGGGUGGUAAAGGUUUAGGACCGAUGGCGGAACUAAUUAUAAAAAUUAAGAAUCUAAUUGUAAAAAACAAAGAAAAAAAAAAAGAUUGGGAACCAAAAUUAAAAAUUAUAGAAUCAUGUAAAGCUUGGAGACAUGGCACUACAACAAAAAUCGUAUAUAGCAAUACUUUUAAAUAUCGGUACAGGUCAAAAAAUAUGCUGCUAGCUAAAUUACCAACACUUUUAAAAAGUGUUGCUAUAUGUGGGGUUGCUAGGUAUAUAGUGACAGUUUAAGAGUAUCAGUAUAACCUAAAAAAAUACAGCUAAUUUAUAAACACUUAUUUAAGCAUUUAGCAACCGCCGGAAUCCUACCUUGUUGGCUGCGACGCGGAGGAAGAGGAGAGCGAGGGGCUCUUCGUCUAGGGUUUCAAUGGAUUGAGUGAGGGGAGAAGGAGUGGAUGGUGAUUGAUUUUUCUUUUUCUGUUUAUAAUCGGGCCGAAUAGGCUGGAUCGGAUGGGUUGAGUAGAGUAACCUUUUUUUUUUUUUUGUUGGAUUCUUUAUAUUUAUGCCUUAGCAGAAUUUUUUUAAAAUUUUGGCAUAAAUAGGACACUUGCACAAAAGUGUUCCAAAAAUGUGUCGCUAUAAUCUAANUGGCUGCGACGCGGAGGAAGAGGAGAGCGAGGGGCUCUUCGUCUAGGGUUUCAAUGGAUUGAGUGAGGGGAGAAGGAGUGGAUGGUGAUUGAUUUUUCCUUUUCUAUUUGUAAUUGGGCCGAGUAGGCUGGGUGGGGUUGGUUGAGUAGAGUAACUUUUUAUUUUUUGUUGGAUUAGGCUUUAUAUUUAUGCCUUAGCAGAAUUUUUUUAAAAUUUUGGCAUAAAUAGGACACUUGCACAAAAGUGUUCCAAAAAUGUGUCGCUAUAAUCUAAUUCUGUUGUAGUAUGGUACAAUUAACCUUUUUAAUUGUUGUCAUUUGUCAUGAGUGUGUAAUUUUUUUGUUUUAGGUGUUUCAUUUGUAGGCCUGACCAAAUCAAGCCCAACUCAUUUCAGCCGGCCCGAUUCUUUGCAUUGUCUUUUACAAACCAUAAACGGAGGUUCGAACUUUUGACUUUUUGCAGUAAAAAUAAAUUUUUUUACUACAACCUUUUUUAAUACCUUCAAGUAUAUCAAUGAGCUCGCAGAUAUGUAUCAUUUUUCUCAUGUUGAUCUCGUGAUGAGAAUCAUAAGAAAAUUGCAUCUCCACUAAUAAAACUUUCAACUGAACGGUCCCUAAUAAAUUAAUUUCUUUUAUCUUUUUUUUUCUUUUAGAAUAUCAUUAUACAGGUACCAACCAACGACCUAAGUUCUAGUCCGAAAUUUAAUGUUGCUCAUCGUUAUAUUUUUGUGGUAUAUUUGACGGAGAAGAAUAAGCAAAUGUAUGCUGCUCACGCCACUAAGAAGGUUAAAGAAGAUGAAAUGCAACAUUAAUUCAAAUUUAUGUCUGUUUAUGACUUAAGGCUUAUGAGUACAACAAUAAUUCAAAUUUUGGUUUGGUUUAAUAAUUUAGCUUUUCUCCUUUUUCUUUCUUUUUUUUUUUUAGCCCACAAAAGAUGAGUUAGUUAUAAUUUUUAUGUCCCUACAUGUAAAAUAGAAUUUAAAUGAAAAGUUAAACAUUUUAAUUCCAUUUCCUUUUAAAUAAAACUAAAGAUAUAAUUUGAUGCAAUCAACUUGAACCUUUUUUUUUUCCUUAUUUCUUAAGAGGAAAUGCUCAAAUGCUCAUUGGCUUUAAUUAAUAUGUAGAGCUUGAUUAUAAUAUAAAUAGUUACUUAAAAUAAACAAUAUAUAAAGGGGUGUCCUCUAACCUAAAUAAACAAAGAAGAGAGAUAAUCGUGUACUUAAGAAUUGUUUAGUUGGAUGUAGUUAAAAUAUAGUAUAGUUGAAGAUGUAUGUAGUUAAAGAUACAACAAUUACACUUACAUAUAUCUCAUUUAGUUUGAUGGAGUAGAAAACACUGCAACUAUAUAUAAAUAAAUUGCAUCUAGUUAAAAAGUAUAUUUGUAAAAUUUUAUCUCCUUUUAUAUAUGUGGUGAUGCGAUUACAAAAGAAAAUUAUUUUAUGUAUAAAAAUAAUUAGAAAGAUAAGGUUAUCUUUUGUUUAAAAUUACUCUCUUUAACUGCUACAGUUAGACCUUCUUAUGUAGUUUCAACUACAGUACGUGAAUUCCAACACAUCAAACGAAACUCUGAAUUUAAAUUUACAUGUAGUUAUAACUGCAAUGCAAUUACAACUAUAUGCAACCAAAUAACUCCUUAGCACGAUUGGUUAAGAGCUUAAUAGUUGAUACCCAACAUCCUAAAUUUAGAGCCUAGCUUAGUGCUUUAUAUUUCUAGCUGAGUUCAUUUCCAAGCAAUAAUAUUUCUUAAAAAAUAUUUUUGAUGAGAUGGGUGAAUCGGAGGGGCAAAUUUGAUUGUUUGGAGACACAGAUGAUGUGGUACCAUCGCCAUAUUUUAAAAUUUUUCCUCUUAUACACAAACUAAAUUAAAUCAAGCUUAUAGACAAAUCAAAUAUGGAAAAAAAAUAUAUUAAAAUUCUCUUUUCAUUUCCCAGCAUCAAAGCUUCAACCUCAACCUGGCCUGAACUUGUGAUUAGAAUACAUGGUUGUGAGAAAUUUUACACAACCAUGUAUUUUUGCUGUUAAUUAAAAAAAGAAAAGAAAAAGUAAAGCAAAAUAACUUUUUUUUGGUCAAAGAAGCAUCAACAAGGAAUUGUAUUCUCUUUAAUAAGAAAAAGAAAGUGGGACUAAUUAAUGGAUGAGUCAUGGUGCACAAAAACAUCCAUCUAAUUUUUGACGAAAUUUUCCUUUUUUUUUUUUUUUGGUUUACCAUCUUUCUAUUCUUUUACUUUUCCACCAAAAGUUAGAAAAAAUAGGAAUGUAAAAUAUAUGUAUCUAUAAAAUUAAAAUAUUAUAAAUUAGAUAUUAUCCCUUAUAUACAUAUUUAUUUUUUUACAUUGUGUUUGGCUCGGGUAUAAAGGGGAAUAAGGGGGAUAUCCCCUCUUUAUACCCAAACACAUUUUGGGUUGUAUUGGGUGGAAACAAGCAGUUCCCAUCGGGGGUUGGAACAAGCUUGUUCCCACCCACUUGAGAGAGAGAGAGAUUUUAAUUUUAAUUUUUAAUUUUAAUUUUUAAAAUUUUAAAAUUUUAAAAUUUAAAUUUAUAAUUUAAAAUUAUAAAUUUUAAAGUUUAAAUUUCAAAUUUGAUAUUUCUAAAUUUUAAAUUUUAAAUUUGAUAUUUUUAGUUUUUAAAUUUAAAAUUUGCUAUUUUAUAUCUUUAAAAUUUAAAUUUGGUCUUAAAUUUGAAUUUUGAUAUUUAAAAUUAUAAUUUCAAAUUUUAAAAUUUAAAAGUUAAAAUUUUCAAUUUCCAAUUUUAAAUUAUAAGUUGAAAAUUUAAAAAAUUUAAAUUCAAUUAUAGGGAUAAUAUCAUUAUUUUAUAUUUAUAACUAACAACUAUUCCUCUUAUUCCCAAUAACCAUCCAAACUUAAUUUUUCUAGUUCCAGCUUAUACUCACAUUUUCAUCCAAAUAAAAAAAUACCCUUGUUCUUAUAAAAAUUCAUACUUAUACCUAUACCUAGUAUAACUAGUUCCUACUAAUUUUUGAACCAAAUGGAGCUUUAUAUUUUAAUUUUUUUUUAAUAUAUAUCUUUAUAAAUGUUAAAGAAAUUGUGAUUAGCCUCAACAAUCCUACAACAUCAAUCAUCUCACUCAAUAGUAUUAAAAUAGCAAUGAUCAUGUACAUGUAACUAAAGCUGACCCUUUGGGGCUUUUUAUGGGCUGUGCUUUGCCUUUGUUCCAAUCAUUUUCCUUUGAUGAUCACACAAGAAUAACUGCAUGUGAUUCUAUAUAAAAGUGUUAAAUAGAAAGUAAAUUUUUACCAAGAUUAAGUGAUUAGAUUUGUCACUCUAAAAAUUCUAGAGUUUGCAAAUAUAUCCUUCUGUUACAAAAAUAUAGAUAACUAUAGACAACAUAUUUAACCACAGUUAAGCAAGAAGUAAAAUAAUCCUAUUUUUAUUAUAAAAUUGAGUCCUCUUAUCUUUCUCUCUCCCUUUCCUUUUUGUCCAUGGCUGCGAUGAGGCCCACAACAGUGAUGAAGUAGAAAGCGAGGCACAAUGGCGGCGACAAAGAUGAGGUGUGAUGCACGGUCGGUGGCGAAGACAAACUGCGUCGCGUGGUUGGAGUCGAGAUUGGAUGCUCCUCAUCUGACGAGGAGAAGAAGAGAAAAAGGGAGCAGAGAAGAGAAAAGAAGGUGACUCCACGAUUUUUUAGGGGGAGAAAAAGAAGAACUCAACCAUAAAGGUAGGACAGAGAGGAAGUGUAACACCCCAAUAAUUCCACAUCGAUCGGGUAGUUAUAACUAGAUGUUGGGCAUAUAGUUUGAUUAGGCUAGACAUAGUAACUGAGCUUAAGUAUUUUGGUCGGUGGUUAGGCCCAACGAGUUAUUAUUACUAGCAGGUCGGGUCUUACAUUUGGUAUCAGAGUCAGUUCAUCAGCCGAAAAUGUGAUAUGAGUCUUGGCUGUGGCAGGGUCGGAAUGACAAGGCUAGCAAGACAAGUCUCACAUCGCUAAUUAUGGCUAGUUGUAGGGGUAUAUAAGCUUGACUAGGCUAGAUAUAAUAACUGUACUUAAGUAUUUUAACGAGUUAUUAUUACUAGUAGGCCGGAUCGUUAUAAGAAGAAAAUGGGUUUCUAUUGGGGCAAAUUUGGAAUGACAAAAUUGCCAUUUCGCUCAUUGUUAAAAAAUUAAAAAUGAACGUAUCUGAUCUUUUGGAGGAAUAUAUUUGCAAAUGAUAGAAUUUUCAAAGGAACAAAUCUGAUCCCUUAAUCUUUGUAGAGAUUUGCUUGCUAUUCGACACCUUUAUAGGAAGCUGUAUGAAAUUAAUCCUUAGAAUUAUUAAUUAAUAGUGAAGUAUCAUCACUAGACAUUGGAGUUAUCUCCGGUGAUCGAUUAUCCGAAUCAAUGUUCGCCUAUUAAACUUAAUUUAGACUAUUUGAACUUUUUAGAUUUUGAAGUUCGUAAUUUUGUGAUAUCAUUUCUCUAGUACUCCAGUGGUUUCAAAAUUAACAAUUUUCAAUGGCUAAUAUGAAGUGAAUCUAAGAAUAUCACUUGAUCACUAGGCAAAUAAUAUCCUAAAAUCGCAAAAUUGAGUUUCUAGAAAGUUCAAAUAGUUUAUUGAAGGUAUCGAUCAUCGAUUCGUAUUCCACAUUGUUGAAAACAACGUGGAAGUAAAUUCUUCUGUUCACUUCUAGAAUAUUUCUAGAAGUAAAUAGGACAUUUCAAUUGACGAUCGGCAGCAUUAAAUAUGAUCUAAGAUAUUUAAACUUUUUAGGUUUCAAACUUUAUAAUUCUUUAUAUCAUUUGACUAGUCUUCAAGUGGUUCAAAAAAUGAUAGCUUCUAGUGGCUAAUGUAAGAUGAAUUUGAGACCACUUGAUCACUAAGCAAAUAGUACAGUUAAAUCAUGAAAUUUGGCUUUUAAGAAGUUUAAAUAGUAUAAAUCAUAUUUAAUAGAGCUGAUCGUGUUGAUUCUAAUCUCCUAUCACCAAAAACAACGUGAAAGUAAAUGACUACGUUUACUUCUACUGGACUGAUUAGACCUCAAAUUAUAUAUGUUAGUAAAAGGACAUUAAUCCACCAAGGCACGACAAAGUAUAUUUAAUUAGCACAUUGGUAGCAAAAGAGCCCUAGAACUUAAAAGUACCUUGUAUCUCUCAAAAACGGAAAAUGAAAAAUUUCUCACAUUUUCUUGGAAACAACAAAAUUUUCUAACAUUUGAACAUGCAGUGUUUACUUGAGAAUGUUGUGAUUCUCAAUACUCCACUUAUAUAUAUUAUUAUUAUCAUGUAUAUUAUUUCAUUGGAUUAUGCUUUUUAGUUUUUUUCCCCUCAGUGUUUUGAUUAGAACUUACAAGUCACACAAUUUUAUCUUCAUUCAAGCCAUAUUACUAAUGUUGAAACAAACCAAGUGGUUGUUUUUAGGAAAAACUUCAAAAUACCAUUCCUGUGGUUUCACAUUUUUUUUACUUUAGUACUCUGUGAUUUAAAGUGUAUCAAUUUAGUACUCUGUGGUUUCAUUUUUAUUUUUUUUAUUAUCGAUUCCACUAAUUUUUUUCGUUAAAUCAGUGACAAAGUUAAAACUAAAGGAUACAAAAGUGAAUAUUCGAUAAAUCUAGAUGGGGUAUCUGAAGUUUUUUGUUUAUAAUUUAACGAAAUCUUAAUGGAGAAGCUGACAAAAAAGAUAAAAAUAAAACCACAGAAUACUAACUUGAUACAUUUUAAACCACAGGUACUAAAGUGAGAAAGUGCGAAACCACAAGGAUGGUAUUUGAAGUUUACCCUUGUUUUUAUGCCACAAUACCAAACUCUAAUUUUGCCAUAUUAUUCAGUCAUGACCAAGGAAUCUAACAAUAGUCUCCCCAAAAUAAAUUCUCAUGCCAAUAAGUCAUAAUCACACUUGAAUUUAUGGGCUUCACCAUGUUUUUGAUGUGGGAAUAGAGUGAAAACAACUUCCACUAUAACAAUGUACCUAAAAAACUCUCUUUUGAAUAGUAAACAUAUGUUCAGGUGUUUCAUUUAAUUUUUAGCUAAGUGUAUUUCUAAAAAAGAUGAACGAAGUGGAUAGUAUGCUGCCUUUCUCUCUCAAAAGAAAAGGGCGAUGCAACUGACAUACUAAACAAUUAUUUGAUAGGGUUAUUGGGUGGUUUAAUUCUGUAGAUAUUAAUUUAUUCUGUGGGCUAAAAGAUUUUUGUAAUCUUCUAAGUUUAUUAAUUGUUAUUAUUUGGCCACUAAAUCGAACUAAUAUAUAGAAGAUGAUUUGAGUUGGAUAUAAUUAAUCUUGUGCAAUAUUCGAAGGUAACUAAUUAAGCACCUUAAGUUUAUGUUAGAUUUGGAUUUUAGGAGUCAUACCUAAAUAACUUAUUGAUUGGGGCUUGGAUCCUCUAAAUUUCUGAUUUGAAUUUAACCGGAUAUGGUAAUCCUUGUAUCGACAAUUCGAUAGUUUCUCAUUUUAGUUUUCUUUUCCAAUAACUUUUUUCAAGGUCUAGAUCCACAAAUAAUAGUUAAGGUGGGCAAUUGGAAUAAUUUCUAAUUAGAUGAUUCACAAUUUAACUUACCUCAAAUGCUUUCAAACACUUAAAAAUUAAGACUCGCUUUAUUUAACAAGAAGUCAACCUAUUCCUAAAUUUUCCACCAUUUUUUUCUCUAUGUCCCCCACUAGCAAAUCAAUAAGAAGUUCAAAAGUCCAAACAAUGUAAACAAAGAACAAAUUCUACACUAACACUACAACAGAAUUAGAUUAUAGGAACACAUAUUUGGGACACUUUUGAGUAAGUGUCCCAUUUAUCCUAAAACUUAAAAAAACAUCUACUAAUGCUUAAAUACAAAGCCCAAUCCAACAAAAAAUAAAAGAUUACUCUACUCAACUCACCACACCCAGUCCAUUUGGCCCGAUUACAAACAGAAAAGAAAAAAAAAAAAAUCAAUUACCAUCUUUUCUUCUCUCUUUACUCAAUCCACUGAAAUUCUAGACGAAGAGCCUUUCCUAUCGUCCUCCUCCGCCACCGCAGCCAACGAGAUAGAGUUUCGGGGGUUGCUAAAUGCUUAAAUAAGUGUUGGUAAAUUAGCAGCACUCUUUUAGGUUAUAGCGACACUCUUUAACUGUCACUAUAUACCUAGCGACCCCAUAUAUAGCAACACUUUUUAAAAGUGUCGGUAAUUUUAGCUGGCAGCACUUUUUUGACAUGUACCUACAUUUAAAAGUGUCGCUAUAGACCGUUUUUGUUGUAGUGUAAAAGCUUCUCAAAACCCUUUCUUUGGCUUGCUCUUACACCUCUUCUUUUAGUUACACCUCCUUCUAGUUAGACAAUUAAGUGGCAAAGGAUUUGGUGGUUGGUAUCCGAGACCCAAGUUCGAAUCCUAGUUGAUUCACAUUUUCAGCUAAGUUUAUUUCUAAAUGAAAUAAAUAAAGCGGGUAGCGUGCUACCUAUCUCUCAAAAAAAAAAAAAAAAAUUUAAGAGUUCUCGGUUUUGAAGCAUUGAAUGUAGAAUAUAUUUUGUUUUGACCAUAUCCAUUUUGAUUAAAGUUUUAGCUCCGCAAUUGCCUCGCCAUCGUUGUCAUAUUCGUGACUAAUGUGGAGUUCCUUUAAGACCUAGAGGAACUAGUUUGAGGUCUAAUUGUUCAUCAUUCAAAAGUAAAAAGAAUUACAAAUAUUGUGUCUCUAUUCCAAAAUGUUCACUACUUAUUAUUAUAUACAAAUAAGAUCAUUUUGAUAAAGUAAGAUCAUGGCCAUUAAUUAGUGAGUAAUAAUUGGUUUUCAUAUGACUUCAAAAUACUACGUAGCUAGGUGUUUGAACCUGUUUACUUGUUGCCUCUACAUAUAUAUAAAGUUGUAAAAAACCACAUAAUUAGCCAAUCUUAUUUUAUCUUCCUAUACUUUGAUCACAUGUCUCUAUUCUCUCUCUCUCUCUCUCUCUCUCUCUCUCUCUCUAUAAAAAGCCUCAGUUGCCACUCUUUACUUCCUGAGAUAACUCCAAAUCGAUCCAUCCUUUUCCACCUCAUAGCUAGUAUUACACUAUUACUCUCUCACCUCUCUCUCUCUAGAUUAUAUAUAUACAUACAUCAAUAUAAAUUCUUUAUCUCCUACUACCUUAAAAGUGUGAGUACCUUACUAAUAAAGCAAAGUAAAGAAGAGAUCAUGGAACUUAGGAGAGGUCCUUGGACAGUGGAUGAAGACCUUAUGCUCAUCAACUACAUCGCCAACCACGGCGGAGGCCAAUGGAACUCUCUCGCCCGCUCUGCAGGUAUAUAUAUAUAUAUAUAUAUAUGAAUAUAUAUACAUAUAGAUACUUGUACUGAAUUUUCUCGGUUUCUUUCUUCUCCAGAUACUGAUGUUUUGCUAAAUAUUUUCAUUUUUGGUGUUCAAUACAUAACAUUAUUUGGAGUAUAAGCGUGACGAUCGAUGUAGUCGAAAUUUUUCUCUUGGUAUAGGAGUUAUAUGGCAAUAUUUCAAUCAAACUAGUUAGUUGUUUCAAAACACUGUGUGUGUGAGAGAGAGAGAGAGAGAGAGAGAGAGAGAGAGAGAGAGAGAGAAUCUAUAUGUGGACAAUCUAGCCAAUCAUAGAUAAGAUUUAACAUUUUAUGGUAUUGUUUGGAUGGGAAUAUAAAGGAGAAUAAGGGAGCUUAUUCUGUUUGCAGUCUUAACGGAUUAUUCCAAAAUAAUCCAUUAAAAGAAGAACAUCGUAGUUCCUGCAUGCCUAGUUCAUGCUAAUCGUAGAAAUGAUAUAUGUAACAAAAAUUAAUAAGAACAGCUUAUUCUCGAACCACCUCUUAAGAUGUUCUUCGAUGAUAACGGUAAAUGAAGAUCUUAUCAUCAUAUGUACAGUAAAACUCGCACAUGGCUAUAUAAUUGGGUUUCUAAUGCAUGAGAUUAUCGAUAUUUAGAAAACUAAGCCAAUAAUUAGUAUUUGUUUUAAUAUUUAACACGAUCUUAUCUUCUUUUAUAUAUGCAUGAGAGCAGGUCUGAAACGAACUGGAAAGAGCUGCAGGCUUCGAUGGCUCAACUAUCUACGGCCGGACGUCCGGCGCGGCAAUAUCACUCCCCAGGAACAGCUGCUCAUUCUCGAGCUCCACUCUCUAUGGGGAAACAAGUAAAUUCAUAAUCUUUUCAUCGCGUCGACAAAAUCAAAUUGCAACAACUCAUAAAGAUUGAGUAAAAGUUAGAGAAAUAACUAAACUUAGUUAAUGAGUUUUAGUUGUAUGGUAUAGAUAAUUGAGUCUUGGUCCUAACUCCCCUCCCAUUGAGAAUUGAAAUAAAACUUUAUUUGUCGCACAAGCAAAUUAUAAGUUUGAAUAAAAGCUUUUUGUUUUUAAACCUAAAAUUAAUUAUUUAGGCAUGUUAACAAUAUAUAUAUAUAUAUGUUUUUUUUUUUUUUUUUGAGAGAAAAGUAGCACGUUACCCGCUUUGUUUAUUUCAUUUAGAAAUAAACUUAGCAAGAAAUGUGAAUCAACUAGAAUUCGAACUUGGGUCUCGGGUACCAACCACCAAGCUCUUUAGCCACUUGCACUAGGGACGGUCGGUAUAUAUUUUACACCUCUUAAACUAGGAGUUUAAACCCCUCUUCGAAGUUUAGUACUAAAGAAAAAAAAAAUGCUAUUUGUACACUCUGUUAUAGUAUAUAGACCUUACAUCUCGUGAUCCCAGGAUUUAGAAAAUCUUUUUUGAGUUUCUAGUUUUAGAAAAAAGUGGGUAAAAUAAGUGAGUAAAUCUUGGGUUUUUAAAAAAUCAAGCCGUAAGAUUUACAUCUAUAAUAUUAUAAGUGUACAAAUAGCAUUGUUCUUUUCAAACAAUUUUAUUAUAAGGCUACUACUGCUUCAUGGAAGCUUCAAUAUGUCAAAAAGACACAAUUAAAAUGGUAAACAAAGAUCAUAGACUCAUAGUACUAUUAGUACAACUUUUUUGUUAGUCCAAAUUUUCCAUGAUCAAUAAAGACAACUAAAGGACUAUAAAAAAAGCAACUAACACAUAGUAAGAAGAAUUUCAUACGGCUCUUCUUUCUCUUUUUUUACUUAUUCUCUUCAAAAUAGGUGGUCCAAGAUAGCACAACACUUGCCUGGAAGGACCGACAACGAAAUAAAGAAUUAUUGGAGGACGAGAGUGCAAAAGCACGCGAAGCAGCUCAAUUGCGAGGUCAAUAGCAAGAAAUUCCGCGAUACCGUCCGGUACCUCUGGAUCCCCCGCCUUGUCGAGCGCAUUCGGGCAGCGUCGAGCAGCGCGAGCUGUCCUAUCGCUACAUUUUCCAGCUCAUAUAAUUCUGCUACCGUCACCGCCACUGCCGCCGCUGCCACACGGUUCUCCUCACCUACUGUGUCGGAAUGUGUCACGGAUUGCUACUCUGGUUCAACAUCCGCACAGGGAGAUGACGCGAUUCGUGAGGAGAGUAUUAUGUGUGGUGGAUUAGAUGAGUCCAUAUUUAGCCAGAGGGAUUAUGAUAAUUACGCGGGAUUAGUAGAAUGCAAUAACUUGUGGAGUGUAGAGGGCUACAACUGGAACUUUUAAUAGAAUUUACACUUAUUACUAUCCCUAUAUUAUGUCAUGAUUUUGUACUUUGCACUUUAAGAACUUUUAGUUUCUGAGCUUUGACAUUUAUUAUCUUUUAGUUUCUAAUUGUUAAAAAAAAUGAGUUCCAUAUAAAAAUUAUUGACUACUUUAUAUCUUUACAUGAAAUUAAUGAUUCAAAUAUUUCGUAAUACUUCAGACUAUAUUAAUUAAAAUAUCAUUUUACAAUAAAAAUUAUAAUUACUACUAAUUAGGAAUAUAUGUAAAAGUUUAGCAAUCAAUUUGUUUUUUUAAAAAAUAAGUAGGCUAAAAUGUUGGGAUGAUUCAGGGACUAGCUAUAUAUACGUUUUACCAAGGAUUAAUUAAUUAACAAGGGUCUUGAACAAAAUUGUACAGAAAAAAGAAUAAAAAAGUAAUAUCUCUAAGUUUCAUAGAGAAUUUGAUAUUUUGAUAUAACUUGUAACACGAUUUUAAGAUCAUCACUGAAUUUUGAAAGAAUAUAAGGGACCAUUCAAAUGACUUUAUAUCUUUGUAAGAAUUUCUCAAAUUGCAUAAAAUUCAAAUGAAUUUAAAAAGUUUCUAUCUUUAAGGGGUAAUCUACCAAUGAUCAUUUGACUUUGUAGAUUUUAUAUCAAUAUAUAUAUUUUUUUCAAUUAACUUUUAAUUUAGUUUUGUAAAAAUUUUGAUCACUUUGAUAAUCCGGAGGAUCUAUGCAAGGUUUUUUUUUUUUUUGAGAGAAAGGUAGCAUGCUACCCGCUUCAUUCAUUUAGUAGAUGAAUUUAGUUACAGGGAUUGAGGCAAUGCGGCCUCGGAAAACGUUGAAGGCAACCAAAACAAAAAUGACAAAUAAAAACUAAAAUUAAAAAAACUAUAGAAAAUUGAUACUUGUACUCCUCACUCAAAACCCCUUACUCAAAACCAAUGCAUUAAGAGCUGCAAAACUUAGUCCAUUCUCUAUUCACGUUCCGUAUUCGUCUAAUAGUCAAAAAAGAGACAAAUGAUUGGCUUCUAAAAAUAAUAUUAUUUCUUUCUUGCCAGAUUAUUCACGAACAGGUUACGACCCUCGUUAGAUCCCUCGCAACUGCCCCUUGGCAGCGGUCCCCAGCAAGAAGCUCCCAAACACUCCUGACCUUCAUCCCAUGCCCUGGAACUUGGCGGCGUUCCCCAGCCAGAAGCUCCCAAACACUCCUGACCUUCAUCCUAGGCCCUGGAAUGUGCCUACCUUCUAGGAUGUUGUACAUAAAAAAUCCACUGAUUACGCAUCCAACUAGCAGAUGAUCAACAGUCUCGAAAUCGUUACCGCACAUCACACACUGUUGAGUCCCAAACCAGCCUCUUUUGAGUAAGUUGUCAACCGUAGGUAGGCGCGUUUCUUAAGUGCUAACCAAAUAAAAAUUCUAACUUGAGAUGGUAUUUUCAACUCCUAAACAUUUAGCAUAAGAAAAUCUCGAACUCCGCCAUUUCGAAUCAGUUCAUACAUCGACUUAAUGGUGAAACAUCUUCUUGCGUUCCAUAUCCAUCGAAUUUCAUCAGGCCUCUUUAAAACAUGAAAACUUGAAAGGAAAUCCUUAAAUUCUUUGAUUCUGUUGUCAUCCCUCCCGAUCCCGGCUCCUCGUUGGAUUUUUCUAUGCAAGGUUGAUAUCAAGUCAUACAGAUCUUUCAAUUGUUCCUUUCAAGCUUAAUCACUCAUUUAGAAGUAUUCUAGUCAGAUUCAACCCAUCCUUUAGAAAAAGGUUGCUAUGCUGAUAAUAAUAGGAGAAUUUGUGUUCUAUAUUUUUUUUUUGACAACUACUGAUGUAAACAAUAUCUACUUUUAAAGUAUAACUAAUGUUGCAUUAUUAUAAUCACAUUAGCUUGUUUCCAUAGUUGUGGGUAACUAAAAUACAGUCAAAAGCCUACAAAGUUGUUAGGAAUGAGAAUUUUUUUUUUCUCAAUUGGAAGUGUAGCAUAUAUUGACCAAGAAACUUUUAUUAUAAAAAGAUAAAUCCUCCAAUCUUCUUAUGAAACCUAGUUGUAAGGGAUGUUUAAACAAAACAUGGACUCUGAUACCAAUUCGUUACAUUUAAUUGAAAGGAAUACAUGAUAAUAUUGGCACAAAGGGGGAAAAAAAGAGAGCAAAAAAAAAAUGUCAUGUGAAGUAAAGGAAAAAAGAAAAGAACAUGCCGCAUUAUGUAGAAGAUAGAUUAGUUAAUUAGAAAAAAAAAAAAAAAAAAAGAAGAAUGCUUCUUUAGUUUGAAUCCUUACUAGAUCUUUGUUGUGUUUUUGUAUUGAAAUAUUUUCUACCUUGUUAUUAUGGUCCCCUUAUAAGGUGUUUGUUGUUGUUGCCUUUUCAUAGUUAAAGAAAAUUAAAGUUUUUUUUUUUGUUUUUUUUUUACGAAGAGAGAGAAAAGUUUUUUUUUUGAGAGAGAGAGAUAGAUAGUACGCUACCCGCUUCGUUUAUUUCAUUUAGAAAUAAAUUUAGUUGGAAAUGUGAAUCAACUAGAAUUCAGUACUGUUGGUUGUUGUUACAUGGUGAAACUAUAAAUUAAGUUCAAUGUAUUUCAACUUUUGCUUUAAAAAAGAAAAGAAAAAGAAAAAAACUUAAUACCAAAGAAUUGAAAUAUAGAUGCCUAGUAAUACAAUUUCAAAGUUACCUAACAUGGUUAGUGGCAUUGAUGCUUUUUGAAGUGCUUAGUGAGGUAGGAUCUCAAAACUUUUCUAAUUUCAUUGCAUCUCUUUCAUUUGAUAUAAUCUUUAAAAUAAUUGUACCAAUCUCAAGGUAAAUCAACAAAAUUUACUUUAUAUUUGUAAUUUCAUUGCCUUUGUGAAGUGUAGGUUGUUAUUAUAUUAUAAUGAGACUUUUAUGGUCAAUAUUUGUAUUUAACUUUAAUGAUGUUAAGGAAAAGAAAAUAAAAAAAAAGGAUAAAAAAGAAUAGAAUAGAUGACUAGCAAUAUAAUUUUAAUAUUGCCCAUAUGUUAAUACUUAAAUAGUAUAUAUUGAUGCUUUUAAAAAUGGUAAAUGAUUUCAAUUAAUGCACCUCUUUGAAUCAAUUAGAUUAAUCUCAACACCCUUUUUGUAUUAAAAAUGCAUACAUUAAUUUUUGUCCUGCACUUUAACAUUACUUCAUUUAAUGCAACAAAAAAUUUUGAAAUUGUUAAAAAACAUGUUAAAUUAUAUGAAAUAACUAUUUAUUUUCAAGCACUCAAUUUGAUCGACACUACAACAGAACUAGGUUAUAGGAACACAUUUUUUGGACACUUUUAUAUAAAUGUUCCAUUUAUGCCAAUACUUUUUUAAAAAAUCUACUAAAGACUAAAUAUAAAGCUCAAUCCAAUCAAAAAUAAAAAGUUCCUCUACUCAGCCAACCACAUUCAGCCCAUUCGGCCCGAUUACAAAUAAAAAAGAAAAAAAAAAUUGAUCACCAUCUCUCAUUUUCCUCCUCUGCCAUUGCAGCCAAUGAGGUAGGGUUCCGACGGUUGAAGUUUGGCCACGAGGAUCUCACAGGGACCAUAAAAGCCUACGAUCGGCAUGUAUUCCUCCGCCACAGAUCGCUAUAGGAUAUAUCGCUGGAGGAGUGGGUGCCAAAUAUCAAGACGGUUCUAACUAUGGCGACCCCACAUAUAGCAACAUUUUUAAAAAGUGUCGAUAAAUUUGCUAGCAUCUUUUUUUUAUAUAUGUAUUGGUAUUUAAAAGUAUCGCUAUACACCAUUUUUGUUGUAGUGCGAGGCUUAAAAUUUCUUGGUAGGCUUAAAAUUUCUUGGUGGGCCUACGACAUGGACUUUGCAAUAAACGUGAGGAAAUCAAUUAUGAUAGGAGCCUGGCGUGAUUCAAGCUCAAAACUUGCUGUUCGGUAUCAUAACCAUGUUAAAAAAUAUGAAUUAAUUAUUUUUCUCUAAAAAUUUAAGCUGUCAGAUAACGAUAUUUUUAUAUAUUUUAUUUUAUACUAAACAAAAUCAGAUGUAAAAUUUUACACAAGUGUAUUGCCUAUAACCUCAGUUCUAUAUAAAUAACUGCACUGGAAAAAUUGAUCUAAUAUGCAUGAUGGGAUGGUAAUAGUUUAAAGUCAGAAAUAAUCUUAUCAUUAUAUAAGUUGGAAAUUAAAUAAUAAAUGAAAAAUUAGAUAAGAGAUUAUAUUUUAUCAUGAGAAAAAAUGCAAAAAAGAAUUGUAUUUCUACAAUAAACCUCUGAACUUUUGAUUUUGAAACUUAGACCCCUAAAAUCUUAUCAAAUAUGUUAGCAAAAUUAUCAAUUACACAGCCAUCUCGGUCGCAAGUCGUGACAUCUUGCAUAUAAUCUUAUAAAGCUUCGGGGCAUAACAAAUUUAUUUAUUUUUUCUAUUUUAGCGCGUUAGAAAAGCAAUACAACAUGUGAUUUCAACAUAGGUUCCAAAAAAUUAGGUAGAAUAGAAAUACAGGGAGACCCAUAUCAACUAUAGGACAAUUUGAAAUAGCCCCCGCAACAUUUAUUUAUUUUCAUCAACACCUCUUAGGUUUUGGUGUGAAUUUGGUGAUUUUAGUCAAAUUAAUUAAGAAUUUUAUCUAAUUUAUCAGUAAUUUUAUCAAAUUUAAUAAUUUUAAUUAUAAUUAGCUGAUAAAAUUAGGCUAAUUAAUAGUAACAGCUAAUAGAGCUUUCAAAUUAGCAAAAUUUUUAAGUUUAUUAACUAAAAAAAUUAAUUUAAAAUUUUAUAAAUUAAAAAGGUGAAAAUAAUAAUAAAAAAAAACUUGAAUGGUCUAUUUUGAGAAUGGUCAUAGUUUGGACUUUGGUUAAAUCUUUGGAUAAAUUUUCAAACAACCAAUCUCUUCCUAACACGUGUCGGCUUCUUAUUCGCUGGUCCACCAAGACUACAAGGACACGCUCUCUCGGAGGUCUUCGUGCCACGUCAGCGCCUCCGCGGGAGAACGCCGUGGAUCCCGCCGUACGAGGCGGGAGGUUGAUGAGCGGUCGCUUUCGUGCCACGUGGCUGGUCAAGCCCACUGGGGCCCACAAUGGGAAAAAGAAUAACCUGAAAUAUAUAUAUAUAUAUAUAUAUAUAUAUAUAUAUAUAUAGAACUAGAUUAAUAUACUAUUAAUAGCAUCAAGUCAUUGGUGCUACCAAGUUUUUGGCCAUUGGAUUAAGCGAUGUGCGGUUAGGAUGAUGUGGGCCCCCUAGGGUUGAGUGGGUGGUUGGUUGAAUAGUAUGAUCUAACGGGUAAAAAUGAUCAAAAGGGUAGAUCUAACGGCGAAAAACUUGGUAGCACCAAGUAUUUGGUGCUAUCGAUAGCAUAGCAGCCGGACUCUAUAUAUAUAUAUAUAUAUAUAUAUAUAUAAUUAGGCUGGAAUACUAUUAAUAGUAAAACGCUCUUUUUGCUAUCAAGUUUUUAACCUUUGGAUGAAAAAUUGUAGAGUCGGUUAGAGUUGAGCGGUCCCCCUAGGGUUGAGUAGUCCUCACUGGGUUAUAGUAUUUAAUCCAAUGGUUAGAAAUAAUGAAAAGAGUUGAUCCAAAGGCUAAAAAAUUAGUAGCAAUAAUAGAAUUUUGCUACUAAUAGUAGCCCAGUCCAACUAUAUAUAUAUAUAUAUAUAUAUAUAUAUAUAUAUAUAGUGAGGCUAGUAUGCUUUUGGAAGCACGAAGCGCUCUGUGCUUUCAAGUUGUUUUCGAUGUUAGGACUUUCGAAUCGAUGAUCGGCUCCGUUAGAGUUGAUCUAGAGUAUUUAAAGUACCGANGAGUUGAUCUAGAGUAUUUGAAGUACCUAGAAAAUAAAUUUUGUGAUUUUUCGAUAUCAUUUGCCUAGUGAUCGAAGGGGCUCAAAAUCAAUAAUUUUAAUGGCUGUGGUGAGCCGGUUGCAAGUUUAACGGUAUAAAAAUAUCCAAAUCGCAUGAAAUUUUGAUAGAAAAUUCUUUAUACCAUAUAAAACAAGAUCAAUAACUUUGAUCUAAAAUUUUAAUGGCAUAUCAUCAUAUUUUGUAAGAUUUUUAUUUUUAGCCGUUGAUUUUGAGCCACUUCGAUCACUAGGCAAAUGAUAUCGAAAAAUCGCAAAAUUUAUUUUCUAAAUACUUCAAAUACUCUAGAUCAAGUCUAACGGAGCCGAUCGUCGAUUCGAAAGUCCGAACAUCGAAAACAAAGUGGAAGCACGGAGCGCUCCGUGUUUCCAUCAGCAUACUAGACGCACUAUAUAUAUAUAUAUAUAUAUAUAUAUAGAAUUGAGCUAGAAUAUUUUUAGAAGUAUCACCUCCUUGGUGCUUGUAGGUUUCUAGCCCUUGGAUCAAACACUAUUCCACCUACCACCAUCAUCCCAACCUUACAUCUCUCCAUCUAAGGGUUAAAAACUCAAAAACACUAACCUCUUCGUGCUUUUGAAAGUAUUCUAGCCCAACUCUAUAUAUAUAUAGGCUGGGGCUACUAUAGUCUUAUGAGUAUAAACCCCUUGUACUCAUAAAUUUUUAACCGUUGAUUGAUGGGAUGUGCGGUCAAGAUGAUGGUGGUCCCCAUUUAGAAUGAUAGUAGUCCCCUAGGAUUGAGUGGGUAGUUGGUUAAAUAGUAUGAUCUAACGGUUGAAAAUGGUUAAUAGAAUAAAUCUAAGGGCCGAAAACUUAUAAGAAUAAAAGAGCCAAUACUCAUAAAAAUAUAGUAGCCGAACUCAUAUAUAUAUAUAUAUAUAUAGAAAGAGAGAGAGAGAGAGAGAGAGAGUUGAGUUAUAAUACUCUCAAAAGCACCCCGGGGUUGGUGGGUGCUUUUGAGUUUUUAACUAUUGGAUGGAGAGAUGUAGGGUUGAGAUGAUGAUGGUAGGUGGUGGUAGGUGGAAUAGUAUUUGAUACAAAAGUUAUUAGUAAUCAAGGAAUAGAUUCAAGGGCUAAGAACUCAAAAGUACAAAAGGGUUGGUACUUUUGAAAGUAUUCUAGCUCAAUUAUAUAUAUAUAUAUAUAUAUAGAGUUGAGCUAGAAUACUUUUACAAGUAUCACCUGGGUGGUGCUUUAGUGUUUGUAGCUCUUGGAUGGAGAGAUGUGAGGUUGAGAUGAUGGUGGUAGGUGGUGGUAGGUGGAAUAGUAUUUGAUCCAAGGACUAUUAGUAAUUAAGAAGUAGAUCCAAUGGCUAAAACCUAAUAGCACCAUGGAGGUGAUACUUGUAAAAGUAUCCUAGCUCAACUCUCUCUAUACUAAUAUAUAUAUAUAUAUAUAUCAUUCAAAUUUUUGAAAAUAUUUUUUGAAAAUAUUUUUUUUAUUCUCAAGAAUCAAAAUAUUUUUAUUAAUUUCAAUAAAAUUUUUCAAAUGUUUUUAUUUUUUUAAGAUUUAGUAACUAUAUUAGAUUUUAAAAGAAUAUUUUGGUAAUUUCAAAAUAAAUUUAAAAUUUUUUUAUUGUAGUAAAAUAUGAAUAAGGAAAAAGUUUCAUGGACUUAUCCCAAAGCAAUCAUAUUGUACCAAACGAGUUAAAAAAAGUCCGAUAAUAUAAUAAUUAAAAAUAAAAAUAAUAUUUUUUAAGGUCUCCUGUGGAAUUUUAAAACACUAGUUUUUUAUAAUUUAGGACAUGUUUUGUUUAUAAUCGGAAUGAAAAUUUAAAAUUAAAUUAAAUUGCAGUAUAAUGAAAAAUAGACGAAAUAUGCAUAAAUAUUUCGUUUAUGUUUGGAAUGAAAAUUGAAAUAAAUAAUUGGAUGUCUAGAAUUUUGAGAGAGUGUUUUGAUUAUGGAAGAGACGAGCGAUGAACGGAGAGUGGAGGCGUUUGUAAAAGAAAAUUAAGUAUAUUAUUCUGAAAUUGGCUAAUCUACUAUUUAAAGUCAGAUUACGUCAUUAAUAGAGUAAGUCAUUCUCAUUCCUAAGUGUAAUAAAAAUCAAAAUCUGAUUUUCUAUAAUCAAAAUUAUUGAAUCUCAUACCAAUUCCAAAGUGUAAUUAAAAUAGAUAUAAAUUGAGGUAUAAGCGGGAAUUAGAUCAAUUUUGUGUUUGGAUGAAAAUUGAGUUAUUUCUGGGAAUAAACGAAAUAGCGUUUGGUUAGAUAAGAUGGAAUAAAAAGUUAUUCCUGGGAAUAAACAAAAUUCCAAGAAGUUGAUAUCAAUUGUUUUCAAUAUUGCGGCUUCCAAAUUGACGAUCUAUAUAUAUAUAAAGCUAGGCUGGUAUACUAUCGGUAGCACGAAGACUUCCGUGCUACUAAAUUGUUUUCAAUAUUGCGGCUUUUAAAUUGACGAUCGGCUCCGUUAGACUUGAUCUACACUAUUAAAAGUAUUUGAAAACUAAAUUUCAUAAUUUUUCGACAUCAUUUACCUAUCAAACGAGUAAUCUAAAAAUGAACGGCUAAAAAUAAAAAUCUCAUAAAAAAUGAUUAAAAAAGACUUGAAUUUAAGAUCAGAGGUAUUGAUCUUACUCGAAAUAAUGAAAAGAAUUUUCUAUAAAAAUUUUAUCAGAUUUGGAUUGUUUUACAUCAUUAAAUUCACAAACGUAUCAUAUCUAACAUUAAAAUUGUCAAUUUUGAGAUCUUUUGAUCACUAGCCAAAUGAUGUCGAAAAAUUAUGAAAUUUAAUUUUCAAAUACUUUUAACAGUGUAGAUCAAGUCUAACGGAAUCGGUCAUCGAUCUGGAAGCCGCAUCAUUAAAAACAACUUGGUAGCAUGGAGGUCUCCGAGCUACCGAUAGUAUACCAGCCUCUCUCUCUCUCUCUCUCUCUCUCUCUCUAUAUAUAUAUAUAUAUAUAUAUAAUGUAAAAUUAUUUCUGAUUCGGGUUCAGAUUCGGAUACAAUCAAAAUGCAUACCCGAAUUCAAAUCCGUCAGAAUUUCAUUUUUGAUAUUAAUAUUCGAAACUAUAUUCAUUUAGCAUCGAAUAAAUCACUCCAUUAAGUUUUUGAAUACGUAUCCAGUGACACACCUAAAUGUGGGUAGUGCCAGACAAAGGUAAUUAUCUUAAGAUUCAAAAUAAGAUUAUGAAAAAGAAGAUAUUGACAUAACAAGCAUACAAUUGAUGAGAUUGAAUAUAUUCGUGGGAAAAAGAAGAGUCCAAAACAUAAUUUUGUUCCACUGGAAAAGUCACAUUUUUUAACAUAAUUUGUUACCCAUUAGAACAAAAGAUAUAGGGUGAUUUUAUUGGUUCUCAAAUUAAUAAUAACCGGUGUUGAAACUGCGCUUCGCCGCCGGCAGUUUUAACACUAAUAUGCAAACAUAUAUUUAGCGUGAAUAAUUUACUUUUUAAACAAUUCUAAAAGAAAAUAAUUUUAGAAAAGAGAUUUAGAUGAGGCAUGUGAGUCGAGGUGUGCAAAAGCACUGUCUUAGAAACAAGAUUGCCUUUUCACGUGCGAGGUUCCGGCAAUUACUCCUUAGCGAUACAACGACCACUUUCCACCUCGUUAGCAUGUCUUUAGGGUGGUGCAACACGAACCCAAGUAGCUCUUAGAAAUCCAGCGAAAAAUACAAAAAAAAUGUAAAAUUCAAUAUAAAGAAAGGUGAAGUUAAGUGCAUAAGGAAGAGAGGAAGAAAAAGCAAUUAGAAAAAUUUUUCAAGAUUCCAACCUCAUGAGUACAGAUUCUUCUAUAUAUACACCCGAAUUGAGAAUAGAUUUGGUACCUUCCCAAGAUGCAUAUGAAAAAUUUGGUACCUGAGGUAUAAUCAUUGGAUAGAUUUGAUACCUUUUCGAGGUGAAUUUGAAAAGAUUUUAUACCUUUCCGAGUUGUAAAUAUGGGAUAGAUUUGGUACCUUUUUGAGAUAGAUUGAAAAGAUUUGGUACCUUCUCGAGGUGUAAUCAUUUCAUAUUUGAUAUGGGAGGGAGGAGAGUGAAGAAAUGAAGGGAGAAGAGGAGAAAGGAGGAACGAACACGUGUAUAGGAGGAACUGUCAAUUAGUUUAUUUAUAUGGAUAAUUAAAUGAAUUAAGAUGAAUUGCUAAACUGAACCAACUCAUUUUGGUAUUUUCGAUUCAAUUUUAUAUAUAAUUCGGCUUAAUUCAACUUAAAAGUUUAAAAAUCUAAGAAAACUGAAUUGAUUGAAUAAGUUAAUUUUUAGUUAUUUAAUAUAUAUUAAUCCUAAAUUGUAAUUGAAUAAGUAGAGUGUUUACCACAAAGGACCUGGCAGAGAUAGUGAUGUUAACGGAUAUGAAUAUCCGAAAUUUUAUCUGAAUCCGAGCGCAAAGGGGGUGAAUUUUGUCCAAUGCUAAACGAAUAUAGUUUCGGAUAUAAGUAUAAAAUAUAAAAAUUCCAAAAAUUUGGAUUCAGGUGUAGAUUUCGUCUUUACUCGACCCAAAGCAUAUCCAAACCCGAAUUGAUUUUACAUUAUAUAAUAUAUAUAAAUAUUUGAUAUUAUAUUUAAAUUUAUAUUCUAAAAGUAUUAAAUUUUAAUAUAAUAUAUUUUGAGAUAUGGUAAAAAAAAAUAAUUAUUUCAGGUUUGGAUUUUUUUGUUUUGGGUUCGUAUUUCAAGUUUUUUGCCUAGUUCGGUUUUGAAUAUGAAUUUUCAAAAUUCACCGGGUUUAGGUUAGCGUUCGGGUUUCGGACUAAGGUUUUUGAAAACUCGCCUCCAAUCGGAUCUUUUGACAUCCCUAAGAAGGGGCCAUGGGCUCCUCUCCCUUUUCCAAAGGCUACAAUUUUGAUUGACCUAUUAUUAAGUUUUAAUAUUAUUUAGGAGCAAUUUUAAAUGUUUUCCUUAUGAAAUAUCAUGGGUGUCCUUUCAUAAUUAUCAAUAUAAUUUUUGCCACUAUAAUUUAUGAAUUAUAUAAAAAAUGUCCUCAAUUCCACUGAUUAAAAUUUUUGGACUACUUUAUCUCUAAUUAUACCAAAUUAUAACUAGUUGCGUCCUAUAAUGUAGGUAUAAUUAAUUUAUUUUUCGUCGAAAAUGAUUUGGUUUUUGUUUAUGAUUCAACAUAUAAACAUCUUUUUUUGCCCCCUUAUUAAUUCAAUAUCAUGUAGAUCUUAUAUUGAUCUUAAUUAAAAAUUAAUUAAAACUAAAGAUAUGUUAUACUCUUUUUUUAAUCUAUUUUCUUAUUUAUCUAAAUAAGUAUGUUUUUUUCCCUAACUAUUUGUGCUGUUUAGUUUGUUUUGAUUGUAUUUAUAAUAUUUUCAAACAAGAAUCAAGUUAAAUAAGAAGCUAUAAAUAAUACAUAUAGGCAAAUUGAAAAUUUUAGAUUAAUGUAAUGACCCAACCUGCUGCUAGUAAUAAUAACUCGUUGGGCCAAAACUACUAACCCAAAAAUGUUUAAGCCCAAUUAUUAUUAUUAGGGUGGAGUUCUCUUAUAAACUCAAUGACAAUCUCAUUUCCAUCCGAUAUGGAGCUAUUGGGGUGUCACAGAUUCUCCAUGUUUAGGCCCACGUCCUCAUCAACCCUAAACACACAAAGAUCACCUGGCAAUGUGAGACUUAUCUCGCUAACCUUUGUCAUUCCGACCCUGAUUUAGCCUGUCAAUCACCGACCCUGACUUAGUAUUCAGUUAAAACUUAUCUCACACUUCCGACUGGUGAACUGGCUUUGAUAUCAAAUGUAAGGACCCGACCUGCUACCAAUAAUAACUCGUUGGGCCAAAACCAUCCGCUGAAAAUACUUAAACUCAGUUAUUAUUACUAGAAUAGAGUUCUCUUAUAAACCAAAUGACAAAUCCUCAAUAUAAAUAUUUAUGACAAAUAUUAGAGGGGUAUUUUCUUUUUAUAUAUAUAUUUUUGACAUUUAUAGAGAGAUUUCUAUAUAAUUGAAGGUUGGGGAAAGGAUAUGUGCAAACUUACCCUCUUUUAUAUAUCUAAAAUUUGAAUUUGGGCUUUGCGAAAUUGGAUAAGUAGACAUUCAAUGUACAAACUCUAGUUUAAUAAUUAACUAACUAUUCAAUUUUAUUUCGCUGCCCCAGCAAUCGAACUUUAGUUUCAUUCUUGACUCCUAUCAUUGAAUUAAAGAUUUUAAGAUAAAACGCUUAUUCAGUUUUUACAUUUGGAUUUCAUUUAUUUCAAUUCUAAAUUGACGGCUCCUCAUUAGUAAUUACUUAAUUAUUUUUAGAUACUUAUUUUUAAUGGUCAUUUUUUUAAUAAAGUAAAAAAAAAAAAAAAAGCGUGAGCAUUGCGGAGUGGGUAUUAGGCUAAUCGGUCGGGCCGGAGUAGGUCAGGCCCAAAUAUAAUUUGGUUGGGUCGGCAAAUGAACUUGAACGUGGCCCGAAUCAACUCGGACAAAUCUUAGAUAUGGUGUUAUAUGAUGUAGUAUUUAUCAGGGUUAAUUACAUAUAGGUCUCUGCAAGUUCAAUUUUCAUAUAUUGUCCUUAUAAAAGUCCUAAUAUUUUCAAAUAUGUCUUCGCCGUUAGAGUCCGUUAAAAAAAAAAGUUAAUCAUAGGUUAAAAAAUAUUUAACCCUGAUUAGUCAAUGAGAUAACUUAGACAUUUUUACCUCUCUUAUAUUAUACUUUCUUCUGUUAAUCAAAAUUCUGGUAAUGGAAACUCUUAUUCUUCUUCCUCUUCCUCUUCUUCUUUCUUUUCCUCUCUCCCUCAUGCUAGUUUCGAGCCCAUAACUAGAAUUUCUUUGUCUCCAUUCAUCCAUGACGCGUGAUGCUUCGCCCAUAUCAAACGCAUGUUGCUUUCCCAUUCAAUUUUCUUUAUAUAUUUUUUUUUGCUCAUAAGAAAAUGUUUAGAAAAAAGUGAGUGAUCGAGAUUGCAACAAUGAUGUAAUAGGUUGGAUUUUUUUUAAAAAAAAAAGAAGAUGAGAAAAAAGAUGAUUAUUGAAAAUUUUUUGGGAGGACAUUUCUGCAUGAUAAAAACUGUUGCCGCUUUUGGAAAAAUAUAUUUGUGAUGACAAAAUUGACAUUUCACUUAUAUUUGUUUCUAAAAUAUAAACAGUUCUCUAAUGAUAACAAAUCAGAAGGAUAUAUUUAAAAAUAUUAGAACUUUUGUAGGGACAAUAUAUGAAAGUUAAACUUUGUAGGAAUAUAUAUUUACAAUUUACUAUAUUUGUAGGGACCUAUAUAAAUUUAACCCUUUUUUUUUUUCAUAAAAUGCUAUUAAAAAUACUAUUUUAUAACUUUUUUCUCGCUUAAAAAGACUUUGUCUUUUCACUUUCCUUCUCAGACUUUCAAAAAUCUAAAUUUUUUACCUUUUCGAAAUUUUAAGUUGAUACACCCUUCGUCAGAAUUAUAUAGUUGUUCGAUCUAUCUCUUAUAAUUUAUAUUUAAAAUAUUAUUUAAAAUGAUAGACAUAUAUUAAAAAGGUAUUUUCCCUCUAGAACUAGUAAGUACUAACGGCAAUGUAGUCAUUUCGCUUUCUCUAUUAACAUCUUAAUCUCCUGGAAAUAUUUUUAAAAUUUUGAGCGUGAAAAAAGUAUAUUCUAAAAAAUGGUAAGAAACAAAAAAAAUAUUUAUAAGUUUUUGUACUUCAAUUAUAUUUUUUUCAUAAAAUCUUAUGAUCCUGUUGAUGGACGAUCGUGAUACUAACAAUCUAUACUAGACAGUGGUGGUAUCAAAGCCGUUGAUUCGAACCACCCCACCCUUGAUUCAUUGCUUGCUAGAUAAGGUCAAACUCUCUAUUUUGACCAACUAAAAAUACAAUUCCUUGACUCCAACUCUAAAUUCCUCCCUAUCUCUAAUUUUCAACACAUGCCUAUUUUGAACAUGUCUCUAUUUUGAACACUUGUAGAUAAGGGUGAUAAUGGAUCGGAUAUUAUCCGACCCAAUCUAACUCCGAAUUUGAAAAUUAUCAAAUAUGAAUUACAAUUUUACUAUUUGAUGCAGAUUCAGAUUUCGAUUCUGGUCUAUUAAUUUUUCUUUGGAUUCGGAGUCGAAUGAUUCGAAUCCAAAACUAGUUUUUACUAAUUUUCCAACAUGUAUUAUACCCUUUGGCGCCGUUUGGUUCGGAGAAUAAACGGGGAUAACGAAAGUUAUUCUCGCUAUUCCGCCAAACGGGAUCAUUUUUUACUGGAAUAUUUUAUUCAGGUCAAAGCUUGCUAUUCCCGGUUAUCCUGGAAUAGCAAGCUUUUUACUAUUCCACCAUUUUGAUGGAAUAGUAUUAUUUCCAUGCUUAAUUUCAAACUUUAAUUAAAAUUAUAAAAUAAAUUAAAACUAAAUUAUAUAAAUAUAAUAUAUUAUAUAUUAUAAUACAUUAUUUUUAUUAUAAAAUUAUUAAUUGUGCUAUAUUAAUACAUAUUAUUUAUAUUUAAAUAUUAUAAUAAAUUUUAUAAUAAAUUAUAUUUAAAUAUUAAAAUAAAUUAAAAUUUAAAAUUUAAAUAAAUUUAAAAUUUAAAAUAUUAUAAUAAAUUAUAUUUAAAAUUUAAAAUUUGUAAUCUCAAAAUUAAAGUUUAUAAUUUUAAAUUCCACAUUUUAAAUUUUAAAUUUAAAAUUUGAAAAUUUAAAUUUUUGAAAUUUAAAUUUGAUUUUAAUUUUUUUUUCAAAUUUAAAUUUGAUCUUAAAUUUAAAGUUAGAAAUUUAAAAUUUAAAUUUUGAAUUUAAAAUUUGAGAUUUUAAAUUUUAAAUUUUAAUUUCAAAAUUUGAAAUUUAAAAGUUAAAAUUUUAAAUUUUAAAAUAUAAAUAUAAAAUAUAAAAAUUUAAAUUCUAAUAUAAAUAAAAAAGUGAUAAUAUUAUUAAUUUUUAUUUAUAACUACCCACUUUAAAUCUUAUUCCAUCUUACCUAACCAAACGUUAUUUUUCUUAUUCCCAGGAAUAACCCAAUUUUCAUCCAAACGCAAAAUUGAUCUAAUCCCCACUUAUACCUCAAUUUAUACCUAUCCCUGGAAUACCCACUUUUAAAAUUAUUAAUAUUUUUUUAUAGAUUUAGAAAAACCUUACAGCAGGAAAUAUUUUUUAUUUUGCUUUUAGUUUUAUGUAUUUAUUAAAUAUUCGAUUUAGAUCCGUAUCCAUGUGAUAUUCGAUCCGUACUCGAAUCUAUUUUUAUGAAAUAUGAAUUUAAAUUUUAGUAUCCAAACAGAUAUCCAAACCCAAAUUCAAAUCAAAUAUAAAAAAAUAAAUAUAAAUAUGGAUCAGGUACUUGCAAUUUAUAUCCAAUCCAUUUUCAAUUCAAAAGCACCACCCAAAAUAAAAAAAAAAAAAAAAAACUAUAUUUAGGCACAGGACACGUGUCGCAAGCUCCUUGGUUGGAAAAACUAUAGGCGUGGGUUUUGUGGACGCAAUGAAGCGUCGACGUAGCGGCAACUAUAAAAAGCAAAAAGUACACAAAAAGAAAAAAAAAUCCGAUCCACGUCAGCAUCCGACAAGCUUUAUCCACCCGCUUUUUUUUAUUUCUCAUUUCGUCCCCUCUACCUUCCAAUAUCCCCGUGCCACGUGUCCCGAUACGAUAUUUUGCGAAUAUCACGAUAUAUCGGGAAUUAACGUAUCCCAUUUUUCUUCUUAGUUCGCCAUUUUUUUCGGUUGUUGAUAAUUUUGAAAUAAAUUAUUAUCCAAAAUUUGACUUCAAACAAAAAAAAAUAUCUAAUAUGAUUAUACUGAAUAAGAUAAUUUAAUUUUAUUUAAUUUAUUGACAAAUUUUAAAACUUGUCGAAAUUCGUUCUUAUAAUUUGAUUUGAUUUUGAUAUUUUCUUAAGCUGAUCGAAAAUUAAAUAGUAAUAUCAUAUGUGUUUCUUAUCAUAAAAACAAAUUCAAUCUAUAUAUAUUAAUAUUAUUUUUAUAAUCAUAAAUUUAAAAUUUAUUCACUUAUAUAAAAAAACAACCAAUCGAUUGAUUAAGAUGAAAAUAAUAAACUCAUAAUAUCGCGUUAUUAUGUCGCAUAAUUAAUUCGGCACGCGUUACACGUCGUGCUUCGUCACGUGGUAGGCGGUGCUCGCACGUGAUUGUUGCGUGUACGCGGCUUUUGCACCAACCGCCGGUGAAUUGACCAAAAUGCCCUCCUCUCCUUCCUAAAUUUUACGCCGUAAAAUCGCUUUGAUAUUCGUGAUUAUAGUAAAUUCGAUGUCUAAUUUGGUCAUUUAAAAUGAUAGUAAUAAUAUUUAUUUUAAAAAGGUGGUCCCCGCGACCACGGCCCUAUAAAUUUGCGCACCCCACCUCCCCGUUCUCGCCAAAAUUCGUUAUUUGCACAGCAGCCCCCGUUUGAAGAUUUUAUCGCAGGCAGGUCCUCGAUUCCUUUCAAUUUCGUCCCUGAAUUCGGGCUGGUUUGUUUGUUUGUUUUUUUUUUUUUUUUUUCGCUAUUNNNNNNNNNNNNNNNNNNNNNNUUUCUUUUUUUUUUUUUUUUUUUUUUUUUUUUCGCAAUUUAGUCCCUAGCUGUGGUAUGAAUGCGACGAGCUCCAUGGGGAUCGCCGCCGCAGCCACCACGGUGAGGCCGUGUUGCCGCAUCCUCGCCGCACGUCUCUUCCCGAAAUGCCCCCGGGGCGCUGCGCCCUUCCCGAUGUGCCCCCGUAAAUCCCCCUCCCCCUUCCCUAAAUGCCCCCGCCGCCGACGCCGCCCCCACCUCGCCCCCGCGUGGAUCCGCGCCGCCGUGGCCCCGGCCGCCGACGCGGCGGCGCCGGGGCGCCGCCGCCUCUCCACCGGAGGAGGAGGCGGCGGCGGCGGAGGUGAGGGAGGAGACGGCGAUGGAGAGGGAGGCGUGGGGCUUGCUGAGGGGGGCGGUGGUGAGGUACUGCGGGAGCCCGGUGGGGACGGUGGCGGCGAGCGACGUGGGGGCGUUUCGCGAGGAUCCGCUAAAUUACGAUCAGGUGUUCAUCAGGGAUUUCGUUCCCUCGGCCCUCGCCUUCCUCCUCAAGGGCGAGACCGAGAUCGUGCGCAAUUUCCUCCUCCACACCUUGCAAUUGCAGGUGAGAUUAGCAAUUCAUACCAAAAUUCUCACUCAGAUUCUAUUGUUGGAUCAUUUGGGAAUUGGUUGGUGAUGGAUUUUGGUGUUAUAAAUCAAAUUUUAGCGCAAGUUAAAUUGAGUUAGGUAAGAUGGAGAAAGAAAGAACUUCUCAUUUGAAAUUAGGUGGAGUUUUGAUGUUUCUGAUUAUGACCAAUUGACCAUCGAUUAUGGAUUAUUUUGUCUUCGUUGCAGUCUUAGUUGAAUGGUUAUGAUAAUUAGAUGGUUUGGAAUCUCUGGAUCCACCACUGAAUUAAUUGCUUUAUGUAUUUCCUUUUGAUUGAUCCAAUAUAUAUUGUUGAUUCAAUCUAAAAUGCUUAUAUUGUCUCCAAAUCAUUGGAUAGUUGAUUUUGCAACAUUUUAUCCUUUCAUGUAAGGAUUAGUGCAUUCUCUUGCAUUCUCAUGGAUUAGGAAAUGAUAUUACUUUGAUUGAAAGUUUUCUUUGUAUUGAAUGUGAAGCAUGAGUGUCAUCAUAAUUGGACCUCUAUUUUCUUCGAAGCUUCAAUUGUUUCGAGGGGGACAUUUAACUAACAAUCAUGAAGUUUCGGGUUUUCAAAAUUAAGUACUUGUUAGGCCGUGCUGUAGGAUAUAGUGCUGUUUGAUGAAGCAUUGUUUGAAUGACAUUAUUACAAGGGCUAUAUUAAGAUCACGCUAGCAGCUUCUCCCGGCAACACAACUAGAAGCUUUAAAUUAGAGCUUCCCGCUGUAGUAGAAGCUCUGGGAUUUUCUGUUUCUCAGAUGCUCUAAUAUCGGUGGUUGCUCUUGAAAGCAAGAGCAAAAGCACGACAGAUAUAUAAGAUUCUUUAUUUCUGAAUAAUUUAGAAAACUUGGAGGUUUAUAAAGAGGGGAGAAUACAGCUAAAGCUUGUUUGCUUUCAAAAGAGAAAUGGGGAGACAAAGAUUAUAAAUUUGAAUGCUCUUUUUGUGGAGAAAGAAGUAGUGAAGGUGCAACGAUAGGAGAAAAGUAUUCUCUUUGACGUCCAUUUCAUUCUUUCUCCACACGUGGAAGGAAGAGAGAGAUGAAAAAAAUGAAAGAAAACUGUUUGUUUUUCCUCUUUUGGUUGUUUGUUCUCCUCUAUGUAUCAUAGACACUUUUGUAAACCUCGCGUGUCAUUGUCGGACGCGCGCGUGUUCGUGUCGGACACGUGUCCGAUGUGGGCACUCCUUGGAUGCCCAUUUAAUGCCGAUCCAUUGUGCAUACAACUAAAAUAUAUAUAUAUAUAUAUAUCUGUUUUUAUUUUAUUUUUUCUAUGCAUAUAUAAUAUAAGAUGAUAAAUAUUUUAACUUUUUGAUGAAUGCAUACAAUUUUUUUUUUGACAAUAUAAAUAAAUUAUGUACGAUGGAGAAUUUCUUUUCUUAAAAUAUAUGAAUUAUCAAUGAAAAUUUUAUAAACUUUCAUUCAUACGAGAAAUAUAAUAAUAUUUUACCAAAAUAAAUAUUUUAUAUAUAAUAAAAUAUAUUAUUAAAUUAAUAAUAUUAUAUUUUAUUAGCAGUGUACAUGCCAUGUCCGUGUCCUAAUUUUUUAGAAGUUGCUAAGUCGCAGUGUCCGAGUCGUGUUGUGUCUCGUGUCUGUGUCUGUGUUCGUAACGCCUAGGUUCUCCUCCUCUUAUACAUUUGCAAAUCAAAGAGUACGGUUGAGUGUUCUUUCAUUUCUAUCCUCGGUCCAAACAGAGGGUGGGAUGAAUUGCUCCUCUCGCUUUCUUCCUCUAUUCCUUUCUCUUUAUUUCUAUUUUGGUUUUCUUUUCUGUUUUCUCCUCUAUUUAGACAUAUUGUUUUGACCUGGAUUUGAUGGUUCUAUUUUCUUUCUAUGAUGCUCCUGUUGAAUAAUGUCCUUCAUAUCCAGAGCCAAAAACUCUGUAAUGCGACCAAAAUACUUCAAUACUGGAUGGAUUAUCGGUCUUUCUGUGGUAACAAAGUCACCUUGUUUAUACGACGGUAUAUUGAUCCAAAGAUAACAGUUUUGUAAACUAAUAAAUGCUUCUGAUAACUUGUAUGCUUGCGUUUUAUUUGAUGCUCAGAGCUGGGAGAAGACUGUGGAUUGCUAUAGCCCUGGACAGGGGUUGAUGCCAGCUAGCUUCAAGGUUAGAACGGUCCCACUUGAUGGAAGCAAUGAGGCAUUUGAGGAAGUCUUAGACCCGGAUUUUGGCGAGUCAGCUAUUGGACGUGUUGCUCCUGUAGAUUCUGGUCUGUUUCUGGUGAAGAUAUCUCAAAUUGUUUCUCCUCUACAAAUUUUCUAGUUUGAAUGAGUUUCAUUCAAGAGACAUUUAGACAUAUACCUUUCAAAUUUAUCCAAUUACUUAGAUACCCUGCAGAAUCUGAAUUCCUCAUUUGUGCCCUUCAAAAUUAGUUGACUUUCCAUCUUAAGAAGAUGGUAUUUUGUUAAGAAAAUGCAGUUUUGACUUUCUAGGGUUUUGCAUGAAAAUUCUGGUUUUACAGGAUAUAUACUCAAAUAGAUGAUUUUACAACAAUAAAGAUAAGGAUGUGAAAGCCCCUUUUGUAAUUUAUCAAUAGAGAAAUGUGAGAAAUGUUUAAAUUGAAUUUCAACUCUUAUGGCAGGAUUGUGGUGGAUUGUAUUACUUAGAGCAUAUGGGAAGAUAACAGGAGACUAUUCAUUGCAAGAGAGGGUAGACGUGCAAACCGGCAUUAAAUUGAUCUUGAAUUUGUGUUUAUCUGAUGGGUUCGACAUGUUUCCGACUCUACUAGUCACUGAUGGCUCUUGUAUGAUAGAUCGAAGGAUGGGGAUUCAUGGGCACCCUCUCGAGAUCCAAGUAAGUUGGAUUCUAGUUUGUGCUGUCCCUUGAAAAAGUUUACUGCAGUAUUUAUUCUAUAAUGGUAAACUUUUCCCGUUAUCGUAUGUAAAGAAUUUGCAACCUCUGUGGAGACUGCUCUGCAAAUCAUGAUUUAUUUGUCAAUAUUUUUGGGCUUGCAUAGCUGGUUUGAAUCUGCAGCAAAUAUAAAUGUUGCAGCAAAUAUAAAUGCUUAGGUUCACUUUGCAUGAAACAAUUUCGGUUUUGUUCUAUUUGUAAUUGAAGGAUAGAAUAAACUAACAUGAACUAUUUUUGGCGAAGAUACUAUUUUCGGUGAAGAUUAAUAUUCAAGAUCAUGUUUUCUGUGGUUAUAUUAUGAUCUUUUAGAAAUUGAGAUUUUAGAACAUAUAAUGUUUCAAUUUUAUUUCGGUGAAAACAGUGGAGAUGUGAAGAGAGUGAAAUUUAGAGAGAGGAACUAAAUUUGGCAACAAAAUAUUAUCCUUUCUCCCUUAUUGGCUUCCGGUAGAUAUUGGAUAUUCGGAGUUAGAACGUUAGCAUGUACUUGAAACAGAACAUACACUCCGGUUUCAAGUUCUGCAAAAGUGAAAUAUCUUAACUUGUGUUGGGUUUGGUGCUAGAACUUAUUAGGAGUAUAGGUGCUUAAAUUGAAUCUUGAGACUUAUCUCAUACUAACAACAUCCUUGCAGUGGCUAAAGUUAACAUUGACAGAACUGAGGGGCCAAGGCCCCAACUUGCAAAAUUACGUUAUUUGGUAGUAUAUAAUUUCAUUUUCUAAAGAUAAUGAUUACCUGACUAAAUUCGAUACAAAUAAGGUAUUCUCCCGAUAUGUUGAACUAUUUUGGUUUUGUUUAGCAAUAUAUUAUUUUAAUCUGAUAUUUUACUAAGGGGGUGUUUGGUUCCUCAGAAAAGUGUGAAAGAUGUUUUUCAUGGAAAAUGUUUUUCCAUGAAAAUCGUCUUUCUCUAUAGUUUUCGUUUGCCGGAUAAAAAAUUUGGAAAACGAAAAAACACUACUUUUCCAUAGAAUCUGAAAAAAGUACUUUUUCCAGAAAACUACUCCUAGGAACCAAAUGGACGGAAAAUAAUUUUCCAGCAGAAUUGUUUUUUGGGAUAUUGUCCGGAAAAUCAAACACCCUACGGGAAAAAGAUAAUUAUACUAGGACUAUCAACUUUAAAUAUGGAUUGAGUUUCAAAAUGGGCUGUUGUUGAAUUGCUGACAACUCAACAACUUGUGUUCAAAUUGAAUAACUAUUUUUGUACAGCUUAUCAAACUCACAUUUGGAUCAAAUCCGUUUUAAAUCUAGCUUGGAUGUCACCCAGUUAAGCUUGGCUCCUCUAAGUAUAGAGUCCUUGCUCACUCUCUGCAAUCAAGUAUUAUGCUCUCUUUGUAUAUCCUUUCUUCAUUAUCUGCGGUUGCUUUUGCUUGAAUCUGUGCUUUGUGAGACUGUACUACUACUACAAUAUAACUUAUCAUGUAUCGGGCUAAUUCCAUUUCUCAGGCUUUGUUCUACUCCGCUCUUCGAUGCUCGCGAGAGAUGAUCACUGUCAACGAUGGAUCAAAGGGCCUGAUUCGUGCUAUCAAUAACAGACUAAGUGCUCUCUCAUUCCAUAUUAGAGAGUACUAUUGGGUUGAUAUGCCCAAAAUCAACGAGAUAUACCGUUACAAAACUGAGGAGUAUUCGCAAGAUGCUACCAACAAGUUCAAUAUUUAUCCUGACCAAAUCCCUUCUUGGUUAGUGGAUUGGAUUCCAGAGAAAGGCGGGUACCUUAUUGGAAAUUUACAACCUGCCCACAUGGAUUUUAGGUUCUUUUCGCUUGGAAAUCUAUGGGCCAUAGUUUCUUCGUUAACAACUCCAAAACAAGCUGAAGGAAUUCUCAAUCUUAUUGAAGAGAAGUGGGAUGAUCUCAUGGGGAAUAUGCCUCUCAAAAUAUGCUAUCCUGCACUAGAAUAUGAAGAAUGGCGUAUAAUCACGGGGAGUGAUCCUAAGAAUACGUAAGUUCAAUUAUUAUAUUAAUUGCUUGUUUCUUGCUUUAUUGAUUUUCUAUGAUAUUAUGCUUGAUGGUGUGUUGUUUCCAUAAUGUUUGGAUACUAGGGUUUUGGUAAACCGCUGAUCAAGUAUAGCUGUUCGAGAAGACUUUUUGGCCUUUUUGUCAAAACCUCUCAGUAGCUUCACUAUGAGAUGAAAGGUGCCAGCUCCAAAUUGUAGCUGCUUUUAGGGGUUCAAAGAGCCGAUUUUAGCUUCCGACUCCAGCUGAAAACUCUAGAAUCUUUGUUUCGCAAACACCUGACUUAUUCUUGAUGUUACAUUGUCGUUUUCUGCUUCUGGUUGGUAGUGUUUAAGUAAUUCAGCAGCAGAUUGUAGCAGUUUUGACAUUUUACUUACUGAAUAUCUACUAAAUACAACUAACCGAACAUCUAAUAUUUGCAGCCCGUGGUCAUACCAUAAUGGUGGAUCUUGGCCUACCCUUCUGUGGCAGGUACUUGCACUCUUAUUAUAUUCACAUUUUCCUUCUUUCUGUAAUUUCAAUGGUGAUGUUACUCUUACUCUAACCAAUAUAUCAUUUAAUUCAACAUUUCCAGUUCACAUUAGCCUGCAUUAAAAUGGGCCGGCCGGAGCUGGCUCGAAAAGCCGUUGCCCUAGCUGAGAAGCGGCUCUCAAAUGACCAGUGGCCCGAGUACUACGAUACACAAACAGGAAGGUUCAUUGGAAAGCAGUCACGCCUCUACCAAACAUGGACGAUCGCCGGUUUCUUGACCUCGAAAAUGCUUCUGGAAAACCCCGAAAUGGCUUCCAUAUUGACUUGCGACGAAGACCUCGAGCUUUUAGAGGGGUGUGCUUGUAAACUAACCAAGGCCGGACGCACCAAGUGCUCUCGCCGCUUGGCCAAGAAGCAGGUCCUCUAUUAACUACAUUCAAAUGUGAUUUUUUUUUUUUUUUUACUAUUUUAUUUUAUACUGUAUAGUGGCAAAAUGAAUCAGUGUAUAGGUGAAGAUCAGAUUCUGCAUCUGAUUUGGUUCCACAGUGGGAGCUCAUUAUUUUUGUUGGGCUGCCAUUGGUGGGGAACGACUUAUAUACGCGCCAAUCAUACGGAUUAUAGGGUUUGUUUAUGUGACAGCUAAUGAUUCAGAAUGCUGCUGACACUUGGAUUUGUAACAAUUUGCAUUUACAUGAUGUAUUUUACAUGCACACUAACACACUUCAGUUAUGUAAUAUUGUGUUAUUCGAAUAACAUAAAUUUGUGAUGAUCACCUCUCUUGUUGUAUUUGAUGUUGUGCAUGUAUGCUUCAUGUUUCUCCUGUUAUUUUAAUUCUUGCAGUAAAUUAGAAAGAUCAGAUGUAUUUUUUCACCCAGAUUCUAAAAUAUUUAUGGCUAGAAAAAGUUAGUGGGCUUUUGAAAAAAGCUCUAUUUUGAAACUUCUGCUUUAGGGAUAAUGGUGAGUGAGUUAUUGCGGUGAAGUGCUUCUAUAAACAGCUGCUGUUUCUAUUUGACUAUAUUUAGGCUGACAUGUCCUGAGAAAGGAUGUCAGUGGUCUCUUGGUUCCAAUGUACUGCCAAAACAGUUUAGUAGAAAACAUGUAGAAGAUGCAGGGCUUAGUUAUUUGGAUAUGUCAUAUAGUUUCCAAACAUGUAGUAGGCUUAUUCCAUAGGGUAUUUGAUUUAGGACUUGUUUGGCCCCGCUUUUCAGAAUCGCUUUUGUGUGAAGCAAACCAAAUCCAAAUAGACCUGUCCCUGCUUGGAUGGAACUAACCAGCUCUUCUGAGCUCUCACACUUCUCCCAAAAGCACGAAAACACUAAUCGACUUCUCAAAGUGAGAGUUUACUGUAACAGAAAGCUAAAAUGAGAUUUCGAGACCGACAAGAUUGCUUUUUUAACCUGCUCUGAUGACGGAUUACUGACAAACUCCUCACAGAACUGACAGUGGAAGCAGUUACAAUCACUAGAAGGGAGCAUAGAAUUACAUAAAAGCCAUUUUCAUAACAUUAGCAUGAAUAUAUUACAACCUAAUUACUAACUCACUAUACCUACAUAUCCUAAUUUAAACACACACAGCUAAAUUGCUCUACAUACAAUAUUACAUACAAUGUGACCUAGCUUGGUGUUCUCCCCUAUUGCAUUUCUCUUCACCUUCUGGUAACCAAAGCCAAAAUUUGGGGUUUAACUAAUACUAACUCCCAAAAAAGAGAACACCCAUUAUAAAGAAGGGUAUCUUCUAAAUUUUGCAGUUCGGUCCACUUUUUUUAUGUUAUCGCAACUUCGCAACCCCCCUCCACUCCCAAAAAAAAUUCUUGUUUUAUGGACCAAAAUGUCCCUAGCUUACCUAAUGAUAAAUGUGCGCGAUUCGCAUUCUAGCUAGGGGCAUUUUGGUCCGCACAUGUAUAUUUCGGUCGGAAGUUGCAGUAACUAAAAACUGGGCCGAGACGGCAAAACCGAAUAGAAGAAAAAACAGUCAGUCUAGAUCUGCGAGGUCGGUGAGUUCGUCAUUUCGGUCGGUUCGAAAGAGGUCGAGCCGGUCCUGGCUGAGCCGGAGGGAGUACAUGGUCUUCUUGUACUCGGCCCAGGUGAAGGGUCGGUAUCGGCGCGGCGAAUCCGCGGUGAUCAUCUCGGGGAGAGGGGAGAUGAGUGAGUGGAGGGGAGGGGCACCAAAGAAGAUUAUGGAGAGCCUUGAUUUGUAUGAGGAGUUUGCCAUGGCCCUGUGCCUUAUGCUAGUUAGCCUCCCAUUUGUCAUUGCCUACAAGUAACAAUUAAAACAUAUGAAUUAAUACACAAUUAAUUGUUAUGAGAGUUAAUUAAUAUUAGAUGUGUAUAAAGCAAGAUAUAGGUAUAAAGCAAGAUAUAGGUAUAUAUUUAUAUUUUGAACCACUUGUUUUUGUUUAAUUUGAACAUUUAUGUGUGUACUAUGAUGUUACGGAUGCUUAAUUAAUGGCAUGUGCUUGUGUUUGUAUGUAACAUGCAUCUUUUAUGUGCGUGUGAGAGAGAAAGAGAGGGAGAGAAUUAAUUUAGAAUCUGGGGGACCAAAAUAUAUAAUAUAUUUAUCUUUAAAAAAUAUUUAUAAAGCAAAUUAUAAAAGAAGUUCGGCGUAUAAGGCACAAGCCUUUUACAAAAAAAAAAAAAAAAGGCUUUGGCCCCUAGAAAUAUAAUAUUUUAAUUUUUACUUUACCAUAAGCGGAAACUUUUAUGAAAUUUUAAAAAAUUUGACAGAAACUAUGGCCACUGUGAGCCCCUCAAUAGCUCCGUCUUUGCGCUCAUCUCAUUGAGAACUCAUUGAAAAGCUUCUCAAUGAAGUUGCGCUUGCUUAUACAGUUGUACUUAUCGCGAUGUGUAUCAUAUAAAGGAUUCCCUUAUCAUGUUGUUAAAAAUGAAAGAGGAGAAAUUUCGAUAUUUGCAGAAGUACUCUUACCUUGACUCUCUCUACAUAUAACUUGUGUUAUGUUCUAUAAAUACAUGAAAUUGCAAAACGGGUAAAUAUAAUGUAAGAUAAUUUUAAUUUGAUGCAAAAUUUUAUUUAUUUGUUAAACUCUUUGCCCUUGUUUGGUUGGGGGUUAAGGGGUGGAAUAACCUCUUAACCCCUAUAUUAUCUCCAAACACUUCUAAAAAUGGAUGGGGUUAGUUAACCCCACCUCAAAUGAAUUAUUCCGGAUUAGCUAACCCCACCAAACUCCACCAAAUCCCAACCAAAUACUGUUUUCUAUUCAUAAUAAUCCACUAUCUUUCUUAUUCCACUUAUUACAAUCAAACACUAUUUUUCACUAUUCUGAACUAACUCCAACCCCCAACCAAACACAAAAAUCACUACAACAAAAGCGGUCUAUAGCGACACUUUUAAAUGUAGGUACAUGUCAAAAAAGUGCUGCUAGCUAAAAUUACCGACACUUUUAAAAAGUGUUGCUAUAUGUGGGGUCGCUAGGUAUAUAGUGACAGUUAAAGAGUGUCGCUAUAACCUAAAAGAGUGCUGCUAAUUUACCAACACUUAUUUAAGCAUUUAGCAACCGCCGAAAUUCUAUCUCGUUGGCUGCGGUGGCAGAGGAGGACGACAGGAAAGGCUCUUCGUCUAGAAUUUCAGUGGAUUGAGUGAAGAUAGAAGAAAAGAUGGUAAUUGAUUUUUCUUUCUUUUUUUCUUUUCUAUUUGUAAUCGGGUCAAAUGGACUGGGUGUGGUGAGUUGAGUAGAGUAAUUUUUUAUUUUUGGUUGGAUUGUGCUUUAUAUUUAGGCAUAAGUAGAUGUUUUUUUAAGUUUUAGUAUAAAUGGGACACUUACUCAAAAGUGUCUCAAACAUGUGUCCCUAUAAACUAAUUCUGUUGUAGUGAAUACUUUAACCCCAUCUUAAUCCUGAACUUAACUCUAUUUCUGGAAUAACUAGUUUUUUUCUUAAUCCCAAACCGAACGGUAGCUUUAUAUUUUUUAGGUUAAUGUCAGUACGUAGGCAUAUUUUUCAAUUUUCACUUAAAAUAUAAUUUUGAUGACAACAAACAUCACAUCAGGUCACGUGUUUCAACAUAAAACGUCAUAACUUCCAACCACCUUAAUCAUGUGCGCGAAGCACGCACGCGCUCGCGCGCGCACAUGCAACUGCUGCCAAAAAGGAAAAGGAAAAGGAAAAAAGUUAUUCCCGAACUUCGAGAAGCUCGGAAGGGCAAAAUAAUCAAAUCACACGGGGCCGAAUCCACCGACCCGAAAAAUAAAUUGUGCAGACUGAUCACUAACCUGGAGAAGAUCGCCGACGUUGAUGAAGAAUGCGACCGGGACCCACACGCCUCCCCCGCCGGCCUCGCCCCCUGCAGCAGCUGCUGCAGGCUGCAGUACCUGGAGCCCGUCGACGCCGUUCGACCGGAGGAUGCUGAUGAUCUGAGGGUCCGAAUGCUCCCCGAAUCCGACCCUGCUGAUCUUGUGCUUGCUGCUAUUGUUCAUUACCAUAGUACUACUGCUUUUAGCAGCAGCAGCAGCAGCAGCAGCAAUAGCAGUAGCAGUAGCAGUAGCAGUAGCAACAGUAUUAGUAGUAGUAGUAGUAGUUGUAGUAGUAGUGCAUAACUCAUCCUCAACUUUUUUGUUGGUACAGUAACAAGGGGGAUAGUGGUUAAUUCUGACAAGGGAGUCACUGUCACAGUCUCUUAUGGGCCUGCUGAGAGCCCCACAAUCCCUCAGCCUCAGUCCUUCCCCCAGCAUCUCCAGUAUCUCACAUGCAAGCUGCCUCACUGCCUCCACAUACUCAUUCACCACACAGCUACCACACAAAAGUAGAAAGAGAGAGAGAGCAAAAGAAAGAGGGAAAUAAAAAGUUAAAAAAGAAAAACAAAUGAUAUUAAGAGAGAGACAAAUCAUAAUCAUAAUCAUAAUCAUAAUCAUAAUCAUAAUCAUAAUGUGUAUGUAAAAAGGAUGAUGGUAUUAACAUAUCUAAAUUUUCUGUGCGCAGAUCACGUUUUGCGGGUCUAGCCACUUUUGGUCGAUGCAUUGGCAGCUAGAUACGAAACAUGCAUUAUUCCGUGACUUGUUUGUGUCGGAGCUUCGAAAUCACCAACUCUAGAAUAUAAUUGAUAGCUUAAUUGAAGUAUUAAGUUGUGAUUUCGUGUUACAAACUUGAAAAGCGCCAAGCGUCUGCUUUGCUUCUCUUCUAAGUAGAGCAUUUGACAAGCAUACAAGUUAAUUAGGAGCUUCUGCUACAAUAGGGAGCUAAUUAAAAAGAGAUUUUGAAAUUCAAGGGAGGCUAGAGAAAUAUCCAACAUGUUGGAGCUUCUAAUACUUUUACUCUCUAGAGAACCCUCAGGGAGAUUCUAGAUACUACUAAUCAAUCUUAUUUCAUCAAAUAACAGUGCAUUGCUAUUUGUUACACACACAAAAUCAAACUUAUUAAUGAUAUUAUGAGAUACCUUUUCAGGUACAAAUAUGAUUUAUAUAUGUGUGUGUGUGUGUGUAAAUGGUAAGUACAGCAUCUUUAAAAAGCUAGAAAGAAGUAGAAAAAGGUGGAGGGAAAAAAGUGUGUGGGUGAUUGGAUUGGUCACAUUUUUACUGCACAAUGGAAAGACAUGUCACUGCAUGGCAUGGGGGCCAUUAAUUUCAUAAAAGUUACCAUAAGGGGGCCAUGGUGCAUGAUUUUUCACCCAUUUGCUUGGCUUUAUAUAGAUAAGGAUGGGAAUGCAGGGAUCAAUAGCAAGUCAGGUGGAUGUACUUCCUGUGGGAUGCUUUUCCUCCAAACCUUAGUUUUCUAUAUAUAUAUAUAUAUAUAUAUAUAUAUAUAUAUAUAUAUAUAUAUAUAUAUAUUAAAUUAUUGAUGUUGGUAGGUUUUCGACUAUUGAAUUCAGGGAUGUGCGGUUAGAAUGAUAAUGAUUUUCUAAGAUUGAGUGGUUGAUUGACUGAAUAAUAUAAUUUAACGAAUAGAAAUAAUCAAGAAGAUAGAUCUAAUGGUAGAAAGGUGUUUUUAAAAGUACCAUAGCUGAACUCUCUCUGUAUAUACUAGUAUAAAUAUACCCUCUGUUAUUUGAUCAUGACAAGUGAUCUUGGUGUGUGUAUUAUAUCAGUUUGUUGGAAGGUUAUGGUUCUGGGACUGUUUAGAUUAGUUGAGGGACUUGCUUAGAUUGUGGACUAGCACCAUUCUCUAACUAGAAGAGUAGGGCUUUUAAUUGAGCCCAUUAAUUGGUUCCCCCCCCUCUCUCUCUCUCUCUCUCUCUCUCUCUCUCUCUCUCUCUCUCUAGAGAGAGAGAGAGAGAGAGAGAGAGAAGACCCACAACUCUUUGAUGUUGUGUUCUUCCACUAAGGAUGUGUUAGGGCUAACUAAAAACCGACUUAGGCCGCAUCGGGUAACGUGUUUAUUUUUUAUUUUUAAAUAAAAUUUUAUACAUCAAAAAAUGAAGAAGUAGAUAGUGGAUUACUUAUAAUUUUUAUAUCUAAAGUGUUUAUUUGACAAUAAAAUAUGUUUUUUGAAAAAAAAAAAAAAACUAAGUUCUGUAACGAACUAUAACAACAAAAAUAAAGUCUUUCCUCGAACACAUCAAAUUAUAUAAAAUAGUAUUUAAAAAAUAAAAAUGACAACGAUACAAAAUGAGGCCUUAAUUUUUUUUUUUUUUGGUUUCUUUGACAAGGAAUAAUUAACCAACUUCAAAUUAAUACACAUAAUAUCAUGCAUGAUAUCGAUCCCACAAUUAAUUAAGGAUCAUGUACGUAGUUGAGUUCAUGCAAAUUAAUGUUGAAAGAGUUUGUAUUUAGGAUGAAAUUAAACUAGGCAUUCAUAAUGGGAGAGGAAUGCAUAUAUGCAAUCAAAAGUAUACAUGGAUAGAGAGGAAAAUAAAAAUAAAAAAAAACCCAAAAAAAAAGGUUAUGGUGUUGGGUUAAAACUUAUCAUUUUCAUCAUGCUAAUUGAUGUGAUAGCUUAACUCACUGAACAUUCAUUGCAAAGGGGGACACCAAGGCAUAAAUGGGGGGAUCACAUCUUAAUUUAUGUGUACAUCACAUCUUAAUUUAUGUGUACAUAUAGUGUUGAUGAUAAGGAGAAUUACAUCUUUUAGGAAUGUUUCUUCGUUUUUUCUGUGUCGUAAAUAUUUGUCGCUGGGGCUGCUAAUAAAUUAUAAUAUAAAGAGCUAGUUACGUAGUGACACAUGUACCCAUCAACAACAACUUAACAUUAGCAGCAUCACUAUGUAAUUAAAUGCAUGUGGAGCCUAUCAACUAGACAUGAUUUUACAUAAGGUCCUUCAACUUUAUUUUGCUGAGAGAUUUUCUUAACUUUUAUUCUUUUUCCUACUAUAGUUUUGCUAGUCAAUGUAACUCAACUUCUUAAAUUUGAAUCUCUAGUUAAUGUAAUUAAUGAAUACAUAGAAGAGUACAUAUUAAAAAACUAGUAGGAAUAUAUCAAGCAAAUAAUUGGGUUGGUAGUUUUGAUGUGUGUUGAUGUGACCCCUACAAUACUAUUACAUAAUAAUGCAAUAUCUUCCUGUCUACAAACUGUUUUUUUU